CUUGAUCCAAUGAAAAUGCGAAGAGCUGAUGGCAAAAGGGAACAAAGCUAAAUAAGAAAACGGCUAGCACGAGCAGCGACCACGAUGAACAGAAGCAAAGUGUGUAUGAGAUCAAAAGACGAAAAUCAGGAGAGGUUUUCUUGACUGAGAAUUGAAGGCAAAGAGUAGGAGCUGACGAUUACGGGGAUCAAGAGGGAAAAACUGCUUGCUUGUAAAACUACUUUCAAGCGAAUCUGAUAAAAUUAUUUCAGUACUAGUGGGCGACUCCAUUUUAAACUGCUGAAGGAAAAAAAAAAUUAUGAAUUUCAAUAUAUUAAUUUUUAUCCUAAUUUAUGUUGAGGCUCGUAAUCUCGUCUCAAUGAUUAAUUAGUAGAUAAUCUUUCUAACAAAUAUGUGUUGAAUAGAUAUAUUUCUUGACUAUUAGUAGGUUAGAUAUAUUUUAGCAUAGGAAUGAAAGUACAAGUUGUGUCGUAUCAGAAUAAAAAUUUGACCUAAAAAUAUUGUUUUAUGAGUCCAGCUAUCUUGCAACAGUUGUAAUGUGCCACUUAUUUUUGUUUUAUGUGACGUUACAUUUCAUUUAAUACCUUACUUUCUUUCUUAUUUACAUUUUAUUUAUAAGUUUAUAUGUUUUAGCUAGUGACAUUUUAAAAUGUAAUUUUAUUUUAUUUAAUAUUAUUUAUUUUUUUACAUUUAUUUAUAAUUUUGUAUGCUUUCGCUGGUAACUUUUAUAAAAUGUAAUUUUAUUUUAUUUAACAUUAUUUAUCUUUAUAAAAAAGAAUAAAUAUAAUAAUAAGCCUAUGACUAAAUAAUAUUAAAUAAAAUAAAUAAUAUUAAAAAAUUUAAAUUAAAUAAAUAAUAUUAAAAUUUUAACUUAAAUAAAAUAAAUAAUAUUAAAAUUUAACUUAAAUAAAAUAAAUAAUAUUAAAAAUGAUAUUAUUUUUAAGACACUAUUGAUUUUUUAAUAUUAUUCAGUUUUUAAAGAAUAAAUAUAAUUAUAAGCCUAUGACUAAGUAAAAAUAAUAUUAAUUUUAACAGUCAUUAUUGAUUAUUUUAUUUUACUUAAUAUUAUUUAUUUUUUAAAAUAAUAAAUAUAAUAAUAAGCCAAUGAUUAAAUAAAACAAAAAUAAAAAUAAUAUUUAUUUUUAAAGCGCCCUAAUGAUUAUUUUAUUUUAUUUAAUGUUAUUUAGUUUUUUGAAAGAAUAAAUAUAAUAAUAAGUAUAUGACUAAAUAAUAUUAAAUAAAAUGGAAUAAAUAAUAUUAAAUAAUAUUUAUUUAUUCUUUUAAAUAAAAUAUAUAAUAUUAAAAAUAAUAUUUAUUUUUUAAUACUCACUACUAAUUAAACAAUAUAAAUUGUAAACAAUCCGGACUUAUGUGUUAAAAUUUUAAACUCUUUAACUUGUUUGUGUCUUUAAUAAAUAUCAAGGAGUGUAAUGUUAAUAUUUAAAUGAACAAAUCUCUACCAUUGAAACCACCUUUUCAUUAAAUCUAAUGAUAAAAAACUGAAAUUAAGAAAAGUCAAAAUUUGGUGGUACCUUGCAACUGUUGUAAGGUAGCUGAGUCCUGUUCUAUAACCUUUUAAUUAUUUGUCAGCUAAUAAUUAAGUAAUAUAAAAAAAUUAAUAAUCGGAAUUACUCUUUUAAAUAUUAUAAAUAUUUAUUUAUUUUUUAAUUAUAAUAUCAUUAUUUAAAAAUAAUUGCUUGACUUACAUUAGUAACAUUACGAUUGUGGUAAAGCAUGUGAUUCUCAUCCAAUAUCCAUUAUUUGUGAUCCUUAAUCAAUAAAAUAUCUGACAAUAUCUUCGCCAAAAGUUUGAGACAUGUGAUCUUUAUUCCACUGCGUCAAUUACACUCCAGUCCCAUGCUGCCAUCAUUAUCGAACAGUCGAUAUCCAACACUUGCACGAAGAUUCCAAGAAGUUGCGUGGCUGCCGACAUUUAGAUGCUAAGCCUUGUUGUGUCGAAGAUACACAAAACAGAGCAGUCCGGGCAAUUGCCAAAACUUAGAACUAAACAGUAGCUUAGUCAAAAAAAUCAAAUGCCAGCACCGCUAAAAUGAUCGAUAAAAAUAUAAAGAAACCAAAGCUUUAAAAGAAAUCAGCCAAAUCAGGAAGAUUGAAAAGUAAAUCUAUGGCUUUAGAUUUUUAUUUUAUUUUUUUAGAUAAUAGAUAUUAUUUUGAUGAAUUUUUAAUAUUAGAAUAAUGCUAGGAAUUUCGAUAGUAGAAUUCUAAUUUGAGACCCAAUUGUUAUGUGUUAUUUUUUUUAUUAGAUAAUGAAUUUCAUAAUUAGUAAAAUUAAUAUCAAAGUCCAAAGUUAUUGGGAUGAUAACUUUUUUUUGAUAGACUGAUAUAUUACAAUGAGAGCUCUACUGAUAUUUACAAUAAAAAAUGAAACUCUCCUCAAUAAUUCUAUUACAGCACAGCCUGAAUAUUAAGCCUUACUUAAAGUUGGAGGGAGAUCCAUUUUAUCCCAAUACAAAAAGACAAAUAAACUCUUAUUGUACAGAAAAGUUGAAUCUCAGUGCUGUGACUCAGUAUGCAUGCGCCCAACAACCUUGUGAUGAUAACUUAUAAUCGUCAAACUAGCAUAAGGACCUUAUUUUUCAUUCACAAAUAAAUAAAUGAUGUGACUUAACGGUUGGCGGGGUCCCUUGUGCCAUUUGUGCAUUUCACUAAAGGUCCGCCUAAGUUAUACAUUUAACGUAACUUACCGUCAGCCUGUGAAAUUUUAUAUAACCCCCCAUAUUCUAUGUUAUUUAUAUUUUAUUCAUGAAUAUUAUAAACUUUUUGAAAUAUAAAAUUUCGUUUAACCCCUUAUACUCAAUUUUAUUUUAUUAAAACCCUAGAGUAUGAAUUUGCCCCUAUAAUUUUAAAUUUUCCAAAUAACCUCCAUUAUUUAAAAAAUAUAAUUAUUGUUAAAUGAAUUAUAAUUAUAAUUGUUAUUUUAUUAUAAUCAUAAAUAUUUUUUAAAUAGAUUAUUUUUAUUAUUAAUACAAGAAUAAAAAACAUUAUAAUUAAUUAAUCUAUUAACAAUAAUUAAUAAUAUUUUUAUUAAAUUGUUAAUAAUAAUAAUAAUUAAUGAUUAUCUAACUAUUUCACAGUCUGACCGUAAGUUACAAAAUCAUAAAAACUAAAAGUUUUUAAAUAUUUACUUAAGGUAAAAUAAUAAUAAUGACAAUAAUAUUACUUAAAACAAAAAAAUCUGUAAACUUUAAUAAUGUUGAUGAUGAUGAUGUUGACAACAUUAAUAAUAAUAUAAUAAUUAGAAUAAUAAAUUUUAAUAAUAUUACUAUUAAUAAAAUAAUAAUAAUAAUUAAAAUGAUAAAGUUAAUAUAUUUUAAUAAUAGUAAUAAAAUUAAUAAAUAAAAAUAACUUAAUUAAAGUAAUUGUAACAAUUAAAAUAAUAAAAUUAAUUAAUUUUAUAAUAAUAAUAAUAUUAAUUAAUGACAGCAAUAAUAAUGCAUAAUAAUUAAAAUAAUAAAUAAUAAAUUUUAAUGAUAAUAAUAAUAAUAAUAAUAAAGUUAAUAUAUUUUAAUAAUAGUAAUAAAAUUAAUAAAUAAUAAUAACUUAAUUAAAGUAAUUGUAACAAUUAAAAUAAUAAAAUUAAUUAAUUUUAUAAUAAUAAUAAUAUUAAUUAAUGACAGCAAUAAUAAUGCAUAAUAAUUAAAAUAAUAAAUAAUAAAUUUUAAUGAUAAUAAUAAUAAUAAUAAUAAUAAAGUUAAUAUAUUUUAAUAAUAGUAAUAAAAUUAAUAAAUAAUAAUAACUUAAUUAAAGUAAUUGUAACAAUUAAAAUAAUAAAAUUAAUUAAUUUCAUAAUAAUAAUAAUUAAUGACAGCAAUAAUAAUGCAUAAUAAUUAAAAUAAUAAAUAAUAAAUUUUAAUGAUAAUAAUAAUUAAUAAUGAGUAAAAUAAGUAAUUUCAUAAUAAUAUUAAUAAUGAUGACAUUUAUGGUAGUAAUAAUAAUACAUGACAAUAAUUAAAAUAUUAAAAUUAAAUAAUUUUAAUAAUAUUACUAUUAAUAAAAUAAUAAUAACAAUAAUUAAUAAUGAUUAAAAUAAUAAAGCCAAUAUAUUUUUAAUAAUAGUAAUAAAAUUAAUAAUUAAUAAUGACUUAAUUAAAGUAAUUGUAACAAUAAAAUAAUAAAAUUAAUUAAUUUCAUAAUAAUAAUAAUAAUUAAUGACAGUAAUAAUUAGGGGUGGGCAAAAAAACCGUGGUCUUAAAAACACCGAACCGAACCGGCGGUUUUUUCGAAUUUGGAUCGGUUUUUAUUUUAAAAAAAACCGAAAUAUAUCAUUUGUAAAAAAAAACCGAAAUGUCGGUUCGGUAUUCGGUUCACUCAGCUGAACCGAAAAACCGAAUUAAUUUUAUAUUUUAUUCAAAUCGACAUGUGUUAAAUUUUUUUUUAUAAAUCCAAAUAUUGAGUCGAAAAUGCCUAAAGUUGAUGUUGAUAUUCAUGAAGAUGGGAGAAUGUUGUUGGCAUUUGUUUGCAAUUUUUUUUUUUGGGUGAAGAUGGGAGAAUGUUGUUGGCGUUUGUUUCUAAAUUUUCUUUUUAUUUUGUGUUGUAAGUUGUAAUUGUUGUUAUUUUUAUUUGUCUUUACAACAUUAUGAUUAUGUUUAUGUAGAUGGAGUAUUGGAGUUUGGUUAUGUAUUUUGAAAUUUUAAUAUUUCAUAUUUUGUGAGUACCUUAUUAGUAGUUAAUAAGAUAUUAGUGAUAAAAUGUGUUUUGAAUACUUUGUAUUUAUUGUUAAUAUUUGUAAUGAAAUUAGGAUGAACUAAUUGUUGAAAACAAUUAUUACAUUUAUGAGGUCCAAUGGGCUAAAAAUUUGAAAUUUUAAAAUAGGCCCAAUAGACCUAGAACCAAAAAACCGAACCGAACCGAACCGAUCCGAAAAGAUCCGUUUGAGUUCGGUUCUUAUUCGGUUCUUUUUAUAAAAUAACCGAUUUAAAUCGGUUCUACUUAAUUUCGAUCCGAACCGAACCAAACCGAACCGAACCGUGCCCACCCCUAGUAAUAAUACAUAAUAAUUAAAAUAAUAAAAUAAUAAAUUUUAAUGAUAAUAAUAAUAUUAUUAUUAAUAUUAAUAAUGAUGACAUUUAUGGUAGUAAUAAUAAUACAUGACAAUAAUUAAAAUAUUAAAAUUAAUAAUUUUAAUAAUAUUACUAUUAAUAAAAUAAUAAUAACAAUAAUUAAUCAUGAUUAAAAUAAUAAAGUUAAUAUAUUUAAUAAUAGUAAUAAAAUUAAUAAAAUAAUAAUAAUGACUUAAUUAAAGUAAUUGUAACAAUAAAAUAAUAAAAUAAAUUAAUUUCAUAAUAAUAAUAACUAAUGACAGUAAUAAUAAUACAUAAUAAUUAAAAUAAUAAAAUAAUAAAUUUUAAUGAUAAUAAUAAUAUUAAUAAUGAUGACAUUUAUGGUAGUAAUAAUAAUACAUGACAAUAAUUAAAAUAAUAAAUUUUAAUAAUAAUAACAAUAAUAUUAAUAUAAUAAUAAUGAAAUUUAUAAAUAUUAAUAAUAGUAACAGUUAAAUUUUUUUAAAAUCCAUUUUUAUCCCAAAAGAGGACUCAUAUAUAAAAAAUUGUAACUUCUAGUGUCUAUUCAACUUUUUUAUAAAAUAUAGGUAUUGAGAUGUAAUUAAUUGAAAAAGACAAAAUUGAGUAGUACGGUGCAACCGUUGCACCAUAGUUUCAUCCAAUUUGAAAUCUUGGAAAACCCUUUAAUCAAUCUCUUAGUAGUAGGCUUUGGUAGCUUGGUUUGAUUAUGAUUUAUAAUCAUUUGAUAAUAAAGUCAGAGGAUGUAUUAAUAUAAAAUUUAUUUAUUGGUGUUGAAGAUAAUUAUCUCAUUAAUAAUAGUAUAAAAAGUUAAAUACUAAGAAACACAUAGCAGUAGUUAAUUGGUGUCAUAUGAUUGGGAUUCAGGGAUAUAAUUUUAUAUCAUAACUUUGUAAGUGUAUAAUUACUCAUUAAAUUAACAAAAUUAUUUAAAAAUAUUUAGUUAGAAAAAAUAAAUUAUAUUCUUUUUAUUUCAAAUAAUCUAUAAGUUAACUCAAAACAUAAUCAAGCUGAAAAUAAAAAUAAUGCUACUGUAUGACAUGAUUUUUAUUUUUUCUCGAAGUUUCACUAGGAAAUUAUUGAUAUACAGCUUUAUUCAAAUCAUCUCAGUUCAAACGACAAAUAAUUGAAAGACUAAGCUAAAUAGACCAGCCAACAACUUUGUACAGCAGAGUUCAAUAAUUAACGUCAUGGUAUUGAGGUGUUAUGUCUUGAAAAGUACAGCAUAGUAAUAAAAUAAAAGUUAUUAGUUUUUAGGAAAAUAUGACUUUUAAAUAAUAAUUUUCACAAAAAUAUAAAGAAUAUUUAUAAAGUACUUCUAUAGUGAGGAGACCCCACUUUGUUAAAGUGAAAAUAUUAAUAAUACAAAAUAUAUAGAUUUUAACAUAUUAAAAACUGUAUUUUUUUUAAUCUAUUGGUGUAUUGAAAUAUGCGUUUUUUAGUUAGAUAUAUCAUCACUUUGUUAAAAUGAGAAUGUUGUCACUAGACAAUAAUCAUAUAUACAUAUAUAUAUAAAGUGCUUCUCUCCAAGACCUAGACUUUAUUAAAAUUUAAGAAAGUAAAUAUAUUUUAUAUGGUAUAAUAGUGUAAUAACAUCACACUAUUAUAUCAUGUAGAGUAAUAGUUUUUCUAACUUUAAUAAAAUUCAAGAUUAUAGAAUGAAUGAUUUAUAUAUAUUAUAAAUUUUUUAUCAUAAAGUGGAGGACAAAAUUAACAUAUUUUUCAAAUUAUAAUAAAUAUUUAUCAAAUAAUUUAACUUCGUAAUUUCUCCUAACUAGUAUAGUAAAUACAACCUCGGAGGUACAUUCAAAGCAUUUCAUAAGUUUGUUGUUAACAAUAAAUGAUACAUGCAGCUCCAACCAUCAUUGUACGGUGAGUAAUUUCAAUAGAUUUUUUAUGGCUUAAUUUACUAGGAUCAUAAUGAACAUUGAAUGUCAAAAUAUUAAUGGCCAAACAGACCAGCUGCCAACGACUUAUUCCAAUGUGAAUAUUUCACAGUGGGUACUGCACAUGAUGCUUGUUUCUCCUUUUGCAUCUAUUUUUUUUUUAACACUAAUUUCAAUAGCAGCUCGUCAUGUAUGCAAUAUUUCAAAGUUAAUCAAAAAAAAAAAACAAAAAUUAGUUCAGCUGACUAAAUUAUUUUUUUUCUUUUCUGUGGUAGUAAGUCCGACUCCUUAGUGACAAUUUAAAUUGAAAAAAUAAAAUCAUAAAUAAGAAUUAUUUGAUAAUAAUUAAAAUAAUUGAUAAAAAUUUGAUUGGAGCAAUUUUGGAAGAUUCGAUUUCUAAUAGAAAGGGAAUUUGAAUUUUACAGCCUUCGGUGAGGAAUCCAAAAUGCACAAUUUGAUGAAAAUUAAAUUUCAAUAGAAAUUGAAUUCCCAUUUAUUAGUGAAAACCAAACAACAGGAAAGUGAAAGGAAUUUGAAUUCAUUUCCUUCCUCUCCUCCCUCCAACUAAACACCAUCGAAAUCCAAAGGUAUGGAUUGGGAUUCCAUAUUGAUCAGAAUGGGAUUUGUCCAUAUUAUUAGGACCAAUUUUAAAAGCAGUCCGAGUUUCAAAGUUUAAGAUUGAAAUUAAUCACAAUUGUUGAUUUGGGACUAGAUAAGAAUUUAUCUUGGAACUCCAAUUCUCCCAAUUAUUUUAGUUGACAAUAUGUUUAACAUUAUUUUUUUAAACAUUAUUAAUUGCAUAUUAUUUAAUUAUCAAUAUAUAAUAUUCUUUAAUUUUCUAAUUUUAUAGGAUUAGACACAAAAUUGAUUAUACCUUUUGAAAUUUAAGGGUUAUGUCAAUUGAAUAGAAAACUUGGAGUUAAACUUUUGGAUGUUUUUGUUGAUUAUCAAUUUAUGCAUGAAUUUUUGUACGUUUACUCUGGUUUAUUAUUAUUACUUUAAAACAUUUUUAUUGGUUUGAUUUAGGGUCAUUUUGGUAAUCUUGUAGCUUAAAAAUACUUUUAGUUAUAAAAACAGUCGUAUGUGUUUCGUAAAUCUUAUUGUUAAACUGGUGCAAUAAUAUAAAUGAUUGUGAGGGGUUUGAGAUUGGUCCUAAUUUUGAUCACAAAUAUAUAAACAGGACGAGUUUAUCCAUACUUACAUUCCAUUUGAUAAUUAAGAUGAGAGUAGAAUGGUCAAAUCCCAAAUCAUCUCGGACCAUUGCCACCAAAGGUACUCUCACUAAUAAUAUCUAAAGUAAAAUCUACACCUAUUUCAUACCUUUUUUUUUUAUUUAACGGAAGGAGCCCUCAUGGGGCUUGAAAUGGUAUCCUAAAUAAUAUUAAGAAUAUCAUGUCGUGGUUGGUUUCGUGACAAAUAAAUAUUACAUGGUUGGGAUGCAUAGUUACUAGUGUCCCAAUUUAUAGGGGUGGGCAAAUUACCCGAUCCGACUCGACCCGACCCGAAAAAUUUCAGGUUCGGAUCGGAUGGGGUUGUGCAGAAAACCCGAUCGGAUCAAAACAAUGAAACCCGAUCGGGUUAUGAUCGGAUUGGGUUCGAUCCGAUCCGAAACCCGAUCGGGUUGCUAUAAAAAAAAAAAACUAAACCUAAAGCAAACAGCCACACACACGCAGCACACACAAAUCACAAUUCCCAUUUUCACAACACACGGUUACUUACACAAACACUCACAACUCUCCUCAAUCCCCAAUCUCAUUACACAAUCCCCAAUCUCAAUACACAAAACACAUACACAGUCACCCCCAACGGCGUUGGGCCAACGCCAAGCCGCCAACGGAGGUCGCUGCACAAGUCACAGCCUCACCCGCAUCUCCAUGGCCGAUUUGCCGCGCGUCUCCAUGCCCGAUUUGCUGCAAGUGCCGCCAAUAUGCUACUACGCGUCCGUCGGUCUGCUGCUACAAGUGCCGCGGCCACCGAUCUACUGCAAGUGCCGCGAAUCUGCUGCAAGGUGCUUCUGCUGCUCCAAUCCUUCAACCCGAGCUUCUCACCUUUGACUUUGAAUCUUGAGUUUUCACGCUUUUUUUAAGCUUUUUUUUUUAAAGAUUUGAAUUGAUGGUGCAUAUGGUUAAAUUAAACAAUUAAUAUUUAGUAUUUAAUUGUUGUAAUUAUGUGUUUUUAAAUGGUAGUAACAAAAUCAAGGAAAUUGGUCAACCCGAUCCUACCCGAUUUCAACCUGAAUUCACAACCCGACCUGACCCAAUCCGAAUAUAAAUCGGAUCGGAUCGGGUCGGAUGGGAAGUUCGGGUUGUAUUCGGAUUAAUUUUUGUUAAACCCGAACAACCCGAAAUCUGAUCGGGUUGAUCCGAACCCGACCCGACCCGAACCCGGUUUUGCCCACUCCUACCAAUUUAUGUAGUAUUUAUCAUUUAGUGCACAUGCACAGUAUUAAUCAGCUUAACUAAUUUAUAAAAUUUAAAUCUAAUUAAUAAGUGACGCAUAAAUGCCAAGUGCAUUACAUGCAAAUCAUGUUUUUCGAUCACUACAAAACUGGCUCUUGAAAACAAGCAAGAAAGCUUAAUUAAGAACUUAAAACAAAAAGAAUUAGAUUGAGAACAAUCAAGCCUUAUUUUUUCAAGGAUGGAGCUUAUAAAUCUUCAAGUACCAACAUACGCUUGGCCCAAUUGUUGUUAUUAAAAUUUCAAUAUACAUAUAUAAGUAUGAUAUAGCAAAAAUUUGAUGGUACAUAUGUCGGAAUAUACUAGUUCAUGGGUGCAUUUGAUUAUUGUUUCCAUAAAUUUGAACCAGGAAGAAUGAAACGAUAAAAUUUGAUUUUAUGGUAUGGUUGAUUUCAUAUCUCAUGCACUCAUUUCUUAAGAUAAUCAAAUUUUCUCUGGCAUCUUUUGCAACUGUCGAAAUAACAAUUAUGAUCAAUCAAACGAUUUCAAAACCUUUCAACGAGACAUAUUUCUAAUACAAUAUUGUGAAAAUUACACUAAAAUUUUAAUUUAUUAUAUAUUAUUAUCCAACGAGCACACAAAAAUGAUUUCGUACAAAUCUAAAAUACUGAGCAAUUUUCAAAUAGAAUUUACCAUGUACUACAAGAAAAUAGGGUAUAUGUGACCCCUAAUGUGAAUGCAAAAGCAGCCAUUACGCAUAUCACUAACUUCUAACUCUGUAACCCCGAGUUGCUUUUGUUACCCUUUAUGUGACGGCCACACUGCUGUCACAUAUGUUACGAACUGCGUGACGGUGAAGAGCCGUUCGGUAUACUAAUAUUUUAGAAUUUUAAAUUUAUUUCCAGUUAGAAAAGUAUUCGCUGGAGUCCGUGUUACUGGCCACCAUCGUAAACAUAACUGGUUGCCAGCGAACGGCGUAAAACGCCGGGCAUCUUCUUCUUCAUCGUAUUCUCCCUUCAUCUUUUGAGGUAAGCUUGUGAUUAUGAGUUUCUUCUCUUACUUAACUUGUAAUUAUAGACUUUGAUUUUUUUUAAUUCGUAUUGUAGCCGUUAUUGUCAAUUUUUGUCCCGCCAGCAAUAUUUUUUUAUUCGUACAAGUUGAAGCCCCUGCGUUCUUGUUCCAUUGGUGAGUUUGCUCACUCAAAUUAAUUUUGUUCUGCGGAAUUUACAAAGUUCAAAUGGAUUCAUUUGAAUUACUAUUGAAUUUAGCUUUAAUUCCAACAUCCAUUCUAAUGUUUUGCUAUUAGAUUUAGUUUAAUUUUAUGUUUAAAGCAUCUACAAUGAAUAGCGGAGCUUGGGUUUUAGUUUCAUUUUCUAGAUAACUUGUUUUGGUUUAUCUUGUAUGCUCACCAAGUGCUUGUUAUAUUGUCUGAUAAGUUAUAUACAUUGCUGAUUCUAUAUUAAUAAUGUUAUGUUCUAUUUUCAGAAAUUAUAAUACAAAAGCUUUUACAAUGGCGUGCAUCUACAAACUGGAUUGACUCGUAGAAUAAGAGCUUGGAGUAGUGUUAUGUUCUUGAAUAAAUGAAAGUUCAUAUUGUGUAAAGCAUCAUUAUCAUUUCUACAAAGUGCUUUCAUUCUGUUCAGAUGCUCUUCUUGAACUUUGAAAGGUGCCUCGUUCAAGUCCUAGCUAUAACUACUAGCUUUGAUUAAUUAAGUUCCUAUACUAGCUGAAACAGAUUUAUUUAAUUAAUUAAUUGUGUAUGUACUAAUUAUAUUGAAAGUAUAUGAAUUUUUUUUUUUUUUAACAUGAAUGACUUCUAAAUGACUUAAAAUCCUAAAGGAUGUGUAAAAUAAUGCUCAUUUCACUUGAAUGAGCCUAUUAAUACUUUUAUGUCUAUGAUUGUCAAUAUUGGCUUAAGCAUUUCAGUUAAGUGGUUUACCUAACAGAGAAAAAAAUUUAAUAGAAAACUUCAGAGUUCUAACAGAAAUAUAGUUCACUAUGCAGAUAUAGUUAUUUUACGGUAUACAAAUCAAGUUGUCCUAAUCUCAAUGUCCUAUGACCGAUUUUAUUUUAUAUAGUCAUUAAUUUUUUCCUUGGUUUUUUGUGUUUAUGAGUAUGAAAUAGUGGGAUUUGGUGUACCUUAGCAUCUUUUGAAAAUUCUCUUUCAGUGUGGCCAACAGAAAUAUACAUAUAAUCAAGUUUCUUAAUCGUGUAUAUUAGUUUUGGGUAUGAAUGUUCCUAUUCUAGUUCUAGGCAAAGCUUCUUCGUUUUGGUCUUCGGAUUUCCAGUAGGUUAAGUUAAUCAACUAUCAUAACUGGCUAGCUAGUUAUUUUCUGCCUUGGCGCCAUUACCCAGGCCAUUAUAUUGCAUAGCAUAAAGAAUAGUGAUUAGGUGAUUAUUAGUGAUUUGUUGAGCUUAUUUUCGACCAAACAAACAUAUUCGCCUUUGCCCACAACUUAGUUUGAUUAGUUAUUAGACCAUAAAGAGCCUUGAUCUAUUCAUUGGCUUUAUUAUUUUUAUUUGGUUUUUCUUUCAACAAUAUUGUUGAUUUCUUAUAAAAAUAUUCAUUGGUUUUUAAACACCUAGUCAUUGGCUGUAUGAAGCAAAUUAAAACUGAGGCUUUGGAUCAAUUUCUUCUAACAAGAUACAAAUGAGCAUAACCUUUCUCCUCUAAGUAAUUUUUUUUAAUAUCCUUGAUUUGUAAGGAUCUGGAGGCCUGAAAUCCUCUAGAUUUUUUUUAACACUGUCAAUGUCCUUUUUAUUCUGAAAAGGAAAUAAAAGGUUUUAUCUUUCAUACCCUAAUAGUAAGCUGGCCUUGUCUUAACAUGGCUUCCCGAGGAUUUGCAAGAUUCAUAGCGCCCCCAACCCCCCCCCCCCCCCCCCCCCCCCCACAAAAAAAAGGAAGAUUUUGCAAGAUUCACCACCAGGUUAUUUAUUUAUUUAUUAAUUGUGUGUACGUACUAGUUAUAUGUUGAAAGAAUAGGAAGAAGUAUUUCAACAUGAAUGACUUAAAACUUAUUGCUCAGUAAACAUAAUCUGCAUCAGUACGAAAAUGUAUUUAUCAUUUGUAUUUUUUUAUGGUUUUGCUUAAGAAAUGAUAUGUGAAAUAAUGCUACAUGCCUACAUUGUAUCAGGAAUAACUUGAAAAGAUUUAUGAUAUUUAUGUGUUAUUCAAAUUUCAGAUUCAAUUUUAAACUUUUGAUACGUGCAUUAAAAGCUUAGACUUGUUUAAGAAAUUAUUAAUAGACACAUGUUUUAUUAGUGUCAUAUUUGGAUGAUAGUGAGGAUCAUAUGUCUAUUAAUAAUUCUUGAAUUGUCCGGGCUUGGACAGUUUGGGAAUGCAUACUUCUCUCUGGUAGCUAGUAGCUGAAGUUUCUUCCCACGUAAAAAUGGGUUUUUCAGUAGCUGCUCCUCGUGUUCUCUGGGAACGUACUAGGUGAAUGGGUGUUGUGUUGUUUUGGCAUAACGCAUAAACACUUAUAUAGCUAUGUCGCGUGCUUGGAGAAUUAUAGGGAGAUGGUGCUGAAAUUUUUAUAAAUGUAGAAUAAAACUUUAGGUACUUGAGAUUGAAAAAACUUACGCAUUCUUGAGUGGGAUAUGUAGGAUUACUUACGGUUGGUAAAUAUGAAGGGAAUGUUGGAUAUAUUGAGGGUAGUGUAGGAGCUGAGUUGGAUGAAUGUAAUUGGUGAUGAUUUUGCUGAGUUGACCUUGGUUUUGAGCUUGUAAUUUUGUUUGUAAAUGGAGUGCUAUCUCCAAUGUUGGUUUAUAAAAAUGUUUCAGGACUUGCUGACCUAAUUUUUUGUUUCUAGGUUACAGGCUUUAUAUAUCUGUAAUUGAUAGCCAAGUGAAGUUCUCAGCACUUGGCAAGGAUAUUUCUUUACAGAAGGUAUUGGAAACUGUUUUUUACAUUAAUUAUCGUUGAUUAUAUACUUUGAUUGUCACAUCUUUUUCUCUGAUUCUUGUGGCUUUGUUUGCUUUCAUAUAUGUAAAUUCUAAUGAAAUUAACCAUAAAAUUGUAAAAUGAUCUUUUUAUUAUAUUGCAAAACUGUGCACACACGAAAAUAUCUUGUUUAGUAGUAGAAAUGAAGAACUAAUUUUUUUAGCGCAUUAAAAGGAGAUAGUCAUGGACAAGUGUUGGGUUGGUUUGCCAAAUAGAUAUCCAAGUCAUAUACUGAUGGCGUUGAAAAAUUUAUAGAUUUUGUAUUUGAGAAUGUUGUUGGUGGUACAAGAAUUUAUUGUCCUUCUUGAUAAGUGUUGUAAUCUAUAUUUCGUUAUAAGGGAAGUGGCUGAUGAUGAUAUGGUUGGAAUGAUACAGUACAUCACGUAAUCAAAUGUUCAAGUUACACGCAGCAUUGUUAUGAACUAUCAGUGGCAACUUGUCUGGGUGGAGUAUUAAAGGUAAAUAAGCAUGUCUUGUUUGCCAACAAAGCACUGGAUCUAAUUGGUUGAUACAUAGUAGAAAAUUUUGUCACGUGGGUCACCGUCGAUUUUUCCCAACAAAUCAUAGGUUUCGAAAAUAUAGUGUCUUUGAAUAAAACUAGAGAGUAGGGACAAACACCUUCUCAGUUGUCUGGAACUGAAGUGAAAAAGCAGUUUAAUAUAUUUACUGAGUAUAAGAUUGAAGACUUGAAAAGAGAAGAACGAAUAAAAUGAGAGAAAUGAUAAGAUUACUUGGAAGAAGAACAGAAAUAUUUCUUAAGAUUACUUGGAAGAGAAAUGAUGUGGAAGAUGGCUAUAAAAGAUAAAAGGAAAGGCUUAAAAAGAAAAGCCAUGCCUGUCAAAAACAAAAAAACAAUGGCAGCGUCAAAUUUAUAACACAAAUCAAAACGGUGCGUUUGAGAGUGUAUAAAAUACAUUUAGAGUGGGAGUUGUGUUGUUGCUUGAAGGCAGAAUGUUUGUGAGAUAUUUGUCGGCGAAGCCGAAACCAAAGAUGAAGCCCAUCAAAAGCAUUUAUAGUGUAAAAAGUAUAUUGUGGAAAUGUCUGGUCGGUAAUACAACUAUUUCUUAUAGUGUAAAUGAUACACUAAUUUGAAUUUAUAUGCUUUUAUGAUUAUUUGAUUAUCAAGUGGUGAUCAUAUGUGAUGAUAAACUUAGGUAGUACCUUUAUAUUUAUUGCCUUAGUUUUCUAAGCGUUCACAUUUUGAUGAGUAAAUUAAGGAUUUCUAGAUGAAGUACAUAAUUAGAUUAAUGCUAAGGAACUGAAGUUUGAUCAACUGAAAACGAAAAUAAUAAUGAAGGUAAUUAAGAAAAUGAACAAUACAGAAGCGGUCCUUAUUAGGACUUCUAGAUUUUCUCUUGGGCUUCCUUAUUAUUGUUAAAAAAUGACACGAAGAAGAGUUUAAAAAUCUGGCCCUGAUGCCUGGUAGCCCUCCAACAUAUGAAGCACUAGAUGUUUUAAUGAGAAAAUGACAAGACCAUUUAUCAAAUUUCUUGUGGAUAUAAAUACAUACACAUAGACGAGACCAACCUCCUCAAAUGAGAAUCAGAGUGAUUACAAGACCUUGCAAUGGGACGAUAACACACCAUCAAAUCUCAAAAUACAAUAGAAAUUCAUGACACAUGUAUAAUAAAAGACCUCUCAUUGAGUUCUAUAUAUUGAGAAUAAAAAUGUUAUAAUACAUACAAAGAGCUUAGCUAGAAUAAAAUGUCUUUGAACUUGCGAUGAUCAAAUAAAGGAAACAGACAGGUUGUAACUCAUACUAUCACAAGAAGAUCACGAAGAUGGAAAUGGGAACCCCUCAGAAUGGAAAUUUUGAAUAGAGGAAAAAAGAAAAACGACCUUAUUCACAGAAGAAGAGUGACUUAAAUCUUCAUCAGUAUCCAGACAUUCUGCAAUCACAGAGUAGAGAAAUUUUAACCAGAACAGCAGAAAAAAUAUUAUGAAUAUGCUAUAGACCAAUAUACUUGUUCAUAGCUAACGUUUGAUGGUUUAAGGAUUUGUUCUGGGAAUAAUGGGCUGAUUACUUUUUUUUUUUAUUUUAAUUUUUUUGAAUCCAAUGAAUGAUAUUCAGCUGUGAAUUAUGUGUUCAUAGGGAAGAACAUUUUCUAAGUACUUUCCUUGCCUUCUAACUUUCCGAAAAGCAAACCCAAUAAACAAACAGAGCACAAACUAAAAUAAAAGAACAGCAAUGAUGACAAUAAAUAAUUGGCAAAGAAAAAAAGGAAAAAGUAUGCACGUUUUCAAUGAAUUAUAAAAUAUGAAGGCUUUUAAUGAAAUUUUAUCAUAAAAAGUAUGCAAGGAAUUAUAAAAUUUUAGAAAACAAGGGGAGCUCUAAAAAAAAAAUGAAAAACUCAAAUUAAAGUAGACUAAAAAGACAUUCAACUAUGCAAAAUCUGUCCAUAAAAGUCUGAAAGGAUCAUUAAAAUUGCAUUGCAAAUUUAACAGUAAACCGAGGGACCCAUUCUAAAUAAUUCAGAUGAAAUUGCGAAACAAGCCAUGGGAUUAAAUAAAUGAAAUAAAAAUUAAUUACCAGUUGAGACUUUCUUCUAAAAAUUUGCAACUCCAAGUCAUAAGAAGCCUAUGAAAUUAGUCGUACUGCGUAGAGUAUGACGACGACACCGCCAACAGCUGAAAGUAAAAUUCUUAUUCAUCAAAUAUCUUAUCUAUAUUGUAUUUAAGAAAGCAAAUUUUGUAAAAAAUUAUCAUGGGAGAUAGAGAGUAAUAUGUAUAUACGUACCUUCUCAGCAUGUAAUUGUUGUAUGGUUGUGUUUAGAUCAUUAUUAGCCCAACGCCGUUGAUUCGAUGUCUCUCCAUAGCAGACGUUUACUCUUAGAGGCGUGAUUGAUUCUCCUGUAGUGAAAGUCUUCAUCUUGGGACAACCAAUCACCCACAACUCUUGCAAAGAUGGGAAUUUGAAGGUGUAAUUGGCAGAGCAGAAACUUGUGAGGCUAUCUAAAUCAAACAGUUGCAACGUCUUCAAUUUGCAGAAAACAAUCUCUUCUUUUUCAACUCCAUCUUUGUCAUUUAUUACCACCUCUGUCAUUGCUCUGCAUCCAUAUACUUGCACUUUGACCAGUCGCACUAGAGUUUUUGCUGUGGAGGAUGUUACUAAGUGUAUCAAUUCCUUGCAACCGAAAGCUACAAGUUUUGCUAGGUUCCGAAAAGAUACCGAUGAUGAUGGCAAUAGAAUUAACAGACUUUGACUAUGAUAUACUCCUAGAAUUUCAAGAUACUGAAAAAUGGGGCCAAGUUUGGAAUCUUGUUUGCACAGCUGCUUCAGAUGAUAGGGCCGGUACAGCUUUAAUUCUUUUAUCAUUGCCAACUUCCCCAAAUGUUUCUCCAAGCAUCCUUCCUUCGAAAAUACCUCUUCGUCGAAUGAAAAAAAAGACAGUGUGAGUAUUUCGAGAUUGUGAAAUCUCUCCAGUACGUUCCAGAUUGGAAAACAAGCUGUGUCAUCUGCAGCAAUCUCUAGUUCUCUAAGACUGCCAAAAAGGUGUUGUGGGAAAUCGGCCUGCAAAAUCAUCUUCACAUCUUUUCCACUUAGUGAUAGUUCCUUCAAGUUGGGUACGAUCUGAUCAUCAUCAAUCAUAAUAACUAAUGAGGUCAAUUGAUGAUCUACGGUCACACGCAGUGACUUUAUAAUAUUUGUUUUAUAUUAUAUUUAAAAAAAAUUGAAUUAUUGAUAAAAUUUAUUUUAUAUGUUAAUUUUAGAGGUAAAAAAGAAAUUAGGGAAAAAGGUUGAUUUAUACUGGCUCGAAAUUAUUUUAUUGCACAAUAAUAAAUUACUAAUUUAUUUUGUAAGUUCUUCUAUAUGGAAAGACUAAGGAUUCUUUUAUAAAUGCUCUACCAAAAAAAGUUCAUAUAAUUAUUAAUCUACCACAUUGAUCUCUUAAUCUAGACUAACAAAGAUUAUUGUAUAAUAAAAGUUUUCAAUUUAUUGAGUAUUAAUUUAUCGAUGCUUUGCCAUAUUUUUCAAAGUUAAAAAUAAGCUGUAGACAAAAAAUCUAGAAAAUGGCUUCAUACCUUUUCCAACGGCAAUGGGGGCUGUUGUGCAGGAAUGCCAAGUUGAUCGUUCUCAUUAUUCUGCGAUAAAUCUUCAGUGAAUAUCUUUAAUUUGUCACAACGAUGCACUGAAAGAAUUUCUAGCGCGGGCCAUUCCGAAGUAUGCAUUCCAGGGUACAAACAUCUAAGUUUUGGUAGACCUUGGAGUCUCAAAGUGGUGAGCUGUGGAAAGACAAAAUAAGGGAUCACUUCAUCUGCUCUGUUCUCAGAAAUCCUCACAGAAGCGUACUUCUAGGUGUUGGAGCUGCUUGAGGUUUCCGAUCAUAGACGCUGAAAAUAUGUAUUUCAGUUUGUCACAGUACCACACAACUAAUCGUGUUAAACUUUGAAAGUGAGGAAACACGGCCGCCGGAAUUUGAUUGUAGUGCCAAAUCUUGUCGACAUUAAUUGCAGAUAUCUCCAAAGCCUCCAAGUUAGGCAACGCAACCUAAAAAAAUAAGAAUUUCUCGUUAGAUCCAUCCAUAUGGGAAGCACUUGUUGAAAUUUUCUUCUUUGAUUACAAAAUAAUGCAAGUCAGAAUCAAUUUCCAACUGACAGCUGAGAAUGCAUUCUAAUUCAUACUACUUGUUAAGAGCUUAAUUAGUGAGCGCGUGAGAUUCUUUUUAUCCUUUUUUUCCAUUUUCUUUCAAUUCUUUAAAUGAUGUAUUUAUUUUCCACGUAUGACAUCAAAAGAGAACGUAUGAUAGAAUAAAGUCUGUUAUAUAUAUAUAUAUAUAUAUAUAUAAAGAAAAUGUUAGCCUACGCACCUUCUCGUUGAAAAGCAGAGUUGAAAUAUCCAAAGUGAUUUCGCUGGAGCAAAACAUAGUCGUCGAUUCGUGUUGUGACACUUGUCUGUUCGGUGAUGCUGAAGGAGUCUCCACCUCACAGCAAAAACUUGUAACCUCUGGAAGAUUCCCCAGACUCAAAGAUCUUAAUUGAGCAAACUCUAUCUUCUCAAUUGCAUUAUCAACUUCUUCCCCAAUUGCAAAAAUCUCUUUCAUCUUGCUGCAAUUAAUAACUGCAAUUCUCUCAAGUCUUGGAAGGCAUUUUGUAGUACAGAGCCAAAAGAUAUUACUCAAUUUAUCACAAUUAUAUGCUUCUAUGUUUUUGAGUUUGUUGAAAGACUCUACUUUGAGCCGAUCAAUACAUAUCCUCUCCAUGUUGAUCAAAUUGUGAAUGGUAAGUGACUCCAAAAGAGGAAAGGCAUCACAAGCGACCAUCUCCCUUGAAUCGACGAUACAAAAGACGUCAGGAUUAUUUUGAACCCAGAGAAGCUUCAAUUGUGAAAAGCCCUCCGUGUCCAAAUUGAAAAGAACAUUCUCGAUGCCUUGCAGCUUGUCCAACCAUAAGUAUUCAACGUUAUUGAUGCCCUGCAAUUUCAUGGAGCAAAUGUCCAUAAAAUCAAGCUUGAGCUUCAAUGAUCUUAAACUCUUGCGAUCACUGUUGAUCGAAAAGCGCGGCCGACUUUUAAACCAAUGUUGUCCAACACUCAUGGGAUGCAUGAAUAACCCAUUUCCAAUAGAUAUUUUGAACCUUUCGAGCUUUCUGGCCAAAAAACCUUCUGGUAAAAUAUUGUCACUUUUAACGUCAAUUUCUAGAGUGGUUAGCCGAGGUAAAUGCAUCAAUUCGUCAAGGCUAGCAUUACUUCUUUUGCUGUUGGCUCUUUCAACCUCCCAUUCAAUGAAGCAAUUACCCAUAUACAGCUCUUCUAGUCGAGUUAAGCUUGAUAUGAGAUUGGGCGCAAUAACUUUCAGUUGGAAACAAUUUGUUAAAUCUAACAAUCUCAACUUAUUCAAUUGACCUAGUUCUUCGGGCAACUGCAUAAUAUCAGACUUCAAAAAGCUAAGGACUUCUAGAUUCUUCAACUUCCCAAUGAUUGCUAUGUCCCCCAACGCACUUUGAUCCAGACAUAGUGUGUGAAGAUUUGGUAGAAGAUCAAUUGAAGAUGGAAAAGAAGAAAACUGCAUUCGAGUAAAAUCUAGAACUCUAAGCUUUUUCAUCCCUACAAAAAAGUUCUCAGGAAUAUUGAUUUCAAGAGAAGAAUAUUUGAUAGAGAUAAAUAAAAAUUCAAGGUUUGGGCAUUCUAAUCCUUCAGGAAAUUCACGAUUACUAUUAUUUCUUAAAGAGAUCGCAUUGCAUUUUCGAAGUGCAUCCUCAUCUGGCCAGUCCCACACAUCCUUAUUUCUCACCAAAAACACAUGUUGGUGGCGGCAUGCAAUUGAUAUUGCGACAUCACGAACAACAUCAUGCAUUGAAAAUUCUUCAUUGCUCUCACCCUCAAGCAACAAACAAGAGUGUCUAAGUUCAUGGACCAAUGCAUAUAAUUUGUCUCGCGCAUCUUCCAUCUUAUUGACUCCUUUAAAUAUACCCAAACCCAUGGAGUACUUAAACAAGUCCGAAGUAAGAAUACGGUUAUCCAUUAGACUACAGAGCAGAAAAAUUUUCUUGAGUUGCUCACCUUUUAAAUGGUUGAAACUCAGCUCAAUACUUGAAUAAGUCUCUGCAGAUACUCCUUCGAAGUUUACCAUUGAAGGCGUUUGGAGUUCUCUCAAGGAAUUCUUCCAUUCAUGCAGACUCUUGCCUCUCAGUGCCUUUGCUACUGUAGUCAAGGCAAUGGGCAAACCUCCACAUGCCCUGGCGACGUCUAUUGCUGUAGAUUUCAACUCACGAUUUUCAACAUCAUCACCGGCCAUCAUCUUAAACAAUCUCCAGGUUCUUCUUCAUUUAAAUUGUUAAUCAAGAAGUUGUCUUUAGAUCCCAUUUUUAAGAGGACGCCACGAUCUCUUGCUGUCAGCAGUAGUUUGCAGCCUUUAUGAUCUUCUCCAAAAGGAAUUCCAACUGUCUCCAAGUCAAGGUGCUUCCAGAUGUUAUCUAAAACCACAAGGAUCUUCUUCUCAUUUCUCAAUCGCUCAAAUAGUCUACAUGCUCUUCUAGAUUCAACUUCCUCGUGCAACUCCAGGCCCAACUUCUCGGCAAUUUCCUGUUGAAUCCUUUUUAUGUCUGGAAUUUGGGAAACCUCUGAAAAGACCACCAUAUCAAAGAGCUCGUCUUCCAUAGCUUGCCUGGCGACCUUCUUCACCAGUGUCGUCUUUCCAGUGCCGCCCAUGCCGUACACCCCAAUGAUGCUGACACUAACAUCGAUCAAUGCUUUUUUUAUAGCCUCCAAAGUAGAACGUCUUGAUUCGAAGGCCUCGUAGCCUUUGUGAGACUUGAGCCAAAUCUCCUUCGGAAUGGUACGGUAGGAAAUUCUAUCAUCAAAUCUCCCAGCUUCUUCUCGGAGUUCGACAAGCGCCUUUACCUCUGCCUCUGCUUUCCUGCUAAGCUGAUAGCGGGUCUUCAGAUUAGGACACAGACCCUUGAGACAUCGCUUAUUUGUUGCCUCCUCGUCGUCAAUGAAUUUGUCUGCAUGGUCAAUGAUCUUGUUCGCAUUAACCAGCCAUUUCUCAACCUCCUCUUCAAUCUUUUCUCCUUUUCUUUCAGCCUCUGAAACUCUGCGCUGAAUGCUCCUACUUUUAUCCUUGAGAUUCUCGAUUUCAGCCUUGAGAUUCUCAAAGUUGGCAUUGGAGCUACGCAAAUAACGAAGUUGUUGUUGUGUUGGAGGAGCCAAGCAUUCUGCAACUUCUAAAACGACAGUAACAAUGCAUUCCAACACCUUCAAUCUUUUUUUUUUUUUGGGAGGGGGGGGUUGUGGGAGGAUGGAUUGAUCUGAAGUGAAAGAAACAGAAAAAGAACAGGGGAAACGACUGGACAAUUGUUAAUCAAUGAAGAAUAAACUUCAUAAUAAAGUAGCAUUAGAGUACUAGACAAGCUCACCACGUUUAAGCUAAGCGGAGAAUAGACUUCAUCAACAACGCUUUCGUGAAUAUGCGUUGCAUUACAACGCUCCAAUGUGAUCCUCAUCCAAUACCCAUUAUUUGUGAUCCUUAUUCCACUGCGUCAAUUACACUCCAGUCCAAUGCUACCAUCAUUAUCGAACAGUCGAUAUCCAACACUUGCACGAAGAUUCCAAGAAGUUGCGUGGCUGCUGACUUUUAAAUGCUAAGCCUUAUUGUGUCCAUGAUACACCAAAUAGAGCAGUCCCGGGUAAUUGCCAAAACUUAGAACUAAACAGUAGCUCAGGUCAGAAAAUCAAAUGGAGUGAUGAUAAGAAGCUGAGGCACACCAAUCGAUUGCCUAAGCCUAGCAGCAGAUUGGAGGAAUAUGCAUGGACACAUGCGGCUCGACGUCCACGCCAUGCAACACGUGCAUGAGUAGUGUAAGGCACGUGAGAAUUGAUUUGCUAUUAAUUGGGAGCUGGAUAAUUGAUGAUUUGGAGCUGACCUUUUCAAAAGUUGUUGCUGAUUUGGAAAGGAUCUCACGCAUGAGUUGUUCUUUUCUUUGAUUUGAUAUUUAUUCCAAAAUAAUAAAAACUUGUUUAAAUCAAUAUUAACAACUUGAUCUUGUAAGCUUUGAUUAAGCCUAACUACACGCUACAAAGCAUAAUAAUUAGUUUUGCAUUACAACUAUAAAUAAGCUCCAUCAGUGAAUAAAAUCAUCAUCAGACUUUUAUCCAAACACUACUAGCAAUUGUGGUAGUUCUCACUUUAAGAAGAACAAAUUAUUCACUUAUUAUUUCUACUAAUUCUGACUGGGACCUAUUAGGAUGAAACCAUAAAAUUUGAUUUUAUUGUAUGGUUGAUUUCAUAUCUCUUGCAGCCAUUUCUUAAGAUAAUCAAAUUUUCUCUGGCAUCUUUUGCAACUGUGGAAAUAUCAAUUAUGAUCAAUCAAAACGAUUUCAAAACUUUUCAAUGAGACAUAUUUAUAACACAAUAUUGUGAAAAUUACAACAAAAAUUUUAUUUAUUAUAUAUUAUUAUCCAACGAGUACACACAAAUGAAUUCGUACAAAUCUAAAAUACUUAGCAAUUUUCAAAUAGAAUUUACCAUGUACUACAAGAAAAUAUGGUAUAUGUGACCCCUAGAAGGCAAAAGCAGCCAUUACGUAUAUCACUAACUUUGUAACCCCGAUACCUUUUAUGUGACGGCCACACUGCGGUCACAUAUGUUACUAACCACGUGACGGUAAAGAGCCGUUCGGUAUGCUACUAUUCGCUGGACUCCGUGUUACUAGCCACCAUCGUAAACCUAACUGGUUGCCGGCGAACGGCGUAAAACACUGGCCAUCUUCUUCUUCAUCGUAUUCUCCCUUCAUCUUUUGAGUUAAGCUUGUGAUUAUAAGUUUCUUCUCUUACUUAGCUUGUAAUUAUAGAUUUUGAUUUUUUUUUUUAAUUCGUAUUGUAGCCGUUAUUGUCAAUUUUUGUCCCGCCAGCAAUAUUUUUUUAUUCCUACAAGUUGAAGCCCCUGUGUUCUUGUUCCAUUGGUGAGUUUGCUCACUCAAAUUAAUUUUGUUCUGCAGAAUUUACAAAGUUCAAAUGGAUUCAUUUGAAUUACUAUUGAAUUUAGAUUUAAUUCCAACAUCCAUUCUAAUGUUUUGCUAUUAUAUUUAGUUUAAUUUUAUGUUUAAAGCUUCUACAAUGAAUAGCGGAGCUUGGGUUUUAGUUUCAUUUUCUAGAUAACUUGUUUUAGUUUAUCUUGUAUGCUCACCAAGUGCUUGUUAUAUUGUCUGAUAAGUAAUAUACAUUGCUGAUUCUAUAUUAGUAAUGGUACGUUCUAUUUUCAGAAAUUAUAAUACAAAAGUUUUUAUAAUGGCGUAAAUGAAAGUUCAUAUUGUGUAAGAGCAUGUAGAUGUAAAGCAUCAUUACCAUUUCUACAAAGUGCUUUCAUUCUGUUCAGAUGCUCUUCUUGAACUUUGAAAGGUGCCUCGUUCAAGUCCUAGCUAUAACUACUAGCUUUGAUAAAUUAAGUUCCUAUAUUAGCUGAAACAGAUUUAUUUAAUUAAUUAAUUGUGCAUGUACUAAUUAUAUUGAAAGUAUAUGAAUUUUUUUUUUUUUAACAUGAAUGACUUCUAAAUGACUUAAAAACCUAAAGGAUGUGUGAAAUAAUGCUCAUUUCACUUGAAUGAGCCUAUUAAUACUUUUAUGUCUAUGAUUGUCAAUAUUGACUUAAGCAUUUCAGUUAAAGUGGUUUUCCUAGCAGAGGAAAAAAUUUUAAUAGAAAAACUUCAGAGUUCUAACAGAAAUAUAGUUCACUAUGCAGAUUUACGGUAUACAAAUCAAGUUGUCCUAAUCUCAAUGUCCUAUGACUGAUUUUAUUUGAUAUAGUCAUUAAUUUUUGCCAUGGUCUUUUGUGUUUAUGAGUAUGAAAUAGUGGGAUUUGGUGUACCUUAGCAUCUUUUGAAAAUUCUCUUUAAGUGUGGCCAACAGACAUAUCCGUAUAAUCAAGUUUCUUAAUCGUGUAUAUCAGUUUUGGGUAUGAAUGUUCCUAUUCUAGUUCUAGGCAAAGCUUAUUCGUUUUGGUCUUCAGAUUUCCAGUAGGUUAAGUUAAUCAACUAUCAUAACUGGCUAGCUAGUUAUUGUCUGCCUUGGCGCCAUUACCCAGGCCAUUAUAUUGCAUAGCAUAAGGAAUAGUGAUUAGGUGAUUAUUAGUGAUUUGUUGAGCUUAUUAAUGACCAAACAAACAUAUUCGCCUUUGUCCACCACUUAGUUUGAUUAGUUAUUAGACCAUAAAGAGCCUUGAGCUAUUCAUUGGCUUUAUUAUUUUUAUUUGGUUUUUCUUUCAGCAAUAUUGUUGAUUUCUUAUAAAAAUAUUCAUUGGUUUUUAAAAACCUAAUCAUUGGCUAUAUGAAGCUAAUUAAAACUGAGGCUUUGGAUCAAUUUCUUCUAACAAGAUACAAAUGAGCAUAACCUAUCUCCUCUAAGUAAAUUUUUUUAAUAUCCUUGAUUUGUAAGGAUCUGGAGGCCUGAAAUCCUCAAGAUUUUUUUUUUUAACACUGUUGAUGUUCUUUUUAUUCUGAAAAGGAAAUAAAAGGUUUUAUCUUUCAUACCCUAAUAGUAAGCUGGCCUUGUCUUAACAUGGCCUCCCGAGGAUUUGCAAGAUUCAUAGUGCCCCCCAACCCCCAAAAAAAAAAAAAAACACAAAUAGGAAGAUUUUGCAAGAUUCACCACCAGGUUUUUUUUAAUUUAUUAAUUGUGCGUACGUACUAGUUAUAUGUUGAAAAAAUAGGAAGAAGUAUUUCAACAUGAAUGACUUAAAACUUAUUGCUCAGUAAACAGAAUCUGCAUCAGUGCGAAAAUGUAUUUAUCGUUUGAUUUUUUAUGGUUUUGCUUAAGAAAUGAUAUGUGAAAUAAUGUUACAUUGUAUCAGGAAUAAAUUGAAGAGAUUUAUGAUAUUUAUGUGUUAUUCAAAUUUCAGAUUCAAUUUUAAACUUUUGAUACGUGCAUUGAAAGCUUAGACUUGUUUUAAGAAAUUAUUAAUAGACACAUGUUUUAUUAGUGUCAUCCUUGGAUGAUAGUGAGGAUCGUAUGUCUAUUAAUAAUUCUUGAAUUGUCCAGGCUUGGACAGUUUGGGAAUGCAUAGUUCUCUCUGGUAGCUAGUGGCUGAAGUUUUUUUCCCACGUAAAAAUGGGUUUUUCGGUAGCUGCUCCUCGUGUUCUCUGGGUACGUACUAGGUGGAUGGGUGUCAUGUGUUGUUUUGGCAAAACGCAUAAACACGUAUAUAGCUAUGUCUAGUGCUUGGAGAAUUAUUAGGGAGAUGGUGCCGAAAUUUUUAUAAACGUAGAAGAAAACUUUCGGUACUUGAGAUUGAAGAAACUUAUGUAUUCUUGAGUGGGAUAUGUAGGAUUACUUACCUUUUGUAAAUAUGAAGGGAAUGUUGGAUAUAUUGAGGAUAGUGUAGGAGCUGAGUUGGAUGAAUGUAAUUGGUGAUGAUUUUGCUGAGCUGACCUUGGUUUUGAGCUUGUAAAUGGAGUGCUAUCUCCAGUGUUGGUUUAUAAAUAUGUUUCAGGACUUGCUGACCUAAUUUUUUGUUUCUAGGUUACAGGCUUUAUAUAUCUGUAAUUGAUGGCCAAGUGAAGUUCUCAGCACUUGGCGAGGAUAUUUCUUUACAGAAGGUAUUGGAAACUGUUUUUCACAUUAAUUAUUGUUGUACUUGUAUAUAUACUUUGAUUUUCACAUUUGUUGUACUUGUAUAUAUACUUUGAUUUUCACAUCUUUUUCUCUGAUUCUUGUGGCUUUGCUUGCUUUCAUGUAUGUAAAUUCUAAUGAAAUUAACCAUAAAAUUGUAAAAUGAUCUUUUUAUUAUAUUGCAAGACUGUGCUCACACGAAAAUAUCUUGUUUAGUAGUAGAAAUUAGGGGUGGGUCAAAGCGGGUUCGGGUCGGGUUCAGGUCAACCCGAUCAAGUUUUUUGGGUCGGGUGAAAAUUAACCCGAAUUCAACCCGAAUUACUGACCCGACGGGAACCGACCCGAAUUAAUUCGGGUCGGGUCGGGUCAGUAAUUCGGGUUGAAUUCGGGUUAAAUUGGGUUCGGGUUUAAAUCGGGUCGGGUCAUUCGGGUCAUUUCGGGUUGGUUCGGGUCAAAUCCGGUUAAUGCACUUUUUAGCUCUUUUUUUUUCCUAUUUUUGUAGUUUUAGGGUGUUUUAAAACAUUUUCUUAAUUGUAAUCCUUUUUACUAAUUUUCAACCAAAAAAAGAAAAGAAAAUAUUAUGAAAUCAAAUGAAUAAAGUUAAAAUGCAAGAAUAUGAUUAUUUGCCUAUUGUCUUGGAAGGGAUUAGGAUUAUUAUUUGCUCAACCAACAAAGUCCAAACCUAAUAAAAGUUAAAAUUAAUAGUUUAAUACAAACUUACAAAAUCUAAAGUUAAUAGGCUAUUACAAACUUACAAAAUCUAAAGUUAAUAGGCUAUUAGUCUCCAUUCAAAGCACAAUUUCUAAAUACUAGUCUUUGAAAGUUUGAAAUAUAAAAUCAAAAAAUUUAAACAUAAUUAAAUUUUUCGGAAACAUAAUUAAAGUGUCCAAGCAUCUGAAUAUACAAAAUAAUAAUUAAUAAUCAUUAAUUCAAAAAUAAUCUAAUUGGUAAUUUCAAUUCAAAUUGUUCAUAUCCAUAAAUCAAAAGCAAGAAAUUCAUGAUUAAAUAAUUAAUUUAUAAUAUCCAAUUACCCAUUUCCCAUAAUAAUAUGAUAUUAUUUGUCUAUCUAUGUCCUAAUUCUUAUUAUAAACCCUUUAAUUUCAAGUCCAAAUUGAUUAACAUACAGUAAAAUAUUAAUUGAAUUAAUUAAUUUUUUAAGGUUGAAGGUUUAAAGCGAUUGCACAAGUGCACAUAAUCACAUAACACAAUAACACAUUAUAAUUAGAAAAUAUAUGUAACAUCAUAUUUAAUUUUAAUAUUUAAUCUAUCUACCUAAUCUCCUAAUUUAUUCAUUAAAAAAAAUUAUUAAUUGUUAUUAACAAUUAUUAACAAUUAUCAAUUAACAUUGAUAUAAAUCUUAAUAAUUAACAAAAUUUUUGUUAUUUAUUAACAAUUAAUAAAAAUUUAUUCAUAACAAAAUCAUAAAAACAUCAAUUUUUUUGAUUUUAUUACUAACAUUUAAAAAUACAUAAUUACAAAUUUACAACAAUUAAACAAUAAUCAAUUACAUAAUAAAUAACCAAUUAAGCAAUAACUAAGAAGCAUAUAUAACUAUAUAAUAUACCAUGAAAGAUUGAAAUUGAAACUUGAAAGUGAAACUUGAAAGUCAAAGCUUCAAAUCGGUUCGGGUGAGAGUGGGAGAAACUCGAGUCGGGUUGGUCCGGUUGGAACUUGGAAGCUUCGGCCUUGGGCUUGGAGGCUUGGAGCAGCAGAUCGGCCGACGGUGGAACACGGCAGGCGGCAGCAGAUCGAGGCAACAGAUCACGGCUGUAGGAAGUGGGCAGAUCGAGGCAGCAGAUCACUGCAGCAAGAAGUGGGCAGAUCGCAGCAGCAGGAUGUGGGCAGCAGAUCGCGGCAGUGGGCACUAGGCAGCAGAUCGCGACGUGGCUGAUUGGCUAUGGCCUGUGUGCGUGAGUGGCUGCUAUGUGUGCUCUAUGUUCCGUGGAGACUGGAGAGUGGAGUGGUUGUGGUGUGGCGGUUGGCCUGUGUGUGUGACUGUGUGUGAGGCCGUGAGUCCGUGACUUGUGAGUGUGUGAGUUGUGAAUCUUGUGACUUUGUGUGUGAGAGUUGAGACUUAGACUAUGAAUUCACAGUUGUGAUUCUGUGCGUGUGACUGUGAGUGAGUGGUUGUGGUGUGUGUAAUCUGUUUUUUUUUUUAGGUGACCCGAUUGGGUAUUCUGGUUCGGGUGACCCGAUCGGGUUAACUUUUUCACCCGAUCGGGUUUUAGUAACAACCCGAUCCGACCCGAACCUGAAAUUUUUCGGAUCGGGUCGGGUAAAAUGCCCACCCCUGGUAGAAAUCAAGAACUAAAAUGAUUUAUUUAACUAAUAUUUGUAGCGCAUUAAAAGGAGACAGUCAUGGACAAGUGUUGGGUUGGUUUGCCAAAUAGAAAUCCAAGUCAUAUACUGAUGGGUAGGGGUGGGCAUAAACCCACAACCCAUGGGUUUACCCAAACCCAAACCAAAUUAAAUGGUUUGGGUUGGGUAAAUUAUGAAAAUGGGUUAGAUGUGGGUUUUAUAUAGAAAACCAUUUCAUUAUGGGUUGGGUAUGGUUUACCCAUGUGUUAUGAAUAAAACCCCAACACUCAAAUUUUUCAAAUGAAAUAAAUGAAAACAAAAUAAAUGAACACAAAUAGGUAAAAUAUUUUAUUAUUUAUCUUAUAAUAAAUUUUUAUUUGUCAUUCAAGUUUUCUUAUAAUAAUUUUUUUAUCAUUUUACUAAUAUUUUUCUUAUAUAUUUAUUAUAAGAAAAUUUUCACAAAAUAAAUAAGUAUAAAAAAAAUUUAUUAUUAAUUUUUUUGUUCAUAUCAAAAUAUAUAUUUCUUAUUUUUAAUGCUUUAUUUUUUAUUUAGUUUCUAUUCAUGUGAUUAAGUAUAAAAAAAUUUUAUUAUUAAUUUUUUUGUUCAUAUCAAAACAUAUAUUUCUUAUUUUUAAUGCUUUAUUUUUUAUUUAGUUUCUAUUCAUGUGAUUUAUUUAAUUUAUAAUAAAUAUAAAUAAAAGAGUAGUUGAAAAUAAGGGUAAUAUUGUAAACUUAUGCUAUUAGAGGGGUUUUUGGCCAUUAUAAAAACAUAAGGGGGAAAAAUGAUAUAUCUCCCUAAAUUUAUGCAUAUAAGUAGACAACAUAACGCAAAACUACCAAAACGAUAAAUAAAAUCAAAUAUUGCAUAAUUAAAUAAAUAAUAAGUGGCAAAAUUUAUUAUUAGAUUGUUAAUGUCAUGUUUGUGAAAGUUUAUUAUUAAAGUGUAUGUUCUUAUUUAUUGAGAAAUAAUAAUUUUUGUGUGUUAAACUUUAUUUUAAUUUUCUAGUAUUCUUUAAUUUAAGGAUUAAGUUAUUGUAAAAUUUAUAAUUUUUAUCCACUAUAUUUUUUUAUAUUUUAAUAUCAAUUUAAUAAUUAAUAACAAUUAAUAAUUAUUAUAAUUUUGAUAUAAUUAAAUUUUAUUAAAAUAAAAAUUAUUUUGAUAAUAAAAUUCAAACCAAACCCAAACCAAACCCAAAUGAUUUGGUUUGGGUUGGUUUGGAUUGGAUCUUAAUUUUUAUGGUUUGGUUUGGGUUGACUUAAAAUCCAACCCAAACCAACCCAUGCCCACCCCUACUGAUGGGGUUGAAAAAUUUAUAGAUUUUACAUUUGAGAAUGUUGUUGGUGGCACAAGAAUUUAUUGUCCUUUUAAGAAGUGUUGUAAUCUAUAUUUCGUUAUAAGGGAAGUGGCUGAUGAUGAUAUGGUUGGAAUGAUACACUGCAUCACGUAAUCAAAUGUUCAAGUUACACGCAACAUUGUUAUGGACUAUCAGUCAACUUUCUAGCAUUGCCAACUUGUCUGGGUGGAGUAUUAAAGGUAAAUAAGCAAUUAAGCAUGUCUUGUUUGCCAGCAAAACACUAGAUCUAAUACAUAGUAGAAAAUUUUGUCACAUGGAUCACCGUCGAUUUUUACCAACAAAUCAUAGGUUUCGAAAAUAUAGUGUCUUUUGAUAAAACUAGAGAGUAGGGCAAAGCACCCUCUCGAUUGUCUGGAACUGAAGUGAAAAAGCAGUUUAAUAUACUUACUGAGUAUAAGAUUGAAGACUUCAAAAGAGGAAAACGAAUAAAAUGAGAGAAAUGAUAAGAUUACUUGGAAGAAGAACAACAUUUUUUAUGAACUACCGUAUUCACCAUGAUCUUGAUAUCAUGCACUGUUUUAAUUUUUGUUAUGAAUUCAGAUCAAAAGUUUAAUGUGAUCAAAAUUUCUUAAAAAAAGUGAAAACGACUCCUCCUAAUAAUAUGGAAGAUGGCUAUAAAAGAUAAAAGGAAAGGCUUAAAAGGAAAAGCCAUGCCCGUCAAAAAAAAAAAAUGGCAGCGUCAAAUUUAUAACAAAAAUAAAAACGGUGCGUUUGAGAGUGUAAAAAAUACAUUUAGUGGGAGUUGUGUUGUUGCUUGAAGGCAGAUUGUUUGUGAGAUUUUUGUCAACGAAGCCAAAACCAAAGAUGAAUUACGAGGGUUAUGUUUGCCAUAGUCAAGGAACACUGUCCUCUCACCGUUGCCGAAACUUGGGAACGCGUCAAGGCGUGUGUAUCUGUUAAAUUGAAUUUCAACCGUUUGAUCUGUAAUUAUAAUUAAUCCAAUCAAUCUGACAGUGAUCACUGAUCAUAAUUCUAGUAGUUGUUUUACAAAUUCAGCAAGCUGGAGCAAGCGGAUUGACGGGCAAAAGCUGUCAAAUAAGGUGUCCAUCUAGAUGGUAUAAAGCAGCCAUCUAGAUGGUCAGCACAAUUUUGUUCAAAGAAGACGAAGAAGAAUUUGGCAGCAGUAAAUUUGGAAUGAAGAAAAUGGAAAAAGAAGAAGUUUGAAGAAGAAAAAGGGGAACGAUUUUGACAAGAAAAAAAAUUAAUUAUUAUUUUAAUAGCCAAUUUUGGCUAUAUAAAGGGAGCUCUUCAUUUAGUUUUCAGCAUCUAAUUUUGUAGAGAGAGUUGAGAGUUGUGAGAAGUGAUUCUUGCAAGAGCAAAGAAUUUUGUGUACUUAGUGAUUUGAGAGUUUGGGUGUAUUGGGAUUUUGGGUAGUGAGCUAAAAUACUACAAUACUUGUAACUCCUUUUCACUAGUAAAAUAUUUCUUUUUGUUUUUGCCUAUGGACGUAGGCUAAAAGCUGAACCACGUAAUUUCUGGUGUCCUCUAUUGUGCUUGUUCUUUAUUUUCUUACAAUUUCAUUUUAGCUGCGAUCCUGCUUCACCCACCAAUUUCCUAACAGUGGUAUCAGAGCUAUUGGUUGUAUUUUUGGAGUCGGGUACUAUUCACGUAAGGGUACUAUUCACAUAUACGGUACUAUUCACGUGUACGAUGCUGUUCACGUAUACGGUACUAUUCACGUAUCCGGUACUAUUCAUGUAAAACGGUGGGAGCGAUCCAAGAAUUUUACGGUGUUAAGCAGGGAAUAGUGGUGUGAGUAAAACAACUGUGUGGUUUUGUACAUGUCUAGGAAAGUUCCGUCACAAAGGUGAUAACAGCUUAAGGAGUUUGGGUUUUAAGUGGGAUCUUUGUGACCCCUCCAGUUUUUCCUAGGAACUUUCUUAGUGUGCAUAUUCACACAUACUCACAACUAUUCAAGGUGAUACACUAGUUUGUGUACAAUAUUUAUCAACAAAAUGGCGACAAAGUAUGAAAUUGAGAAAUUUAACGGAAAUAACUUUUCGUUGUGGAAAAUUAAGAUGAAAGCUGUAUUGAGGAAAAAUAAUUGCUUGGCAGGAAUUGGAGAAAGGCCCAUGGAGAUAACUGAUGACAAGUGGAACGAGAUAGAUGGCACCGCCAUUUCAGAUCUACACUUGGCACUUGUAGAUGGAGUAUUAUCCAGUGUGGCAGAGAAAAAUACAGCGAAGGAAAUAUGGAAUACUCUUACAAAAUUGUACGAGGCCAAGUCACUACACAACAAAAUCUUCUUGAAGAGGAAACUCUAUACUCUUCGAAUGACGGAAUCUACAAUGGUAACCAACCACAUCAACACCUUGAAGACUCUAUUUUUACAACUCACAACGUUGGGUCAUAAUAUAGAGAAGAAUGAACGUGCAGAGCUUCUACUUCAAAGUCUACCAGAUUCGUAUGAUCAGCUCAUCAUCAACCUGACGAAGAACAAUCUAGUGGACAGUCUAGUUUUCGACGAUAUUGCAGCCUCCAUAUUAAAUGAGGAGAGCAGGCGAAAAAAUAAGGAAAACAGACAAGCAAGUUCGCAGCAAGCGGAGGCGCUAUCGGUGACGAGAAGGAGAUCAACGGAACGUGGCCCCAGUGGGAGUCAAAAUCAUGGUAGAUCAAAAUCCAUAAGUAAGAAGAAUGUUAAAUGCUACAACUGUGGUAAGAAAGGGUACGUCAAAAAGGAGUGUUGGAGUAACCAGAAGAGAAGAGAGGGUAAAGAACCUGAGUCAUCAAAUGCUCAGGGGUGUGUAGCAAGUACCUCAGAUGAUGUCGAAAUUCUCUACAGCGAAGCAACAACUGUUUCAGAAGGCAGAAAAUGACUUUCUGAUGUCUGGCUUAUAGACUCAGGAGCUACCUGGCACAUGACCUCUCGGAGAGAGUGGUUCCACACAUAUGAACCUAUCUCAGGAGGAUCUGUAUAUAUAGGUAAUGAUCAUGCCUUGGAGAUCGCUGGUAUUGGUACUAUCAAAAUAAAAAUGUUUGAUGGUACAAUUCGCACAAUUGGGGAGGUACGACAUGUCAACGGCCUGAAGAAAAAUCUUUUGUCUUUGGGACAAAUGGAUAGUCAUGGGUAUAAAACUCAUGUGGAGAAUGGAAUUAUGAAGAUCGUUAAAGGAGCGCUUGUAUUGAUGAAGGCAGAAAAGAUCGGUGCUAAUCUAUUCAUGUUUAAAGGAGAAACACUACAGGAGGCUGAUGCGUGUGUCGCAUCAAAUGGAGAAGAGUCAACGAUGAUGUGGCAUCUCAAACUUGGUCACGUGUCAGAAUAAGGCUUGAAGAUUCUCUCUGAGCGAAAAUUGCUUCCGGGGCUCAAAUCGGUAAGUUUACCAUUUUGCGAGCAUUAUGUUACAAGUAAGCAGCAUAGAUUAAAAUUCAGUAGAUCUAUUGCUAGAAGUAAAUGCAUUCUAGACUUGAUUCAUUCUAAUGUUUGGGAAUCACCGGAUAUAUCCAUGGGAGAUGCAAAGUACAUGGUGACUUUCAUUGAUGAUUAUUCCAGAAGAUGUUGGGUGUAUCCAAUUAAGAAAAAGUCAGAUGUAUUUCCAGUGUUUAAAGAAUACAAAGCGCGGGUGGAACUUGAAUUUGGUAAAAAAUCAAGUGCUUGAGGACGGAUAAUGGUGGAGAGUAUACAGACGGCGAGUUUCUUGCUUUCUGUAAGUAAGAAGGUAUCCAGAGGCAGUUCACGGUGGCAUACACUCCUCAACAAAAUGGAGUGGCAGAGCGGAUGAACAGAACUCUUACAGAAAGAAUAAGAGCUAUGUUGAGGAUUGCUGGUCUACCCAAUUCAUUCUGGGCAGAAGCAGCCAAAAUUGCUUGUUAUAUAGUAAAUCGAUCGCCAUCUACAGCUAUUGGGCUGAAGACAGUGAUGGAGAUGUGGACUGGAAAGCCAGCUGAUUAUUCCUACCUACAUGCAUUUGGAUGUCUUGUGUACGUAAUGUACAAUGUCCAAGAAAGAACAAAACUAGAUGCAAAAUCUAGAAGAUGUAUCUUCUUGGGAUAUGCUGAUGGAGUAAAGGGGUAUCGUUUGUGGGACCCCACUGCCCACAAAAUCGUCAUCAGCAGAGAUGUUAUUUUUGUAGAAGAUCAACUGCAAAUGAAAGAUGGAGGUGAUGGCACUGUAAAAGAAAAGUCAGAGACUGUGCCAGUAUAUGUGAAAAAUAAUCUAGAAGAUUCAGAUUCUUCUGAAGCAGCACCAGAGCACGAGGAAUAAGAACCAGUCGAGUCUGAGGCUCCAGAAGUUCGUCGGUCAACUCGUGAGAGACGACCACCAACGUGGCACUCGGAGUAUGUCACAGAGAUCAAUGUUGCAUACUAUGUCACAGAGAUCAACGUUGCAUACUGUCUUCUAACAGAGGAUGGAGAGCCUUCAACUUUCCAUGAAACUUUAAACAACUCAGAUGUUGCUUUGUGGAUGACGGCAAUGCAGGAAAAAAUUGAAGCUCUACACAAGAACAAGACAUGGAAACUUGUACCACUACCACGUGGAAGAAAAGCCGUUGGUAACAAAUGGGUCUACAAGAUCAAACGUGAUGGCAAUGACCAAGUGGAGCGGUAUCGUGCAAGAUUGGUGGUGAAAGGAUAUGCUCAGAAAGAAGGUAUUGACUUCAACGAGAUAUUUUCUCCGCUGGUUCGACUCACAACAGUCAGAGUAGUUUUGGCGAUGUGUGCUACAUUUGACUUACAUAUAGAGCAGUUAGAUGUGAAAACUGCAUUUCUUCAUGGAGAACUUAAAGAAAAAAUAUAUAUGCUCCAACCAGAAGGUUUUGCAGAAACAGGAAAGGAGAACUUGGUUUGCAGGUUGAACAAAUCUCUAUGCGGUCUCAAACAGGUGCCGAGGUGUUGGUAUAAGAGAUUUGAUUCCUUCAUCAUGAGCCUUGGAUACAACAGACUCAGUUUAGACCAUUGUGCAUAUUACAAGAGGUUUGAAGAUAAUGAUUUCAUUAUUUUGCUGUUGUAUGUGGAUGACAUGUUGGUAGCAGGUCCCAACAAAGAUCGAGUCCAAGAAUUAAAGGCACAGUUGGCUAGAGAGUUUGAAAUGAAGGACUUGGGACCAGCAAACAAGCUUCUAGGGAUGCAAAUUUACCGAGACAGAAAUAGCAGGAAGAUUUGGCUUUCGCAGAAGAAUUACUUGAAGAAAAUCUUGCGGCGCUUCAACAUGCAAGAUUAUAAGUCAAUUUCUACCUCACUUCCUGUUAAUUUCAAAUUAUCCUCAAGUAUGUGUCCUACCAAUGAAGCAGAGAGGAGGGAGAUGUCUCGAGUACCAUAUGCAUCAGCAGUGGGAAGUUUGAUGUUCGCUAUGAUAUGUACUAGACCGGACAUUGCACAAGCAGUGGGAGUAAUCAGUCGAUACAUGGCAAAUCCUGGUGGAGAGCAUUGGAUAGCUGUAAAGAGGAUUCUGAGAUACAUCAGAGGAACCUCAGAUGUUGUAUUAUGUUAUGGAGGAUCAGAGUUUACUGUCAGCAGCUAUGUGGAUUCAGAUUUUGCAGGAGACCUUGAUAAAAGAAAAUCUACUACUGGUUAUGUGUUUACACUUGCGGGAGCAGCUGUAAGCUGGGUUUCGAAACUGCAGACUGUUGUGGCUUUAUCUACAACAGAAGCAGAAUACAUGGCAGCUACACAAGCUUGCAAGGAAGCUAUUUGGAUACAAAGGUUAUUGAAGGAGCUCGGGCACAAACAACAGAAAAUUCCUGUGUUUUGUGACAGUCAGAGUGCCUUGCACAUUGCAAGGAAUCCAACCUUUCAUUCCAGGACAAAGCACAUAGGAGUUCAGUAUCACUUCGUUCGAGAAGUAGUGGAAGAUGGAAGUGUAGAUUUACAGAAAAUCCAUACGAAGGAGAACCUAGCAGAUAUUUUGACCAAGCCGAUAAAUACUGAUAAAUUUGUCUAGAGUAGAUCCUCUUGUGGCCUAGCAGAAACGUAGACAACAUGAUUAUGGCGAAGCAGAAAGGAUGGUGUGGAAAUUAAUUAAUUCUCAUUUAAAUCUCCAAGUGGGAGAAAUGUCAAAUAAGGUGGCCAUCUAGAUGGUAUAAAGCAGCCAUCUAGAUUGUCAGCACAAUUUUGUUCAAAGAAGAAGCAGAAGAAUUUGGCAGCAGUAAAUUUGGAAUGAAGAAAAUGGAAAAAGAAGAAGUUUGAAGAAGAAAAGGGGGAACGAUUUUGACAAGAAAAAAAAUUAAUUAUUAUUUUAAUAGCCAAUUUUGGCUAUAAAAAGAGAGCUCUUCAUUUGGUUUUUAGCAUCCAAUUUUGUAGAGAGAGUUGAGAGUUAUGAGAAAUGAUUCUUGCAAGAGCAAAGAAUUUCGUGUGCUUAGUGAUUUGAGAGUUUGGGUGUAUUGGGGUUUUGGGUAGUGAGGUAAAAUACUACAAUACUUGUAACUCCUUUUCACUAGUAAAAUAUUUCCUUCUGUUUUCGCCCGUGGACGUAGGCUAAAAGCUGAACCACGUAAUUUCUGAUAUCUCUAUUGUGCUUGUUCUUUAUUUUCUUACAAUUUCAUUUUAGCUGCGGUCCUACUUCACCCACUAAUUUCCUAACAAAAGCCACAUGAAGAUUGUGUGUGUUGAGAUGGAAGAGGGAGAGACAAAAGCUUAGGCUCGUCUGCAAUCACGUAGGCCCUCAUAAGUGAAUCCUGUACACAACUUGGUUCACCAAACCCAACAACUUGAAGCUGCCUUAACCUUGUAGUGAAACGGUGAUGAUGGAAGCCCCUCAGCAAGUCAGCAUGUAAACUUUUCAACAGCGACACAGCUCUUAUUCCAGAGGCCGCACAAAAGAGCGACCUGAAUCCUUUUCAAAACUUUCAAAUUUUUAUCAAGUAAAGCUUUCAAAAUUUCUCAACAAAUUGAUUAUUUGGUGUGGUUGCCACAUUUUGUGCAACUGCUAUUCGUUUUCGAGUACAAAUUCCUUGCCUUCUAAGUUAGGGAAGAUAGAUGUGAAGCAAACAGGGAAACAGAACAAACAGGGCAAAAAUUAAAAUAACAGAACAGCAAUGAUGGCAAUCAACAAACUAAUAGCAAUAUUGCAUUUGAUUCUUUAGACCAAUUGUUCAUUCUCUCAGCAUUCUUCAAUAGUUUUUGAAAAUUAGAUGUGAAGCAAACAAAAUAAAACAAAUUUAGACAACAGAAGCCCUGUAUUCAGCAUCAUAUAUAUACCUUGAAUACCUAAUAUAAUAAAUUUCACAUCUAAAAUACUAGAAAUUUCAAACAGUACCAGCAAUAGAAUAAUGACAACGACAACAAUAACAGAAAAUUAUAAGAUUGCUGAUAAAAUUUCAUUUGCAUGGAUGUCUGACAAAAUUUCUAUGAUUUAAUGUGCUUUCAUGCAUGCAAAUCCUAACGUUUCUGUGAUCACAAAAUGAAACUGAAGAUAAAUCAGAACAACUACCAAACCUUUGGCUGAAAAUUCAGAAGAAUUUAUAUUCAAAAUGUCAAAAUAAACUGGAAAUUUAUUUCACAUAUUACAAGAAGCAGUGCAGACCAAUGGUAAAUUGAUACAUCGUUUUUGAACUUAAUAGCGGCGGGUUAAUGUAACACUUUCAAAGCUGCAUGUAGUGAUACAGUAGAGUGAAUACCCUCAGAAUGUAAGCUUAACUUCAAAGGACGGAGCACGAGUUUCACAGAAAAGUAGCUCUUAUUUCUGAUGCUGCAAACACAGAGAAGUGACCUCAAUCUUCUUCAUAUUUAUUUUGAAAAAUUUUCAUAUAACCUGACUAACCGAGAUUAAUUUUGUGGUAAUGUAUUGGGUCAUUAUUUUUUAUGUUCUUACUGUGAUCACUUUAGGAAAAAACUAAUUUCUCAAUGUGAAAUGGCCCAUAAAAAUUAUUCUCAUUUAAAAACUAAAUUUGACAGACCCCUCGAUUAAAACAGGGGAAAAAAAAAAAAGAUCUGAAGGCUUUCCACAUGAAAAUGUUGUCACUUUGAAUGAUAUUUUCAAGGAGAAUAAAAUUCCUUUUCUAAAAAUAAAAUACCUUAUUCUUCAAAUUGACAGCUCGCCAAGUACUGAAGGCGUAUGAGAUCAGUACUGCGACGAGUAAGGAGACGAACCCUCCAACAGCUGAAAAUAAAAUUCGCAUUCAUGAAUUUAAAUUAAAAUUCAUAUUAUGAAAUUAAAACUAAUGAUUAAUGAAUUUUCGAGGAAUUUAAUAAGAUUCUCAUAUAUAAACGUGAUUAAAAAUUCACUCAUUAAUAACAAAUAUUCUAACAGUUACCCGUACCUUUUCUUGAUGUAAUUGUUGUAUGAUUGUGUUAAGGUCAUUAUUAGACCAACGCACUUUGUCCUCACUCCUUCCGUACCGGACGUUUACUCUCAGAGGCGUGGUUGAUUCUCCUUUGGUGAAAAUCUUCAUCUUGGGACAACCAAUCACCGACAAAUCUUGCAAACAUGGGAAUUUGAAGGUGUAAUUGGCAGAGGAGAAGCUUGUGAGACUAUCUAAAUCAAACAGGGACAAUGUAAUCAAUUUGCUGAAAACAAUCUCUUCUUUUAUAUUUGCUGUUUCAUCUUCGUCACAUACUACGACUUCUGUCAUUGCUGUGCAUCCAAAUACCUUCAAUGAUAAGAGUCGCUCCAGACUUUUUGCUGUGGAGCAUGUUCCUAAGUUCAUCAAUUUCUUGCAAGCAAAAGCUUGCAGAUGUGCGAGAUUCCGAAAAGAUACCGAUGAUGAUGGCAAUAGACUUAACAGAUUUUGACAGUGAUAUGCUCUUAGAAUUUCAAGAUGUUGAAAAAUGAAGUCCAGCUGUUUGGAGUCACGUUUCCACAGUUGCUGCAGACGAUUAAGUCUGGUCAGGUUUAACUUUUUUAUCAGUGCCAACUUCCUCCCAUGUUUCUCCAAAUAUCCUUCAUUUGAAAAUACCACUUCAUACGAACAAUCCGACAGGAAGAGAAGUUUCAGAUUGUUAAACCUCUCAAGUAAACCAAGUUGAAAGCAAGCUAAGUCAUCAUCCCCAACAUGUAGUAGUUUAAGACUGCCAAAGAGGUGUUGUGGGAAAUCGCCUUGCAAAAUCAUCGUGAUGUCUUUUCCACUUAAUGCCAGUUCCUCCAAGUUGGGUAAGAUCUGAUCAUCAUCGAGCUCAAAUUAUUAACUUAGCACAUUGAUCCAUAAUUCAAGACUGGCAAAAUUCAUUGUGUAAUCAAAGUUUUCAAUGAUCUAACUAAUAUAUAUAUAUAUAUAUAUAUAUUCCUUCUCUAAUGCGGACAUCCUCAUUUUUUUUUCUUGUGGACCAAUUUUUAGACCCCAUGGUUUAAAAAAGUUAAUUUUUAACUCUCUAAAACCGCAUGGCUUCAUAAUUCAUUAAAAAACUAACUCUCUUAAACCGUACGGUUUAAAAGCGUGUCCACAUUAAAAAAAAUACGAACCCCCCACACCUGAGAAUGAUUAUAUAUAUAUAUAUACACACGCUCUUAAACUGUGGGAUUUGAAAGCUUCUCCGCAUGAAAAAAGUAAAAAAUAAGGGCAUUCCCACUUGAAAAAAACUCCAUAUAGGUAUUUAUUAAACCUGUGAGUGAGGAACAACAAAGAUAAUUGAUAAAAAAAAUCUAAAAUUUGGUUUCAUACCUUCUUGAACGAGAGCAGGGGUUGUUGUGCCGGAAUACCAAAUUGAUCAUUCUCGUUAUUCUGGGACAACGUUAUUUUAUCACAAUUACAGGCCUCCAAAUGUUUUAGUGCUGGCCAUUCUGAAGUAUGCAUUCCAGGGUAUAAACAUCUGAGUUCUGGUAGACCUUCGAGAUUCAGAGUGGUCACUUGUGGAAAGACAAAAUAUGGGGUCACUUGAUCUGCUCUGUCUUUGGAGAUGAUCUCUUGUAAACCCAUACAUAUCCGUAUCUCCAGGUGUUGGAGGUGCUUAAGGCUUUGGAUCAUAGAAGCUGAAAAUAUGUAUUUUAAUUUGUCACAGCCCCACACUAUCAAUCGUGUCAAACUUUGAAAGUAAGUAAUCAUGGCCGCAAGUUGAUUGUCAUUCCAAAUCUCGUCGACAUUAAUAGCAUUCAGCUCCAAAGCCUCCAAAUUUGGCAACACUACCUAAAGAUAAUUUUCUCUUUAGAUCCAAUAUCCGUAUGGAAAGCACUUGUUUUGACACAAUAUCCAUAUAAGAAGCACCUAAUUAAGAGCUUAAUUAGCGAGUGUAUGAGACUUUUUUUUUUUUUUUCAAAUUAGAGUGCAUGAUAGAACUAAAGAAAAAAAAAGAAGCAUUAGCCUACGUACCUUCUCGUUGAAAAGCAGAGUUGACGUUUCCGAACUGAUCUCGUUGGAACUGGCUGUCAAUUCCUCUUGCGACUCUUGUCUGUUUGGUGAUGUGGAAGGAGUCUUCACUUCACCGCAAAACCUUGUAACCUUUGGAAGCUUUCCCAGACUCAAAGAUCUUAAUUGAACAAACUCUAUCUUCUCAUCAACAUCAACAUCAGCUUCUCCUCCAGUUGCAAAAAUCUCUUCCAUGCUGCUGCAAUUGAUAACUGCAAUCCUCUCCAGUCUUGGAAGGCAUUUUGUACUACUAGAGAGCCAGAAGAUAUUACUCAACUCAUCACAAUUUUCUACUUUUAUGGUUUUGAGUUCAUUGAAGGACUCUAUUUUGAGUCGAUCAAUACAUAUCCUCUCCGUAUUGAUCAAAUUGUGAAGAGUAAGGGACUCCAAAAGAGGAAAGGCGACACAUGGUUCUCUCUCCAUUGAAUCGACGAUACACAGGAAGUCUGGAUUAUUUUGAACAUGGAGAUGCUUCAAUUGUGAAAAGCCCUCAGUGUCCAAUUCUAAAACCACAUUCUUGAUUCCUUGCAACUUAUCCAAACAUAAGUAUUCAACGUUAUUGAUGAGCUGCAACUUCUCGGAGCAAAUGGCCAUAGAAUCAAGCUUGAGCUUCAAUGUUCUUAAACUCUCAUGAUUACUGAUCAUAAAGUGCUGCCGACUUUCAAACCAAUCAUUCUCAAUAACCAGGGUAGAGUCGAAUGAUGCAUCUCCUAUUGAUAUAUCAAACCUUUCCAGCUUUUUGGAAAAAAACCCAUCCGGUAAAAUGCUAUCAUUUUUAACAUCUAUUUCUAAAGUGGUCAAUCGCCUCAAAUGCAUCAAUUCGUCGAGGGUGGCAUUACUUCUUUCACUAUUGGCCUUUUCAACUUCCCAUUCAACAGGGGAAUUACCCAUAUACAGUUCUUCCAAUCGAGUGAAGCUUGAUAAGACGUUGGGCACAAUAAAUUUUAGUUGCAAACAAUCUGUUAAAUCUAACAGCCUUAACUUAGUCAGUUGACCUAGUUCGCCAGGCAACCGUACAAUAUCAGAAUUUAAAAAGCUAAGGAUUUCUAGAUUCUUCAACUUUCCAAUUAUGGCUAUGUCUCCCAACAUGCUUUGAUCUAGACAGAGUGUUUGAAGAUUUGCUAGAAGACCGAUUGAAGAUGGCAAUGAAAAUAAUCGCAUUCGUGUCAAAUCUAUAACUCGAAGCGUUUUCAUCCCUUUGAAAAUGUUGUCAGGAAUAUUGACCUCAACAAAAGUGUUUUGGGAAAUAUGUAAAAAUUCAAGUUGCAGACAUUCAAAUUCCUCAGAAACUUCAUGAAUGCUACUAUUUAAUAAAGAGAUUGCAGAGCAUUUUUUAAGUGCAUCCUCAUCAGGCCACUCCCACACAACCUCAUUUCUCACCAAGAAAACAUGUUGGUCUCGACAUGCAAUUGAUACGACAACAUCGUAGACAACAUCAUGCAUGGAAAAUUGUUCACUGCUAUCACCCUCAAGCAAUAAACAAGAGUCUCUAAGUUCAUGGACCAAUGCAUAUAAUUUGUUUCGUGCAUCUACCAUCCUGUUGACUCCUUGAAAUAUGCCCAAACCCAUGGAGUAUUUAAACAAGUCUGUAAACCAAAAACUGUUACCUAUUAGACUGCAGAGCAGAAAAAUUUUCUUGAGUUGCUCACCUUUUAAAUACUUGAAACUCAGUUCAAUACUUGAAUAAGUCUCUGCAGGCACACCUUCGAAGUUUACCACUGAAGGCGUUUGGAGUUCUCGCAAGGCAUUCUUCCACUCAUGCAGACUCUUGUUUCUCAGUGCCCUCGCUACUGUAGUCAAGGCAAUGGGCAAACCUCCACAUGCCUGGGCUACAUUAAUUGCUGUAGACUUGAACUUACAAUUUUCAAGAUCAUCACUAUUCAUUAUCUUAAACAAUCUCCAAGCUUCUUCUUCAUUUAGAUUGCCAAUCAAGAAGUUAUCUUUGGAGCCCAUACUUAAUAGCACAUUAUUGUCUCUUGCUGUCAGCAGUAGUCUACAUCCUUUAUGAUCAUUUCCAAAGGGAAUUCCAACCGUCUCCAAAUCAACAUGUUUCCAGAUAUUAUCUAGAAUCACAAGAAUCUUAUUCUCAUUCUUCAGUCGUUCAUACAGCCUGCUAGCUCUUCUAUAUUCAGCUUCAUCGGACAACUACAGACCUAACUUCUCUGCAAUUUCCCCUUGAAUCUUUUUUAUGUCUGGAGUUUGUGAAACCUCUGAAAAAACCACCCGAUCAAACAGCUUGUCUUCCCUGGCUUGCCUAGCAAACUCCUUCACCAGUGUCGUCUUUCCAAUGCCGCCCAUGCCGUACACCCCAAUAAUGCUGACAUUCACAUCAGUCAACGCAUUUUGUAUGGACUUCAAAGUAGAAACUCUUGAUUCGAAGGCCUCGUAACCUUUGUUCGACUUAAGCCAUAUCUCCUCCGGAGUGGUACGGUGGGAAACGAUAUCAAACUUCUUAACUUCUUCUCCAAGUUCAACAAGGGCCUUCACCUCUGUCUCUGCUUUCUUGCUAAGCUGAUAGCGGGUCUUCAAAUUAGGACACAAGCCCUUGAGACAGCGCUUAUUUGUUGACUCUUCAUCUUCAACGAAUUUGGUUGCCCGGUCAAUGAUGCCGUUAGCAUUAACCAGCCACUUCUCAACCUUCUCUUCAAUCUCUUCCCCUUUUUCUUUCGCCUCUGAAACUCUGCGCUGAAUGCUCGUACGUUCAACCUUCAACUUCUCCAUUUCCGCCUUGAGAUUCUCAAGGUUGGCAUUGUAGUUCCGCUUGCGCAAAUAAACAAGUUUGCGUUCUGUUGGAGGAGCCAAGCAUUUUACAAGUUCCAAAACGAGAGUAACAAUGAUUUCCAGCAUCUUGAAUCCUGACAACAAUGUAGAAAUGAAGAAGGCCAAAGGACAGUAAGAACAGAGAGACAACGAUACGACAAGCAGUUAUGGAGCUAAAAAUAACUAACAAACAAACAGAAGCAAAGUGUUUUUCGAAUGAGAAGAAGGAAGCAAGAAAAGGGUUUCUAUUUAGAUUAAGAAUGAAUGUAAAGAAGUGACAAAGAUGUCACAUAAUGUAAUUAAGUACAGAAUAAGAAAUGAUUAAGAGAGUGGGGGAGCUAAUAAGACUGUGGAGUGAGCAAACGUAAAUAAAUUUUUCUUAACCUAUUGUCACACGCGUAUGACAAAUAAUAUAAUUAAUUUUAUAUUUUUAUUCAAUAACUAUUAAUUAUAGUUUUUUAAAAUUAUUAAAAAAAUAAUUAGGUACUGAAUUUAAAUCCUAUCCUAAAUGGUUAGAUAAAAAUAAGGGAAUGAAAAGAGUAAUGGUAAAUUAAUAAGAAGGUGUGAUUGAUUAAUUUAUGAGGCCAAUUAACGAAACGACAGAUCUAGUUUCCAUGUUUGUAAUUUAAGUGUAUGAGUACGAGGUGAACCAACUCUUUGUCGAGUCAAGCAAAUAGAAAGAGAAAUUACUAAAAUAAGAACCAGCAACUUUCACUCACACAUGAGCUAAUAAUGUAUUGAGAUUGGGCAGAGUAAUAUAAAACCUUAAAACUAGUAUAAUAAAUUUGUCAUCAAGUUUUAGCCUUCUUCUUCAACCAAUUACAGCACUAUCUUGAGCUCUGAGUUUCUUUUUUUAAAUUAUUCAAAAGAUCUCUGUCAUUAGUUUUUCAAUGAUAAAAAUUAUAUUUUUAUGUCAUAAAAUAUAAAAUUUAAAAAAAAAUGAAACAUAUAUUAUAGGUCUGUUUGAGAUUAUUUUUAAAGGCUCAAAAGUCAUUUUUUAAAGUUAAAUGUUAAUUUUGGUAUUUGGUAAAAUUUUUAAAAAUCGCCUUUGGUAAAAUCACUUAUCCCACAACAAAUUUCGGAAAGUAAAAAAGGAAUAGUUUGUCAAAAUCUAAUUUUGAUAACCAGUUUUAUACUUAAUAUAAUUCUAUAUACAACCUUAUAUAUAUUAUAAAAAUAAAAAAUUAUCCUUAUUAUUUAGGAAAUAAAAUUAUUAAUUUUAAAGAUAUUUUAACAAUUACAUUGAGAUAACAAAAUAAAAAUAAAAUUAAUAAUAUAAAAUAUUUAUUUCUGUUAUCAAUUAUUAUAUGUACAAGAUAAAAUUUUUUUUAUAUACAUGUUUAUAAAUGUAUAAAUAAAUUUUGUUUAGCAUUAUGUUCAAUUCGGUCAUUUACAUUAAUAGCACUUUUAGAAGUAAAUUUUCCUAAAUGUUUAACUGAUUAUCUUUACAGUGAUUAUUUCCACAACAUAACUACCAGAAAUUAUUGUAAAAGAUACAACAUUACCAAAAAAAUAUUGAGGUACAUUUUAAUUAAGUAAUUGACUUAAUUAUGAAUCAAUUUAUUAUUUUCAUCUGUGUUAUCUAAACCAGUUCAUUAAUGAGAUCACUCUUUUCCUUAAAUAAAAAUAUUCCUGCCAAACAAUUGUUAACAAAAUUUCAAAUAUAAAUUACAAACAACAAAAUUUUCUAAAGUCAUAACAAUUAUUUAUGUUCUAAAUACAUGUAACUAAACCACAUUGAAAGUUGUCAAAACACGAGGACCUAUUGUUAGUAAAAUUAUUUCUCAAGCAAAUGCAGUGACGGAUUUGGUUUCAUGUUUCACCCUCAAUAACUUAAUUUUCAUAUCUAACAAAUCAUUCAUAUUAUUAACAAUAUCAUCACCAACCAUAAUCUACCUAAACAUACAUAUAACUAUAUACAUACCGAAUCAGGAAAACAAUGAAGGCUACACGUAUCCGGCUCUACAAUUCCUUGUUGGUACCCUUGUGCUUCUAAAAUAAUCGACCAAUUAUAAAAAUUAGCUUUGGCGCAACUUUACCCCUUUUUUUUGGAAAACUUAACUAUAAAUAAAGUAUACAAAUCUCUAAAUUAACUUCGUUCCCAUGAAAUUCAGCAUAAAUAGAAAUAGAAUUAUAGAAACCUUACUACCUUUUAUGAGAAAUCCAACUCAUAUAUUUGAGGCCUCUCUCUCUAAACACGCGCUUCCUCUCUCUGUAGACUUUCCACCUUUGAAUUUUCCUUCACUAAGUCUACCUAAAUGAAUUUAGCAUUCUCCCAGUUUCUUUAGCAUUUUUUCUCCGUGAAAAUAGGUGAAAAAGAGAAAGUGGUUUGAUUAUUUUAAUGUAUGACAGAUCUGGUUUCCAUCUCUGUAAUUUAAGUUUGUCAAAACGAGGUGAUCAACUCUUUGUCGAGUCAGUCAAAUAUAAAAGACAAAUUACUAAACCAAGCAGAGCCCAAAAAAAAAAAUAUUUCCAAUUAAAUAAUCAUCAAGUCUUUUUCAAUUAAAUUAGGGAGUGCAGAACAACUGUCGAGAGAUAAUCAUUGUUUAUGGAGCCAUAUUAUAUUUUCGAUUAAAAUAGGUGCGCGUGAACAAUUGGCAGAAUUCGUAUAAAUUGUUGUCAGGUCUAUUAUAAUUAACAAGCGGAAUGGCCAAUGGAUGAAGAACCACUGUAAUUUCGUUUAUGAAUUCAAAAUGCUAAAGAAACUGGACAUCAACGCUACACGUGAGUCUGCGGCCCUUGCCCCAGUGUCUUUCAGGCGUUACUCGGGGUAGUUGAUAUACUGACGGCCCCUUUAUCAAUUAAUAAUCGAAAUAGAUUAAAAUAUGAAUGGAUUGGAAUGGAAUGACUUGGAAUUAAAAUAUGGAAUGACGAUUAGAUUAAUUAAUUUAUUUAAAUUGAGAAAUUAGAAUCAUAAUAAAUUAUAUUGUUAUUGAUGUAUUUGUUUUAUCUUAAAAUUGCGAUGAGUUGUUACAAAUUACUAAUAUGCCUUUGAUUUUGUAUUAUGAUAAUUAUUAUUUAUUAUAACAUUUGUCAUAUAAUAAUAAUAAUAAUAACAACAACAACAAUUAAUAUUGAAAAAUUUUUAUUGUUAAUAAUAAAUAGGCAAUUAUCCACCGACCAUGUGAUCUUUUGGACGUUUUAAAAAAUAUACAAACACUUUUUUCUUUGCAGAAAUCCACCUGAAAUUUACAAAGUGUUUCAAUUGUUCACUGUCAUCUAAAUUUUGUUAGAAUUUUCUUGACGUUGUAAGGAUAAAAUUGUUAUUUUUACCUUGACUUCCAAAGAGGAUGUCUUUCAAACAUGAUGAAAAUAAAAAAAAAGGAUAAAAAAUUAUCUGUCAACUAUCUGAUCUUUUAGCCAUUAUACAAAAUAUUAAAAAAAUAUGCGAACAUUUUUUAUUUUUUUCAACAAUCCAUCUGAUAGUUAUGAAGUGCAUUAGUGCUCCACUACUAUCAUAACCCUUUAAAAAUAUCGCUUAAACACGAGAACCUAUUGCCUAAAAUUAUUUUUCAAGAAAAUGUAACUACAGAUUUGGUUUUGAUCUUCAUGACUUUUAAGUGUACAAGAACAAGAUGAACGAACCUUUGUCGAGUUGAUGAAUUAAGAUAAAUCAAUUACAAAUCGAGAACAAACUUACGGGUGACAUUUUAGUAUUAAGCAAACUAUAAUUGAUCAUUCAAUGAUAGGCUUAUUUUCAAUUAAAUUAGAGUAAAGAUAGACAUUCCAAAUUUUUUCUCUCAAAUUUAAUCCUAGAUAAUGUGUUAUUAAUUGAGUGCUUGGUAAUUCUUUCAAGAUCUAAGUGAAUUAAUUAUAUUAUCUCUCCAACCAAUUGAUGAAUAUUAUAUUAUUUGAGAUAAUUUUUUUUUAUCUCAAAUCCCAGCAAAGAAAACAGAACAAACGGAGCAAAAAUAUUUUUAGAAACCUAAAAUAACAAAAAAAAACUUUUUCUUGUUUUUCUUAUUUUCCACUGUUAAACUUCAAAAUGAACAACUUUAUUCUACCAUCUCUCAAAUAAUAAUAAUAACAACAAUGUCAUCAUCAUCAAUAAUAAUAAUAAUAUAUUAACUUUGUAGGAUGGAGCUCUCGCAAAUCUUCAAGACACAAAAUGUGCUUGACCCCAUUGUUGUUAUUAUAAUUUCAAAAUCAUCUGUAUUAUAUAAUAUUAGGGAAUAUGACAUAGCAAAAUUGAUGGUACAUAUGUUGCAAUAUACUUGUUCAUGUGGCGACACAUUGAAGUAAAGCACAAGCAAAACAACGAAAAAUGUAACGGGAGAGCUCUCAUUAUGUAGAUUUUCAAUAGAAGUAAUGCAAAUUUCACAAGGGCAAUGUCCUUAUUUCGAAUGCUGCACCUGAGGAAUGACUUGAAUCUUCUUUAGAACUCAAGCAUUCUGUAAUCAUAGAGUAUAACAUUUCAACAAAAAUAUUAUAUAGGUCGUUCCUUUAUAUAUUUUCUGGGUACACAUACAGAAAUAUUAUUUUAGGUACAUUUCUCACAAUAAAGCCUGCCCAAUCUAGCAUUUUCGUAAGUUGGGUUUCUUAUUUACAUGUUUUUUCCAUUGGUUAAUUAUCACAAACCUCCACUGAGAUUUAGCAUGUUUUUAGUUUGAUAGAUUGUAUUCGCGUAUUCUCAAAUACCUUUUAGUUUACCACUUCGUAUAAAUUAAGUUGGUGAGGAUAAAAUCAUAAAAGUACACAUUAAUGAUAAAAAAAUUCAAGUAAACUUGAAAUUUUCAAGGGGUAAUUUUUCGGGACCUCCCCUGAGAUUCGGUGUAUUAAAAAUCUCAUAGAAAGUAUUCAUGUAAUUAUAAGAACCUCCCCUGACGUUAGUACACAGUUAACUUGACUGUUAGUGGACUGAUAAAAAGUCAAAAAUGCCAUUGGCUACAAAAAUGAGUGCAACAAUUUGGAGUUAAAUAGUAAACACGGAGCACUAAAAAGUCUAUAAUAAUCAUGGAAAAAAAUCAUUGACAUUUACAUAAUAUAAAAAAAAAGUAAAAUAUAAAUUAAGAAAAUCAACAAAAUUGUCAACGUAUAGAAUAUUUACAGCAGCAGUGGCUAUAAAUACAACCGUCGUCAAAUUAAAAUAUCACCAUUAGUAAACUACUUCAAUAAGACAAUAAACCAUGAUUCACUCUUCAAAGCAUUCAAAAUACACAACCCGCACAAUAGAAUCACAUACGCACACCUGCUAAUGAAAUAUAAGAACAAACAGGAAAUUGAACUGACAUGGCUAAGAUACUCCUUCCCCAUAGCUAUUAGAAAGAUAAUGAGCGAUUUAUGAAUCAUGAUGCUUGCUUUACUUUCUGGCAGUGUUAGCUUCAAAUUCAAUGAUAGUAAAUGAACAAUGGUUCAUUCAUUAUGAAAGUAAGUGUAAAGCUAGGAAUUUAUAAUAUUCAGAUGUUGGAAUUGAAAAAAUAUUCCUUAAUCGUUUCAAUUGAAGCCAAGGAAGAAAAGAAAUGAGUCUUCUUUUUUCAGGAGACAAGCCAUAUGAAGAAGGCAGACCAGAGCAUAAGAACGAAUGCUACUGCCACAGUAAAAGCCUGGAUCAAUGGGUAAUGGUACCUGCCAUGUCAAUUUCAAGACAAACAAAAAUCAAUUAUCAUCCCCAGACCACAACACCACCAAACCAACCUUUUGAAUCUAAAAUAACAAGUUAAUAAAUCAAAGAUUUCAAUUCAUUUAAGUUUGAAAUCAACUAAAAUAGAAAAAAAAAACCCAAUUUCUUUUUUGUUCAAUAUAACUCAUUCAGCAUCUUCUUCAACACAUUUUUAUCAUUCUUCAUCAUCACAACAAUAAAAAGAAAAAAAAAACAUUGAGUCCAACAUGCAAGUUUUUUUUUGGGAAACUAACCGUUUUUAGGUUCCAAUUCUAGUAGUCUUAAACAGUAGCCGCCGACGAAAUUCGCUUGGCGACACCCUUUUGCCACCAUUGCAGCUUGUCAUGUUCAUACUCAGCUUAAAAUUACUUGAAGGCAGCAGGGAUUUUAUAGUUACAAAAGUUUCUUCAGAGCUUUUCAAGCUUGAAAAUGGCUGAGAGUUUCAUUUAAUGAGAGAGAAAAUGGAGUUUUCAUUCAUCUUAGAUAAAUUGAAGAUAAUUUGUAUUGUGGGUAAUAAAUUGAUUGUCAAUGCCUAAAUUUGGGUCAUCGACACAACUUUGGAAUUUUUUUUAUUUUUCUUUGAUUUUUAUUAUGAAACUACUAAUUUACCCUCAUAUACUAACAUAUAUGAAAUGGCAUACUAACGUCAGUUAUGUCAAGCAGCUCCCUGUAAUUACGUGAAUAUUUUCCAUGAGACUGUCAAUACACAAAAUUUCAGGGGAAAUCCCUAAACAUUACCUAAUUUUUAAGUUGUGUUCUGAAAUUGGUCUCAACUUUGUAAUGUGUAAUGCCCACAAAAAAAGAAAAGGAAAAAUGGUCAUCUCUUUCCUCCAUUCGAACUGAAGCCAUGAAACGCAAUAUCCCUUUCAUCUUCUCUCUAAUGCUUUGAUUAAAAAACUUGCUUACGAACGGGAGACCAUGACACUGAAUCCGAAGACAGAAAUACCUGAGAUGACUGAUUCACGCCGGCGAUGUGGAAGAAUACCGACCAGUGACUUUCGCCGUCGACCCACAAACAAUCCCAGUGUUUUCGAGCCGCCAAUGAGGUAUGAAUAAGAUUAUUUCCGUGCGUGUCAGUUUUGUAAGGAGAUUUGAUUAAAAAAAAGAAUAAUGGGUCUCGAAAUUUUUUUGAGUAUUUCUGUUGCUUAAAUUUUUUUCCAUCGAUUAAUGUUAGUUGUAGGUGAAUGAUUGUUGCAAACGCAUGUUCGCUUGUGAUUGAUUGAAAAUGACUUGUUAUUUGUUAUGCUGCCAUGUGACUCAUUGAAAAUGCCUCUGAAAUUUUUUUAUUUGUUUAAGGUACUGAUUCUGAUUAUUGAACAGGGAUUCAUGCUAGUUUUUAUUAAAUUAAAGAUGAGAUUAUUUUUUAAGAGAUCUACCAAACCUUCUCUACUAUAGAUUUGGCAUCUGACAUACCUGGUUCGCUGGAGAUAAUUGUUUAUAUAGUCAUUGCUGCUCGUAUUAAUCAGGAACAUUGAUUAGCAAUGUACUGGAAUAGAGAUUGGUAUAAUUUUGGAAAAUUAGUCGUAGAUGCAACCUGAUUAUGGUCUCAAAUAGUGUGAUCUGUCAAUUCCGUUUGCUCUAGCCUAACAACCUUGAAUCUGAGCUAUGCCACUAUACAAAGUCCUGACCUAAUCAAGCUUGUUAGCCAAUGUCCAAAAUUGCAGUGUCUUUAGAUAAGCCCUGUCUUACUUGUUUGAGUUAUAAAUGAAAAUUGAAGUGUCUUUGGAUAAUCACGCUGAAUGUUCAAGUUAUUGAAGAGAAGGGACCCCCAGAUUCAAGGCCGGAGCUCCCUGUUGAGAAGCUUUACAUAUAUGGGAUUGUCGCUGGGCGGAGGAUCGAUAUGCCCGGUUUUGUUUGGAAUAGGGAUGAAGAUUUUGCAUUGAGGCUUUCUUGAUAGAUCAUUCUGCAAAUCAAGCUCCAUGUACCUAUCUUCAGACUCUUGGAUAUGUAUAAAGCAGGUGCAUGCUCUAUAUGUUACUCAUUGUAUCACGAUUAUUUUUCUAUUGCUUAAAAUAAUUGCAGUCCUUGAUGUAGUUGGAGACAACUUAUGGAGGGUAUACAGAGGCUCGAGAGUUUGAUUGCCAUUCAUUUGACACUUGGCUGAGCUACAGCAUACCAACUAGUGAUUAAUAAAGAGAAGGUAUGAAGGUCCUGUUGCUGGUGGUAUUAUCAAUCAGAAUUGUUAUUUUACUUAGUCAUAGUUACCAUGUAUAAGAUUCGUAGACUUUUUGCAUGUUUAUGCAUUCGCAUCAUCUUUUUGUUAAGCUAGAGAUGGUUGAUUUGUGUACUCAUUUGUAUCACUUGUAGCCCUUGAGGAAUAAAAUUUAAAAUUUUGUUGCAUCUCCUGUACUAAAUACUAAUUUUGUUUGCUUUAUGUAUGGGAAAUGGUUCAUUAUCUUAUUUCUUUGAUGUGUAUAGUGUUACACUGUCUAAAGUUGAAAAGUAUUUCUAUCACUUGUGUAAAAAACAAACAAUUUUUUUUUCACUCUUCUUAUAUUGAAUAAAAGAGGGACACCAAGAUCUUCACCAAGAUUGAACGAAAUUUGAUGCAGAAAGCAUAGCAAUUAGGCCAGUGCAAAAUAGCUUCCUUCUGAUUCUCUGAUAUUUGACUUAAAUCUUUUGUUUGUUUCAUUCAUCAAAGUCAUUUUGGAAAGUAGCAGGCGUGAUUUGAUAUUUUCAUUGUAUUCACAUCCGUUGGCACCAAAACAAACAUGCUGGUACUAACCAACAAUUUUUUAUUUUUAGUGUACAAAUUAGUUUUUUUAAGACAAAUAAGCUGGUACUAACCAACAAUAUUUUAUUUUCAGUAUACAAAUUAUUAUUUUUUUUUCUAAAUUAGGGGUAUUAAGAAAAGGUAUGCAAGCACCAGGGGAGGUAUUUGAAAAUAUACAAAUACAAUCUAUCAAACUGAGAAUACACCAAACCGGCAGGUUUCUGAUAAAUCCUUUUUUUCUUUUUCCUCCAUUCACUAUAGGUUCAAUUUAGACGCUGUUGACCAAACAGAAGGUUUGGGUUGGUAAACGCACUGGUGUUAAUGCCAACAACCCAAGGCGCUUCAUGGUCCUCUGGGCCGAAAUAGCGUAAUUAUUAAUUCUCCUCCAGUGAAAAUCUUCAUCUUGGGACAAAUACUUACGAAUUGACAUUAUAGCUGUGGAAAUUUGGAGGUGUAAUAACCGGAAAAGUAAAAAUCUUAAGAGACUUUUUAAAUAAAAAAGAUACAACACCUUCAAUUUGCUAAAAGUAAUGGUAUCAUUUCUUGUACGGAUAAUGGAUGAUUAGAUUUUGUUUUUUGUUAUCCGACGAAGGAUAUUCAGUUGUUCUUUAUGUGUUCACAGGCAAGAGCAUGAGCAUAUUCAUGGUUUCAUAUAUGCUUCUUGCAUUUUCUAAUUAAGUACUCUCUUUCCUUGCCUUCUUAGUUUUGAAAGAAAGAUGUGAAGCAAAGCAAACCCAGUGAAAUAUACAGAGAAACAGAACCAUCAGAGGAAAAACUAAAUAACAGAACCACAAUUGAACCAAACAAAAUCAAAUAAACCGAGGCAACGGAUACCCUGAAUCAGGCAUCCCUUUUUCUCGAAAGAAAAUAUGUUUGCAUGGGUGGGAACCUAAUAAUUACUCAAGAGUUGGAGUUGGAAAGAUUUGGUAUUCAUAUCUUCACAAUUCAUAAGCUUUAAUGCAGAAUCGACAGCUUUAUAUUAAUUUAUUCAACCAAAAACGAUAAAGUAGGAAAACCACAAUAAUCCACCAACUUUUGCUACUUUUAGGAAUAAUUUUUGGUCAACUUUCAAAAAGUGAGAUGACGAUCUUUGAGUUGAUAAAUCUUGGCCUGCUGCUUAGUACCCUUCCAACAUAUAAAGUACUAGAUGUUUAGCUGAGAAAAUGACGAGAUCAUUUAUCAAAUUUCUUGCGCAUAUAUACAUAUAUAUACAAGAAAUAAGAAUCAGAGUGAUUAUAAGACCUUUGCAAUGAGGCAAUAAAUACAUCAUCAAAUCUAAAAAUACACAAGAAAUUCGUGACGUAUAUAUAACAAUAGACCUCUCAUUGAGUCAUAGAUAUUGAGAAUAAAAUGUCAAAAUGCAUACAAAGAGCUUAUACAGAAAAUGAAUUUACACACAUUUAGAAUAAACUGUCUUUGAACUUCCGAUGGUCAAACAAAGGAAACAGACAGGAAAUGACACACACUAUCAUAUAUGUAGGGACACGAUGAAGUAAAUCACAUGAAGAUGGAAACGGAACCCCUCACAACAUAAAAUUUGAAUAAAGGGGGAAAAAAAGGCUUCAUUUCAAAUGUUGCACAGAAGAAGAGUGACUUGAAUCUCCAUCAGUAUCCAGACAUUCUACAAACACAGUGCUGAGAAUUUUAACAAGAAUAACAGACAAAAUAUUGUGCUUCUAUAUUUUUCACAGAACUAGACCAAAUCAGUUCCCUUUUUGGUUUGUGAAAACUUGAUAUUUUUGAAAAUUCUAUCCAAUGCUUUCAAACAAUAUUUCCACAAUAUAGUUGUUCAUAGCUAACCUUUGAUGGUGUAAGGAUUUGUUGUAGGCAUAAUGGGCUAAUUAUAUAUAUAUAUAUAUAUUUUACCCGCUGAAUGAUAUUCAGCUUCCAAGUUUCCAAAGAACAAACAGAGCAGAAACAAAUAUAACGGAACAGCAAUGAUGACGAUAAAUGAUUGGCAAAGAAAGAAAGAAAAAAGUUCGCAUGAUUUCAAGGAAUUAUAAUAUCUGAAGACAUUCAACAUGCAAGUGUUGCCCCUUUUAAUGAAAUUUCAUCAUAAAAUGCUUGCAAGGAAUUAUAAAAUUUUAGAGAACAAGCGAAUUCUCAAACAAAAUACUCAAAUUAAAUUAAAUUAGACCAAAAGACAAUCAAUGACGCAAAAUCUGCCCAUAAAAGCCUGAACGAAUCAUGAAAAGUGCAUUCCAUAUUGACAGUAAACCAAGUGACCCAUUCUAAACAAUUGAGAUGAAAUUGUGAAACAACCCACGAGAUCAAAUAAAUAAAAUAAGAAUUAAUUACCAGCUGGGACUUUCUUCUUCAAAUUCGUAACUCCAAGUCAUAAGAAGGCUAUGAAAUUAGUCGUAAUCCACAGAGUAUGACGACGACCCCGCCAACAGCUGAAAAUAAAAUUCUUAUUCAUCAAUUUAAACUAACUUUAUAACAAAUAUCUUAUCGAUAUUUUAUUUAAAAAGAAAAAGCAAAUUUUGUAAAAUUUUUCUAUGGGAGAUAGAGAGUAACAUGUAUAUCCGUACCUUCUCAGCAUGUAAUUGUUGUAUGGUCGUGUUAAGAUCAUUAUUAGCCCAACGCCGUUGAUCCGCUGUCUCUCCAUAGCAGACGUUUACUCUUAGAGUCGUGAUUGAUUCUCCUGUAGUGAAAAUCUUCAUCUUGGGACAACCAAUCACCCACAAAUCUUGCAAAGAUGGGAAUUUGAAGGUGUAAUUGGCAGAGCAGAAACUUGUGAGGCUGUCUAAAUCACGCAGGUCCAACGCCUUCAAUUUGGGGAAAACAAUCUCUUCUUUUUCAACCCCGUCUUUGUCAUUUAUUACCACGUCUGACAUUGCUCUGCAUCCGUAUACACAAAGUGAUACGAGUCGCACUAGAGUUUUUGCUGUGGAGGAUGUUACUAAGUGUAUCAAUUUCUUGCAAUCGAAAGCUACAAGUUUUGUUAGGUUCCCAAAAGAUACCGACGAUGAUGGCAAUAGAAUUAACAGACUUUGACAAUGAUAUACUUUUAGAAUUUCAAGAUGCUGAAAAAUGGGGCCAAGUUUGGAAUCUUGUUUGCACAGCUGCUUCAGAUGAUAGUGCCGAUGCAGCUUUAAUUCUUUUAUCAUUGCCAACUUCCCCACAUGUUUCUCUAAGCUUCGAGAUUGUGAAAUCUCUCCAGUACGUUCCAGAUUGGAAAACCAGCUGAGUCAUCUGCAGCAAUCUCUAGUUCUCUAAGACUGCCAAAAAGGUGUUGUGGGAAAUCGGCCUGCAAAAUCAUCUUCACAUCUUUUCCACUUAGUGAUAGUUCCUUCAAGUUGGGUACGAUCUGAUCAUCAUCAAUCAUAAUAACUAAUGAGGUCAAUUGAUGAUCUACGGUCACACACAGUGACUUUAUAGUAUUUGUUUUAUAUUAUAUUUUUAAAAAAAUUGAAUUAUUGAUAAAAUUUAUUUUAUAUGUUAAUUUUAGAGGUAAAAAAGAAAUUAGAGAAAAAGGUUGAUUUAUACUGGCUCGAAAUUAUUUUAUUGCACAAUAAUAAAUUACUAAUUUAUUUUGUAAGUUCUUCUAUAUGGAAAGACUAAGGAUUUUUUUAUAAAUGCUAUACCAAAAAAAGUUCAUAUAAUUAUUAAUCUACCACAUUGAUCUCUUAAUCUAGACUAGCAAAGAUUAUUGUAUAAUAAAAGUUUUCAAUUUAUUGAGUAUUAAUUUAUCGAUGCUUUGUCAUAUUUUUCAAAGUUAAAAAUAAGCUAUAGACAAAAAAUCUAGAAAAUGGUUUCAUACCUUUUCCAACGGCAAUGGGGGCUGUUGUGCAGGAAUGCCAAGUUGAUCAUUCUGCGAUAAAUCUGCAGUGAAUAUCUUUAAUUUGUCACAAAAAUACACAAAAAGAAUUUCUAGCGCGGGCCAUUCCGAAGUAUGCAUUCCAGGGUACAAACAUCUAAGUUUUGGUAGACCUUCGAGUCUCAGAGUGGUGAGCUGUGGAAAGACAAAAUAAGGGAUAACUUCAUCUGCUCUGUUCUCAGAAAUGAUCUCCUGGAAAUCCUCACAGAAGCGUACUUCUAGGUGUUGGAGCUGCUUAAGGCUUCCGAUCAUAGACGCUGAAAAUAUGUAUUUUAAUUUGUUACAACGCCACACAAUCAAUCGUGUUAAAUUUUGAAAGCGAGGAAACAUGACCGGAAGAUGAUUGUAGUGCCAAAUCUUGUCGACAUUAAUUGCAGAUAUCUCCAAAGCCUCCAAGUUGGGCAACGCAACCUAAAAAAAUAAGAAUUUCUCGUUAGAUCCAAUAUCCAAAUGGGAAGCACUUGUUGAAAUUUUCUUCUUUGAUUACAAAUUAAUGCAAGUCUGAAUCAAUUUCCAACUGACAGCUGAGUAUGCAUUCUAAUUCAUACUACUUGUUAAGAGCUCAAUUAGUGAGCGCGUGAGAUUCUUUUUAUCCUUUUUUCCAUUUUCUUUCAAUUCUUUAAAUGAUUUAAUUAUUUCCACGUAUGACGUCAAAAGAGAACGUUAUAUAUGAAUAAAAUCUGUUAUAUAUGAAGAAAAUGUUAGCCUACGCACCUUCUCGUUGAAAAGCAGAGUUGAAGUAUCCAAAGUGAUUUCGCUGGAGCAAUACGUAGUCGUCGAUUCCUCUUGCGACGCUGGUCUGUUCGGUGAUGCUGAAGGAGUCUUUACUUCACGGCAGAAAUUUGUAACCUCUGGAAGAUUCCCCAGACUCAAAGAUCUUAAUUGAGCAAACUCUAUCUUCUCAAUUGCAUUAUCAACUUCAUCCCCAAUUGAAAAAAUUUCUUUCAUCUUGCUGCAAUUAAUAACUGCAAUUCUCUCAAGUCUUGGAAGGCAUUUUGUAGUGGAGAGCCAAAAGAUAUUGCUUAACUUAUCACAAUUAUAUGCUUCUACGGUUUUGAGUUUGUUGAAAGACUCUACUUUGAGCCGAUCAAUACAUAUCCUCUCCAUGUUGAUCAAAUUGUGAAGGAUAAGUGACUCCAAAAGAGGAAAGGCAUCACAAGCGACCAUCGCCCUUGAAUCGACGAUGCAAAAGAAGUCAGGAUUAUUUUGAACCCAGAGAAGCUUCAAUUGUGAAAAGCCCUCCGUGUCCAAAUUGAAAAGAACAUCCUCGAUGCCUUGCAGCUUGUCCAACCAUAAGUAUUCAACGUUAUUGAUGCCCUGCAAUUUCAUGGAGCAAAUGUUCAUAAAAUCAAGCUUGAGCUUCAAUGCUCUUAAUCUCUUCCGAUCACUGUUGAUCGAAAAGUGCAGCUGACUUUUGAACCAAUUUUGUCUAACACUCUUGGGAGGCAUGAACGACUCAUUUGCAAUAGAUAUUUUGAACCUUUCGAGCUUUCUGGCCAAAAAACCUUCUGGUAAAAUACUGUCAUUUUUAACGUCAAUUUCUAGAGUGGUUAGCCGAGGUAAAUGCAUCAAUUCGUCAAGGCUAGCAUUACUUCUUUUGCUGUUGGCUCUUUCAACCUCCCAUUCAAUGAAGCAAUUACCCAUAUACAGCUCUUCUAGUCGAGUUAAGCUUGCAUGAGAUUGGGCGCAAUAACUUUUAGAUGGAAACAAUUGGGUUAAAUCUAACAAUCUCAACUUAUUCAAUUGACCUAGUUCUUCUGGCAACUGCAUAAUAUCAGACAUCAAAAAGCUAAGGACUUCUAGAUUCUUCAACUUCCCAAUGAUUGCUAUGUCGCCCAACGCACUUUGAUCCAGACAUAGUGGUGUGGAAGAUUUACUAGAAGAUCAAUUGAAGGAUGGAAAAGAAGGACAAUAACCGCAUUCCAGUAAAANNNNNNNNNNNNNNNNNNNNNNNNNNNNNNNNNNNNNNNNNNNNNNNNNNNNNNNNNNNNNNNNNNNNNNNNNNNNNNNNNNNNNNNNNNNNNNNNNNNNNNNNNNNNNNNNNNNNNNNNNNNNNNNNNNNNNNNNNNNNNNNNNNNNNNNNNNNNNNNNNNNNNNNNNNNNNNNNNNNNNNNNNNNNNNNNNNNNNNNNNNNNNNNNNNNNNNNNNNNNNNNNNNNNNNNNNNNNNNNNNNNNNNNNNNNNNNNNNNNNNNNNNNNNNNNNNNNNNNNNNNNNNNNNNNNNNNNNNNNNNNNNNNNNNNNNNNNNNNNNNNNNNNNNNNNNNNNNNNNNNNNNNNNNNNNNNNNNNNNNNNNNNNNNNNNNNNNNNNNNNNNNNNNNNNNNNNNNNNNNNNNNNNNNNNNNNNNNNNNNNNNNNNNNNNNNNNNNNNNNNNNNNNNNNNNNNNNNNNNNNNNNNNNNNNNNNNNNNNNNNNNNNNNNNNNNNNNNNNNNNNNNNNNNNNNNNNNNNNNNNNNNNNNNNNNNNNNNNNNNNNNNNNNNNNNNNNNNNNNNNNNNNNNNNNNNNNNNNNNNNNNNNNNNNNNNNNNNNNNNNNNNNNNNNNNNNNNNNNNNNNNNNNNNNNNNNNNNNNNNNNNNNNNNNNNNNNNNNNNNNNNNNNNNNNNNNNNNNNNNNNNNNNNNNNNNNNNNNNNNNNNNNNNNNNNNNNNNNNNNNNNNNNNNNNNNNNNNNNNNNNNNNNNNNNNNNNNNNNNNNNNNNNNNNNNNNNNNNNNNNNNNNNNNNNNNNNNNNNNNNNNNNNNNNNNNNNNNNNNNNNNNNNNNNNNNNNNNNNNNNNNNNNNNNNNNNNNNNNNNNNNNNNNNNNNNNNNNNNNNNNNNNNNNNNNNNNNNNNNNNNNNNNNNNNNNNNNNNNNNNNNNNNNNNNNNNNNNNNNNNNNNNNNNNNNNNNNNNNNNNNNNNNNNNNNNNNNNNNNNNNNNNNNNNNNNNNNNNNNNNNNNNNNNNNNNNNNNNNNNNNNNNNNNNNNNNNNNNNNNNNNNNNNNNNNNNNNNNNNNNNNNNNNNNNNNNNNNNNNNNNNNNNNNNNNNNNNNNNNNNNNNNNNNNNNNNNNNNNNNNNNNNNNNNNNNNNNNNNNNNNNNNNNNNNNNNNNNNNNNNNNNNNNNNNNNNNNNNNNNNNNNNNNNNNNNNNNNNNNNNNNNNNNNNNNNNNNNNNNNNNNNNNNNNNNNNNNNNNNNNNNNNNNNNNNNNNNNNNNNNNNNNNNNNNNNNNNNNNNNNNNNNNNNNNNNNNNNNNNNNNNNNNNNNNNNNNNNNNNNNNNNNNNNNNNNNNNNNNNNNNNNNNNNNNNNNNNNNNNNNNNNNNNNNNNNNNNNNNNNNNNNNNNNNNNNNNNNNNNNNNNNNNNNNNNNNNNNNNNNNNNNNNNNNNNNNNNNNNNNNNNNNNNNNNNNNNNNNNNNNNNNNNNNNNNNNNNNNNNNNNNNNAUGCUUCUCCUUUCAUCCUUGAGCUUGUCUAUUUCUGCCUUGAGAUUCUCAACGUUGGCUUUAUAGUUACGCAAAUAACCAAAUCGGCGUUCUAUUGGAGGAGCCAAGCAUUUCAAAAAUUGUAAAACAACAGUAACAAUGCUUUCCACCAUCCUGGAUCCUUUUUUUUUUUUUUCAAAGUUCUGACAAGAAAAUAAACAAGGAGCGAAACACAGAGAGAGUGAAAAAAAAAAAAGCGAAACAACGAAGAUGGACAGUUUAUCCGGUUCUGGAAGCGGAGAAAUGAAAGAAAGAGUAAAAGCUGUUAUGGAUCUGGUGAGAAGAUGGAAACAAGGAAAAGGUUUCUAGUUCGAGAACUGAUUGAGUUAAUAUAAGGAAUGAUUUAGAUAAUAGAGGCAAAGGGAACCAAUCAAAAUAACUGAAGUAUUGUGCAGAAGAAAGACGGAAAAAAUAGACUGGUAAUAGAGAUGGAAAAAAUGAAGAUAUCUUGACACGGUAGAAGUACAAAGGGUAGAUAUGGAACCAAACAGAGACAACAGCAGGCCACAACAAGAUUGGGAAUGGAGAGAAACUAAUUAACGAAGACUGGAGAUUACAACAAAACAGAUGCCAAGAGAAAACUUGAUCCUGUGAAAUUCAAGUUAGCUGACGAAUACGGGGAUCAAGAGGGAAAAACUGCUUGCUCGUAAAACUACUUUCAAGCGAAUCUGAUAAAAUUAAUUUUUAAACUGCAGAACAGGUAGAAUAUCAGAUUGAUUAAUUUAAGAAACCCUUGCUUCAGUUUUAAGUAAGAUCUUUUUUUUUUUUUUUAUAAUUUCUCCGAAUGCUCUUUCAAUGGAAGGCAUAUGAUCAUUUUGUAUUCAGUAUACAAAGAUUAAAGAUGAUCCUUUUUCUAAUUUAUUAAUUAAAUAAGGUUCUCUGACAUCUUCUUGCAUGAGUUGUCCCCCUGGUUUGUUAUCAUCUUAUGAAAUUCUCGCAUGCCCGAUUUUCUUUUAUUAAAUUAUAUAUUAAAGUUUUCAAUGAUGAAAUUAAUCGUCAUCAUGUGCCGGCAUGCAUGUAUUGGUUGAUGUCACGUUUUGCAAGUAUGCUGGAUAAAAUUAAUUUUCAAAAUUAAUUAAUAAAAUGUAACGUAAGUUGUUGAAAGAAACUUCAUAUUUAUCCUGAAGCAUUCAACUCAGUUCUUUUACUCUAUGAUAAAUGUAUUUUAAAAAUUACCAAUAAUUGAGAAUAAAAUAAGGACAAAACAUUAAAAAUCGAACACAACUCAUGUUUUACUUGAGUUUUAUAUUUAUGCUGAUACAUACUUUGGACACAUUCUUUGGAAAAGACAUUGACAUUGGCGUGCAUCAUCAAAUUUGUUAGUGAAAAACCAUAAUUAUAUAUUACUACAUUUACAAAUUUUGUAUAAAAGGUUUUAAAGGUUUGCUACAUAGACCUCUAAAAAUUCCAGAAAUGAUUAUAUAUACCUUUUUACAAUUAUAUCAUUUGGUUAUAAUCAAAUUUUUUACAAUAAAUACAAAUAACAUAUUAAGAUAACUAUGAGUAGCAAAAUAGUAUUUCAAAUAUGAAAACAUAUUAAAUGCAUAUAAUUAAUAAAGUAAGAAAUAUAAAGAGUAAACUAUUAUCUAUAUGUCCAGCCAGAUUUAUUAAUACUAAUCCAUUAACCCAAAGAUUGACUUUAAAAUUCAUACUAUACAUAAUAUUCACAUAAUACAACAUAAUUUUUUUAAAUUAAUUAUUUUGAAUGUUAAAUAUAACUAUUUUUUUAAUUUAUCUUCUAUGAAUUCAAAUAUCCCCUUUAAACUGCAGAAGGAGAAAAAAGAAAUGUUCUGAAUUUCAAUGUAUUAAUUUUAACCUAAUUUAGUUGAGACUCGUAAUCUCGUCUCAAUGAUUAAUUAGUAGAUAAUCUUUCUAAUAAAUAUAUGUUGAAUAGAUAUAUUUCUUGACUAUUAAUAGGUUAGAUAUAUUUUAGCAUAGGAAUGAAAGUACAAGUUGUGUCAUAUUACCAGGAAAGUGUAUCAAUUUCUUGCAAUCGAAAGCUACAAGUUCUGUUAGGUUCCCAAAAGAUACCGAUGAUGAUGGCAAUAGAAUUAACAGACUUUGACAAUAAUAUACUCUUAGAAUUUCAAGAUACUGAAAAAUGGGGCCAAGUUUGGAGUCUUGUUUGCACGGCUGCUUCAGAUGAUAGUGCCGGUACAGCUUUAAUUCUUUCCCACAUGUUUCUCUAAGCAUCCUUCCUUCGAAAAUUCCUCUUCGUUGAAUGAAAAAUAAACCAGUGCGAGUAUUUCGAGAUUGUGAAAUCUCUCCAGUACGUUCCAGAUUGGAAAACAAGCUGAGUCAUCUCCAAAAAUCUCUAGUUGUUUAAGACUGCCAAAAACGUGUUGUGGGAAAUCGGCCUGCAAAAUCAUCUUCACAUCUUUUCCACUUAGUGAUAGUUCCUUCAAGUUGGGUACGAUCUGAUCAUCAUCAAUCAUAAUAACUAAUGAGGUCAAUUGAUGUUCUUUCAAAUGAUUUUGAGUAAUCCAAUCACAAGCAGUGACUUUAUAGUAUUUAUUUUAUAUUAAUUUUACCCCUAAAAAAAUUGAAUUAGUGAUAAAAUUCAUUAUAUGAUUUUUUUUAUAUGUUAGUUUUAGAGGUAAUAAAGAAAUUAGGGAAAAAAUGAAAUUAUUUAUGCAUGANNNNNNNNNNNNNNNNNNNNNNNNNNNNNNNNNNNNNNNNNNNNNNNNNNNNNNNNNNNNNNNNNNNNNNNNNNNNNNNNNNNNNNNNNNNNNNNNNNNNNNNNNNNNNNNNNNNNNNNNNNNNNNNNNNNNNNNNNNNNNNNNNNNNNNNNNNNNNNNNNNNNNNNNNNNNNNNNNNNAAGUAUUAAUUUAUCGAUGCUUUGUCAUAUUUUUCAAACUUAAAAGUAAGCUAUGAAAAAAAAAUCUAGAAAAUGGUUUCAUACCUUUAUAUAUAUAUAUAAAGAAAAUGUAAGCUUACGCACCUUCUCGUUGAAAAGCAGGGUUGAAGUAUCCAAAGUGAUUUCGCUGGAGCCAUACAUAGUCGUCGAUUCCUCUUGCGACACUGGUCUGUUUGGUGAUGCUGAAGGAGUCUUCACUUCACGGCAGAAACUUGUAACCUCUGGAAGAUUCCCCAGGCUCAAAGAUCUUAAUUGAGCAAACUCUAUCUUCUCAAUUGCAUUAUCAACUUCUUCCCCAAUUGCAAAAAUCUCUUUCAUCUUGCUGCAAUUAACAACUGCAAUUCUCUCAAGUCUUGGAAGGCAUUUUGUUGUAGAGAGCCAAAAGAUAUUGCUUAACUUAUCACAAUUAUAUGCUUCUACGGUUUUGAGUUUGUUGAAAGACUCUACUUUGAGCCGAUCAAUACAUAUCCUCUCCAUGUUGAUCAAAUUGUGAAGGAUAAGUGACUCCAAAAGAGGAAAGGCAUCACAAGCGACCAUCGCCCUUGAAUCGACGAUGCAAAAGAAGUCAGGAUUAUUUUGAACCCAGAGAAGCUUCAAUUGUGAAAAGCCCUCCGUGUCCAAAUUGAAAAGAACAUCCUCGAUGCCUUGCAGCUUGUCCAACCAUAAGUAUUCAACGUUAUUGAUGCCCUGCAAUUUCAUGGAGCAAAUGUUCAUAAAAUCAAGCUUGAGCUUCAAUGCUCUUAAUCUCUUCCGAUCACUGUUGAUCGAAAAGUGCAGCUGACUUUUGAACCAAUUUUGUCUAACACUCUUGGGAGGCAUGAACGACUCAUUUGCAAUAGAUAUUUUGAACCUUUCGAGCUUUCUGGCCAAAAAACCUUCUGGUAAAAUACUGUCAUUUUUAACGUCAAUUUCUAGAGUGGUUAGCCGAGGUAAAUGCAUCAAUUCGUCAAGGCUAGCAUUACUUCUUUUGCUGUUGGCUCUUUCAACCUCCCAUUCAAUGAAGCAAUUACCCAUAUACAGCUCUUCUAGUCGAGUUAAGCUUGAUAUGAGAUUGGGCGCAAUAACUUUUAGAUGGAAACAAUUGGUUAAAUCUAACAAUCUCAACUUAUUCAAUUGACCUAGUUCUUCUGGCAACUGCAUAAUAUCAGACAUCAAAAAGCUAAGGACUUCUAGAUUCUUCAACUUCCCAAUGAUUGCUAUGUCGCCCAACGCACUUUGAUCCAGACAUAGUGUGUGAAGAUUUACUAGAAGAUCAAUUGAAGAUGGAAAAGAAGAAACCUGCAUUCGGGUAAAAUCCAGAACUCUAAGCUUUUUCAUCCCUACAAAAAAGUUCUCAGGAAUAUUGAUUUCAAGAGAAGAAUCUUUGAGAGAGAUAAAUAAAAGUUCAAGGUUUGGGCAUUCUAAUCCUUCAGGAAAUUCACGAUUACUAUUAUUUAUUAAAGAGAUAGCAUUGCAUUUUCGUAGUGCAUCCUCAUCUGGCCAGUCCCACACAUCCUCAUCAUUUCUCACCGAAAACACGUGUUGGUGGCGGCAUGCAAUUGAUAUUGCGACAUCGCAAACAACAUCAUGCAUUGAAAAUCGUUCAUUGCUAUCACCCUCAAGCAACAAACAAGAGUCUCUAAGUUCAUGGACCAAUGCAUAUAAUUUGUCUCGUGCAUCUUCCAUCUUAUUGACUCCUUUAAAUAUACCCAAACCCAUGGAGUACUUGAACAAGUCCGAAGUAUUAUGGCUCUCCAUUAGACUACAGAGCAGAAAAAUUUUCUUGAGUUGCUCACCUUUUAAAUGGUUGAAACUGAGCUCAAUACUUGAAUAAGUCUCUGCAGAUACCCCUUCGAAGUUUACCAUUGAAGGCGUUUGGAGUUCUCGCAAGGAAUUCUUCCAUUCAUGCAGACUCUUGCCUCUCAGUGCCUUUGCUACUGUAGUCAAGGCAAUGGGCAAACCUCCACAUGCCCUGGCGACGUCUAUUGCUGUAGAUUUCAACUCACGAUUUUCAACAUCAUCACCGGCCAUCAUCUUAAACAAUCUCCAGGCUUCUUCUUCAUUUAAAUUGUUUAUCAAAAAGUUGUCUUUAGAACCCAUUUUUAAGAGGACACUACGAUCUCUUGCCGUUAGCAGUAGUUUGCAGCCUUUAUGAUCUUCUCCAAAAGGAAUUCCAACUGUCUCCAAAUCAAGGUGUUUCCAAAUGUUAUCUAAAACCACAAGGAUCUUCUUGUGAUUUCUCAAUCGCUCAAAUAGUCUACUUGCUCUUCUAGAUUCAACUUCCUCGUGCAGCUCCAGGCCCAACUUCUCGGCAAUUUCCUGUUGAAUCUUUUUUAUGUCUGGAGUUUGGGAAACCUCUGAAAAGACCACCAUAUCAAAGAGCUUGUCUUCCAUAGCUUGCCUGGCGACCUUCUUCACCAGUGUCGUCUUUCCAAUGCCGCCCAUGCCGUACACCCCAAUGAUGCUGACAUUAACAUCGAUCAAUGCUUUUUUUAUAGCCUCAAAAGUAGAACGUCUUGAUUCGAAGGCCUCGUAGCCUUUGUGAGACUUGAGCCAAAUCUCCUCCGGAAUGGUACGGUAGGAAAUUCUAUCAUCAAAUCUCCCAGCUUCUUCUCGGAGUUUAAAAAGGGCCUCCUUCUCUGUUUCUGCUUUCUUUCCAUGCUGAUAGCGAGUAAUCCAAUUAGGAAACAGCCCCAUGAGACAUCGUUCAUUUGCUUUCUCUUCGUCGAAAAUGAAUUUGGCUGCCUCCUUAAUGCUCUUGUUCGCAUUAACCAGCCAUUUCUCAACCUUCUCUUCAAUCUUUUCACUUUUUCUUUCAGCCUCAGAAACUCUGCGCUGAAUGCUUUCUCUUUCAUCCUUGAGCCUAUCGAGUUCUUCCUUGAGAUUCUCAAAGUUGGCAGCGGAGUUAUACCAAUAACUAAAUUCGCGUUGUGCGUGAGGAGACAAGCAGUUUACAACUCCUGGAACAAUGCUUUUCAAAAUGUCCAUUCUUUUUUUUUUUUUGGGGGAAGGGAACGAAAUAGAAAUAGAACAGGGUCAACGGCUGUGCAAUUGAUAAUCAAGUAGAAGCAAAACAAGGCAAAAUUGAAAAAAGAAAUUAUAUUUGUACAAAACAAGGAGAAAAUCAGUGUAACAGAUUGAGCGUGGGCGACUCCUUUUUAAACCGCAGAAGGAAAAAAAAAUUAUUCUGAAUUUCAAUAUAUUAAUUUUUAUGCUAAUUUAUGUUGAGAUUCGUAAUCUCGUCUCAAUGAUUAAUUAGUAGAUAAUCUUUCUAACAAAUAUGUGUUGAAUAGAUAUAUUUCUUGACUAUUAGAAGGUUAGAUAUAUUUUAGCAUAGGAAUGAAAGUACCAAGUUGUGUCAUAUUAGAAUAAAAAUUUGAGCUGAAAAUAUUGUUAUAUGACCUUUUAAUUAUUUGUCAGCAAAUAAUUAAUUCAUAUAAAAAAAUUAAUAAUCUGAAUUAGUCUUUAAGUAUUAUAAAUAUUUUUUUAUUUUUAAUUAUAAUAUCAUUAUUUAAAAAUAAUUGCUUGACUUAUAUUAGUAACAUUACGAUUGUCAUAAAACAUGUGAUCCUCAUCCAAUAUCCAUUAUUUGUGAUCCUUAAUCAAUAAAAUAUCUAACACUCCAGUCCAAUGCUGCCGUCAUUAUCGAACGGUCGAUAUCCAACACUCGCACGAAGAUUCCAAGAAGUUGCGUGGCUGCCGACUUUUAGAUGCAAAGCCUCAUUGUGUCGAUGUUACACAAAAGAGAGCAGUCCGGGUAAUUGCCAAAACUUAGAACUAAACAGUAGCUUAGUCAGAAAAUCAAAUGCCAGUACCGUUAAAAUGACCGAUAAAAAUAUAAAGAAACCAAAGCUUUAAAAGAAAUCAGCCAAAUCACGAAGAUUGAAGAGUAAAUCUAUGGUUUUAGAUUUUUAUUUUAUUUUUUUAGAUAAUAGAUAUUAUUUUGAUGAAUUUUUAAUAUUAGAAUAAUGUUAGGAAUUUCGAUAGUAGAAUUCUAACUUGAGAUCCAAUUGUUAUGUAUCAUUUUUUUAUUGGAUAAUGAAUUUCAUAACUAGUAAAAUUAAUAUUUUGAUCAUCUAAUAAAGGACUAUCAUAUCAGUUGAGACUCAAUUAUUGGGAUCCUUAACAUUGCUCUUAGUAUUAAAUUGGACAUCUUAGCUAAAUCAAAUUAAAAAUCAAAUUAGAUUUUAGGCUUUUAUCCAACAUCUCUUUUUUUUUUUUUUGGGUCUAUUUGAAGUGAACGAAAUAAAAAUACAACAGGUUCAACAACUGGGCAAUUGAUGGUCAAGUAGAAGCAAAUCAAGGCUAAAUGGGAAAGAGAAAUGAUAUUUGUGCAAAACAAGGAGAAAAUCAGUGUAACUGAAGAGAAUCAAAGUGCUUUUGAGAUCAAAAAUUGAGGCAAGNNNNNNNNNNNNNNNNNNNNNNNNNNNNNNNNNNNNNNNNNNNNNNNNNNNNNNNNNNNNNNNNNNNNNNNNNNNNNNNNNNNNNNNNNNNNNNNNNNNNAGAAGCUUAAUUAAGAACUUAAAACAAAAGAAUUAGAUUGAGAACAGUCAAGCCUUAUUUUUUCAAGGAUGGAGCUUAUAAAUCUUCAAGUACCAACAUACGCUUGGCCCAAUUGUUGUUAUUAAAAUUUCAAUAUACAUAUAUAAGUAUGAUAUAGGAAAAAUUUGAUGGUACAUAUGUCGGAAUAUACUAGUUCAUGGGUGCAUUUGAUUAUUGUUUCCAUAAAUUUGAACCAGGAAGGACGACACGAUAAAAUUUGAUUUUAUGGUAUGGUUGAUUUCAUAGCUCAUGCACUCAUUUCUUAAGAUAAUCAAAUUUUCUCUGGCAUCUUUUUCAACUGUCGAAAUAUCAAUUAUGAUCAAUCAAAACGAUUUCAAAACCUUUCAUCGAGACAUAUUUUUAAUACAAUAUUGUGAAAAUUACACUAAAAAUUUAAUUUAUUAUAUAUUAUUAUCCAACGAGCACACAAAAAUGAUUUCGUACAAAUCUAAAAUACUAAGCAAUUUUCAAAUAGAAUUUACCAUGUACUAAUAGAAUUUACCAUGUACUACAAGAAAAUAGGGUAUAUGUGACCCCUACUGUGAAUGCAAAAGCAGCCAUUACGCAUAACCCCGAGUUGCUUUUGUUACCCUUUAUGUGACGGCCACACUGCUGUCACAUAUGUUACGAACCGCGUGACGGUGAAGAGCCGUUCGGUAUACUAAUAUUUUAGAAUUUUAAAUUUAUUUCCAGUUAGAAAACUAUUCGCUGGACUCCGUGUUGCUGGCCACCAUCGUAAACAUAACUGGUUGCCAGCGAACGGCGUAAAACGCCGGCCAUCUUCUUCUUCAUUGUAUUCUCCCUUCAUCUUUUUAGGUAAGCUUGUGAUUAUGAGUUUCUUCUCUUACUUAGCUUGUAAUUAUAGAUUUUGAUUUUUUUUAAUUCGUAUUGUAGCCGUUAUUGUCAAUUUUUGUCCCGCCAGCAAUAUUUUUUUAUUCCUACAAGUUGAAGCCCCUGUGUUCUUGUUCCAUUGGUGAGUUUGCUCACUCAAAUUAAUUUUGUUCUGCGGAAUUUACAAAGUUCAAAUGGAUUCAUUUGAAUUACUAUUGAAUUUAGCUUUAAUUUCAACAUCCAUUCUAAUGUUUUGCAAUUAGAUUUAAUUUAAUUUUAUGUUUAAAGCUUCUACAAUGAAUAGCGGAGCUUGGGUUUUAGUUUCAUUUUCUGGAUAACUUGUUUUAGUUUAUCUUGUAUGCUCACCAAAUGCUUGUUAUAUUGUCUGAUAAGUUAUAUACAUUGCUGAUUCUACAUUAAUAAUGUUACGUUGUAUUUUCAGAAAUUAUAAUACAAAAGUUUUUGCAAUGGCGUGCAUCUACAAACUGAAUUGACUUGUAGAAUAAGAGCUCGGAGUAGUGUUAUGUUCUUGAAUAAUUGAAAGUUCAUAUUGUGUAAGAGCAUGCAGAUGUAAAGCAUCAUUACCAUUUCUACAAAGUGCUUUCAUUCUGUUCAUAUGCUCUUCUUGAACUUUGAAAGGUGCCUCGUUCAAGUCCUAGCUAUAACUACUAGCUUUGAUUAAUUAAGUUCCUAUACUAGCUGAAACAGAUUUAUUUAAUUAAUUAAUUGUGUAUGUACUAAUUAUAUUGAAAGUAUAUGAAUUUUUUUUUUAACAUGAAUGACUUCUAAAUGACUUAAAAACCUAAAGGAUGUGUGAAACAAUGCUCAUUUCAUUUGAAUGAGCCCAUUAAUACUUUUAUGUCUAUGAUUUUCAAUAUUGGCUAAAGCAUUUCAGUUAAGUGGUUUACCUAACAGAGAAAAAAAUUUAAUAGAAAACUUCAGAGUUCUAACAGAAAUAUAGUUCACUAUGCAGAUAUAGUUAUUUUACGGUAUACAAAUCAAGUUGUCCUAAUCUCAAUGUCCUAUGACCGAUUUUAUUUUAUAUAGUCAUUAAUUUUUUCCUUGGUUUUUUGUGUUUAUGAGUAUGAAAUAGUGGGAUUUGGUGUACCUUAGCAUCUUUUGAAAAUUCUCUUUCAGUGUGGCCAACAGAAAUAUACAUAUAAUCAAGUUUCUUAAUCGUGUAUAUUAGUUUUGGGUAUGAAUGUUCCUAUUCUAGUUCUAGGCAAAGCUUCUUCGUUUUGGUCUUCAGAUUUCCAGUAGGUUAAGUUAAUCAACUAUCAUAACUGGCUAGCUAGUUAUUGUCUGCCUUGGCGCCAUUACCCAGGCCAUUAUAUUGCAUAGCAUAAGGAAUAGUGAUUAGGUGAUUAUUAGUGAUUUGUUGAGCUUAUUAUCGACCAAACAAACAUAUUCGCCUUUGCCCACAACUUAGUUUGAUUAGUUAUUAGACCAUAAAGAGCCUUGAUCUAUUCAUUGGCUUUAUUAUUUUUAUUUGGUUUUUCUUUCAACAAUAUUGUUGAUUUCUUAUAAAAAUAUUCAUUGGUUUUUAAACACCUAAUCAUUGGCUAUAUGAAGCUAAUUAAAACUGAGGCUUUGGAUCAAUUUCUUCUAACAAGAUACAAAUGAGCAUUAACCUAUCUCCUAUGAGUAAAUUUUUUUAAUAUCCUUGAUUUGUAAGGAUCUGGAGGCCUGAAAUCCUCUAGAUUUUUUUUAACACUGUCAAUGUUCUUUUUAUUCUGAGAAGGAAAUAAAAGGUUUUAUCUUUCAUACCCAAAUAGUAAGCUGGCCUUGUCUUAACAUGGCCUCCCGAGGACUUGCAAGAUUCAUAGUGCCCCCCACCCCAAAAAAUAAAAAUAAAAAACACAAAUAGGAAGAUUUUGCAAGAUUCACCACCAGGUUUUUUUUAAUUUGUUAAUUGUGUGUACGUGCUAGUUAUAUGUUGAAAGAAUAGGAAGAAGUAUUUCAACAUGAAUGACUUAAAACUUAUUGCUCAGUAAACAUAAUCUGCAUGUAUUUAUCGUUUGUAUUUUUUAUGGUUUUGCUAAAGAAAUGAUAUGUGAAAUAAUGCUACAUUGCAUCAGGAAUAAAUUGAAGAGAUUUAUGAUAUUUAUGUGUUAUUCAAAUUUCAGAUUCAAUUUUAAACUUUUGAUACGUGCAUUGAAAGCUUAGACUUGUUUAAGAAAUUAUUAAUAGACACAUGUUUUUAUUAGUGUCAUCUUUGGAUGAUAGUGAGGAUCAUAUGUCUAUUAAUAAUUCUUGAAUUGUCCAGGCUUGGACAGUUUGGGAAUGCAUAGUUCACUCUGGUAGCUAGUAGCUGAAGUUUUUUCCCACGUAAAAAUGGGUUUUUCAGUAGCUGCUCCUCGUGUUCUCUGGGUACGUACUAGGUGAAUGGGUGUCAUGUGUUGUUUUGGCAUAACGCAUAAACACUUAUAUAGCUAUGUCGUGUGCUUGGAGAAUUAUAGGGAGAUGGUGCCGAAAUUUUUAUAAACGUGGAAGAAAACUUUAGGUACUUGAGAUUGAAGAAACUUAUGCAUUCUUGAGUGGGAUAUGUAGGAUUACUUACCUUUUGUAAAUAUGAAGGGAAUGUUGGAUAUAUUGGGGAUAGUGUAGGAGCUGAGUUGGAUGAAUGUAAUUGGUGAUGAUUUUGCUGAGCUGACCUUGGUUUUGAGCUUGUAAUUUUGUUUGUAAAUGGAGUGCUAUCUCCAAUGUUGGUUUAUAAAUAUGUUUCAGGACUUGCUGACCUAAUUUUUUGUUUCUAGGUUACAGGCUUUAUAUAUCUGUAAUUGAUGGCGAAGUGAAGUUCCCAGCACUUGGCGAGGAUGUUUCUUUACAGAAGGUAUUGGAAACUGUUUUUUACAUUAAUUAUUGUUGUAUAUAUACUUUGAUUUUCACAUCUUUUUCUCUGAUUCUUGUGGCUUUGCUUGCUUUCAUAUAUGUAAAUUCUAAUGAAAUUAACCAUAAAAUUGUAAAAUGAUCUUUUUAUUAUAUUGCAAAACUGUGCACACACGAAAAUAUAUUGUUUAGUAGUAGAAAUGAAGAACUAAAAUGAUUUACUUAACUAAUUUUUGUAGCGCAUUAAAAGGAGAUAGUCAUGGACAAGUGUUGGGUUGGUUUGCCAAAUAGAUAUCCAAGUCAUAUACUGAUGGGGAUGAAAAAUUUAUAGAUUUUGCAUUUGAGAAUGUUGUUGGUGGUACAAGAAUUUAAUAUCCUUUUAAGAAGUGUUGUAAUCUAUAUUUCGUUAUAAGGAAAGUGGCUGAUGAUGAUAUGGUUGGAAUGAUACAAUGCAUCACGUAAUCAAAUGUUCAAGUUACACGCAGCAUUGUUAUGGACUAUCAGUGACUUUCUAGCAUUGCCAACUUGUCUGGGUGGAGUAUUAAAGGUAAAUAAGCAUGUCUUGUUUGCCAACAAAACACUAGAUCUAAUUGGUUGAUACAUAGUAGAAAAUUUUGUCACGUGGGUCACCGUCGAUUUUUACCAACAAAUCAUAGGUUUCCAAAAUAUAGUGUCUUUUGAUAAAACUAGAGAGUAGGGACCAGCACAUUCUCGGUUGUCUGGAUCUGAAGUGAAAAAGCAGUUUAAUAUACUUACUGAGUAUAAGAUUGAAGACUUGAAAAGAGGAGAAUGAAUAAAAUGAGAGAAAUGAUAAGAUUACUUGGAAGAAGAAAAGCAUAUUUUAUGAACUACCGUGUUGGGAGUUCAAUUUGAUUCAUCAUAAUCUUGAUCUCAUGGGCUGUUUUGAUUUUUGUUAUGAACUCAGAUCAAAAGUUUAAUGUGAUCAAAAUUUCUUAAAAAUAGUGAAAACGACUCCUCCUAAUAAUAUGGAAGAUGGCUAUAAAAGAUAAAAGGAAAGGCUUAAAAAGAAAAGCCAUGCCUGUCAAAAAAAAAAAAAAUCAACAAAAAUCAAAACGGUGCGUUUGAGAGUGUAUAAAAUACAUUUAGAGUGGGAGUUGUGUUGUUGCUUGAAGGCAGAAAGAUAUUUGUCGACGAAGCCAAAACCAAAGAUGAAGCCCAUAAAGCUCAAAACUCCACCGGAGCAAAUUCAGACAAUUACGAGGGUUAUGUUUGACAUAGUCAAGGAAGACGGUCCUCUCACCGUUGCAGAAACUUGGGAACGCGUCAAGGUGUGUGUAUCUGUUAAAUUGAAUUUCAACCGUUUGAUCUGUAAUUAUAAUUAAUCCAAUCGAUCUGACCGCGAUCACUGACCAUAAUACUAGUAGUUGUUUUACAUUUUCAGCAGGCUAGAGCGGGUGGAUUGACGGGCAAAAGCUCAGGCUCGUCUGCAAUCACAUGGGCCCUCAUAAGCAAAUCCUGUACACAACUUGGUUCACUAAACCCAACAACUUGAAGCAGCCAAAAUCAGGGAAUGAUCCUUCUCCGUCACAACCCUAGCUGCCUUAACCUUGUAGUGACACGGUGAAGAUGGAAGCCCCUCAGCAUGUAAACUUUUCAACAGCGACAGAGCUCUUAUUCCAGAGGCUGCACAGAAGAGCGACCUGAAUCCUCUUCAAAAUGUUUGUGAGAUAUUUGUCGACGAAGCCGAAACCAAAGAUGAAACCCAUAGAUCUCAAAAACUCCACCGGAGCAAACUCAGAGUUACGAGGGUUAUGUUAAAUUGAUUAUUAAUAUAAUAAAAAUAACAAUUCUCCAUAUGUUAUUUCUUAUUAAUUCUUAUAUAUAAAUUAAAUUGAUAAUUUCUUAAAAAUAACAAUUCUCCAUAUAUAAAUUAAAUUUAUUUUAAUUUAAUAUAUGUUAUUUUUAUAUUAAAUAUAUGUUAUUUUUAUUAUAUUAGUAAUCAAUUUAAUUUAUUUUUAUUCUUGAGUAAUGGAUUAAAUUUAUUUAGUUUGAAGAGAAAAUUUGACAAAAAUUAAAUGGAAAAAUUGGAUAAUGAAGUUAUAUUCAUAAUUUUAUUAAUAAUAUAGGAAUAAAUUGAACAAUGAACAAUUAUUUUUUAAUAUGCUAUAAGGGUAUAAUGGUAAAAUUAUAAUUUACUGUUAACAAAUGGGGGUCUCAGUGUCUUUUUUGAAACAUUAGGGGGUUUUGUGUCCCUUAUUCAAACGUUGGGGGUCUCUAUGUCCUUUUCCCAAAAAUUUAUAAACUGGAAAUUUAUAAUAAUCUAACUUAUUCUCGUUACUAUUAAAAAAUAAGUAAACAUAUCAAUAACAAUAUAGUUUAUUAUGAUUAUAAUUCAUUCAAUUAAAAUAAAUAAUUUAUUCUUAUUUCUAUUCUCUAUUCUAAUUUCAGUAAAUUUUGAUUUUAGUUUAUUUUAAUUAUUGAUUAGUUGUAAACUUAACUGGAAAUUUAUUGCAUAUAUUACGAGAAGCAGUACACACCAAUGGUAAAUUGAUACAUCGUUUUUGAGCUUAAGAUAGUCAAAUGAAAGAAACACAACGUAGGGUUCAUGAAACACUUUCAAAGCUGCUGAUGACUUAAAGUGAAUAACCUCAGCAUGUAAACUUAACUUCAAAGGACGGAGCACAAGUUUCACAGAAAAACAGCUCUUAUUUCUGAUGCUGCGAACACAGAGGAGUGACCUCAAUCUUCUUCAUCACUUGGGAAUUCUGCAAUUAUAGAGCACGACAUUGAGCAUGAACUAGAAAAAAUAUUUAUUUUCUACAAUUUUCAUAUAAUAAUUCAUAUGUUUUUACUGUCAUCACUUUAGAAAAAACUAAUUUCUCAAUGUGAAAUGGCCCAUAAAAAGUAUUCUCAUUUAAAAACUAAAUUUGACAAACCCCUCGAUUAAAGCAGGGGAGAGAAAAAAAAAAAAAAAGAUCUGAAGGCUUUCCAUGAAAAUGUUGUCACUUUGGAUGAUAUUUUCAAGGGAUUUCAUUCUAAAAAUAAAAUACCUGGGACCUUAUUCUUCAAAUUGACAGCUCGCCCAGUACUAAACGCGUAUGAGAUCAGUACUGGGACAAGUAACGAGACGACCCCUCCAACAGCUGAAAAUAAAAUUCGCAUUCAUCAAUUUAAAUUGAAAUUCAUAUUAUGAAAUUAAAACUAAUGAUUAAUGAAUUUUCAAGGAAUUUAAUAAGAUUCUCAUAUAUAAACGUGAUAAAAAAUUCACUCAUCAAUAACAAAUAUUCUAACAUUUUGUUGAUGUAAUUGUUGUAUGGUUGUGUUAAGGUCAUUAUUAGACCAACGCAGUUUGUCAUCACUCAUUCCGUACCAGACGUUUACUCUCGGAGGCGUGAUUGAUUCUCCUUUGGUGAAAAUCUUCAUCUUCGGACAACCAAUCACAGUAAGAUAUUCCAAAGAUGGGAAUUUGAAGGCGUAAUUGCCAGAGGAGAAGCUUGUGAGACUAUCUAAAUCAAACAGGGACAACGUAGUCAGUUUGCUGAAAACAAUCUCUUCUUUUAAAUAUGCUGUUUCAUUUCAAGACUGGCAAAAUUCAUUGUGUAAUCAAAGUUUUCAAUGAUCCAACUAAUAUAUAUAUAUAUAUGUAUGUAUAUUCCUUCUCUAGUGCAGACAUUCUCAUUUUUUUUUUUCAUGUGGACCAGUUUUUAGAUCCCCUGGUUUAAAAGAGUUAGUUUUUAACUCUUUAAAACCGCAUGGCUUCAUAAUUUAUUUAAAAACUAACUCUCUUAAACCGCACGGUUUAAAAGCGUGUCCACAUUAAAAAAAAAUACGGACCCCCACACCUGAGAAUGAUUAUAUAUAUAUAUAUAUAUAUAUAUAUACACACACGCUCUUAAACCGUGGGAUUUGAAAGCUUCUCCGCAUGAAGAAAGUAAAAAAUAAGGGCAUUCCCACUAGAAACAAACUCCAUAUAGGUAUUUAUUAAACCUCCUGAUCUGUGAGUGAGGAACAACAAAUAUAAUUGAUAAAAAAAAUCUAAAAUUUGGUUUCAUACCUUCUUGAACGAGAACAGGGGUUGUUGUGCCGGAAUACCAAAUUGAUCAUUCUCGUUAUUCUGGGACAACGUUAUUUUAUCACAAUUACAGGCCUCCAAUGUUUUUUAGUGCUGGCCAUUCUGAAGUAUGCAUUCCAGGGUAUAAACAUCUGAGUUCUGGUAGACCUUCGAGAUUCAGAGUGGUCACUUGUGGAAAGACAAAAUAUGGGGUCACUUGAUCUGCUCUGUCUUUGGAGAUGAUCUCUUGUAAACCCAUACAUAUCCGUAUCUCCAGGUGUUGGAGGUGCUCAAGGCUUUGGAUCAUAGAAGCUGAAAAUAUGUAUUUUAAUUUGUCACAGCCCCACACUAUCAAUCGUGUCAAACUUUGAAAGCCGCAAGUUGAUUGUCAUGCAAAAUCUCGUCGACAUUAAUAGCAUUCAGCUCCAAAGCCUCCAAAUUUGGCAACACUACCUGAAGAUAAUUUUCUCUUUAGAUCCAAUAUCCGUAUGGAAAGCACUUGUUUUGACACAAUAUCCAUAUAAGAAGCACUUAAUUAAGAGCUUAAUUAGCGAGUGUAUGAGACUUUUUUUUUUCAAAUGCCAGUGCAUGAUAGAACUAAAAAAAAAAAAGAAGCAUUAGCCUACGUACCUUCUCGUUGAAAAGCAGAGUUGACGUUUCCGAACUGAUCUCGUUGGAACUGGCUGUCAAUUCCUCUUGCGACUCUUGUCUGUUUGGUGAUGUGGAAGAAGUCUUCACUUCACCGCAAAACCUUGUAACCUUUGGAAGCUUUCCCAGACUCAAAGAUCUUAAUUGACCAAACUCUAUCUUCCCAUCAACAUCAACAUCAGCUUCUCCUCCAGUUGCAAAAAUCUCUUCCAUGCUGCUGCAAUUGAUAACUGCAAUCCUCUCCAGUCUUGGAAGGCAUUUUGUACUACUAGAGAGCCAGAAGAUAUUACUCAACUCAUCACAAUUUUCUACUUUUAUGGUUUUGAGUUCAUUGAAGGACUCUAUUUUGAGUCGAUCAAUACAUAUCCUCUCCAUAUUGAUCAAAUUUUGAAGAGUAUGGGACUCCAAAAGAGGAAAGGCGACACAUGGUUCUCUCUCCAUUGAAUCGACGAUACACAGGAAGUCUGGAUUAUUUUGAACAUGGAGAUGCUUCAAUUGUGAAAAGCCCUCAGUGUCCAAUUCUAAAACAACAUUCUUGAUUCCUUGCAACUUAUCCAAACAUAAGUAUUCAACGUUAUUGAUGCGCUGCAACUUCUCGGAGCAAAUGGCCAUAGAAUCAAGCUUGAGCUUCAAUGUUCUUAAACUCUCAUGAUUACUGAUCAUAAAGUGCUGCCGACUUUCAAACCAAUCAUUAUGCUGAAAUCUGCUCGCCCUUGGACCGACCAGAUUCUGUCACCAACGUUUGUGUUAUCAACUGUCACUCGAACCACUGGGGUUGGAAUCGCCCUUCCCUCUCUCACUAGACCUGCGUUCAGCAAAAACGGAUCAGAGACGCCGGUGGUUUUGCCGGCGUAAACCCUCCGAUGCCUAAGUUAGCACAAGGUGUUUACGGGAAAACAGUGUAAUAUGGAUUUAAGAAAUUUGUAAGGAAAUGGCCUGGUUGCAAUUUGGCAGCGUUUCCCCUCUCUCAGUUUUUCUGUCCUGUCUUCUUCGAUGUCUUUCUCUUUUAUAGCCGCCCUUUGUCCCACGUUUUUCGUUUGCCCCUUAUCCCUCCUUUUUCGGGUGGUGGUAGCCCCUCAUGGGACUCUAACUGCCAGAUUGUGGGCAAACGUGGAUCUCGCGUGUCCUUCAACCGCUCUGGGAGAAGCGCAACUACCGCGAUUUUGUGAGAUCGUGUUCCCGCUUUCCUGGGGAUGAGUAUCGGCUCGGCGUAUAUUUAUGGUCGGUAUGUUUUCCUGGUCGCAUUCAUCUCGGGUCGGCUCUUGUUUAACCCCGUGUUCUGCUCGUACCAUAUAGCUGGAACGAUCCGUGCCGGGGUGGAACCAGUAACAUGGCCGACCUGGUGCCUUUAUGUACUCAACACCAGUCCCCCAGUUUCUGGUCUGGCGAGUGAAAUGAGUUAAGAGUAGAAACUGAUGGUCAAAUCUCACCAGCCCGGGGAGCUUCUCGUCUGAUCCUCUUUUUAUUGAGACGGGCCUGACCUGAUGUACCAUUUCUCUACUGAGGAGACUCCGACCUGAGCGUGGGCCUAAGUGAACCUGCCCAUAGCAUAUCUGGGCUUACUUCUAACCUGGCCUCUUGUAACGGUUGGUGAUGUGGCAUCUCCAGACUCUUCGUAUUUGAAAUUUGAAACGACGGGCUAUCCGUCCUCGAUAUAUGGGGGGUGAGCUGGCAUAUCCCAUCACUGAAAUGCUUCCAUUUCCCCCUUUUCGUUUCAAAUCCCUAGACUGGAGUCAUCAUUAUCUUGCUAUUCGUUUCUCCGUCGUCAACCAAAUUUUCUCUGAACUUUGCUCACACUUCCAGCGUCCGGAGUAUCCAUUCGCCGGGUGUUUUCUCUGUCACGGCGGCGCUAUCAGUGUCAGUCUAUUCCAGGUAUAGUCUUUAACCUUUUCCUCUGGUUGUUGUUGAUUGGGUUCUGUGUUGCCUUCUUUGUGUCCAUAUACUCGAGUUUUCUCUGUUUUCUUUUGGGGAUUUCGGUAUGUCGAAUCGGAAGAGGAAGUUAAUUGUUGAUGAGGGUGAUGAAGAGUCAGGGGACUCAGGCCUCAAUGUGCCAAUACCCACUGAUUACUUGGGCCCCUCCAGUAGUGUAGGUCCUUCCCAUGGCAGGGAUACCCUUGAAUACCCACGCCCUUUGGUUAUCUCUCCUUCCCCCGAACUAGAGCUUGUAGGGAAUAGAGGUGGACCUGCGUCGGGCUCUGGUGAGAAUCACAGUUCUGGUGGGGUUGGGGUCCCUGAAGGAGUUAGUGAUGGUGAGGGAAGCGGUUCCGGACCAAGCAGACCUGCUCAGAAAAGGAAACUAGGCCAUAGGGUGGAGGCUGAUUCCUACCCUAUUGAUUUCAUGGCUUGUGCCACCACCCCCACCGAUCUAUUUAAACUUAGGAAUCUCUACAACAUCCCCAACGAUGUUCUUCUUGUAGUCCCUGGGAAGGGUGACGUUCCUAGUCGGCCUCCGCAGGGGUAUGUGACGAUGCACCUAGAGAGUUUUAAACUAGGAGCUCGGCUGCCCCUUCAGCGUUAUUUUGCCAAGAUAUUGGGAGGUAUGCACCUGGCCCCAGGUCAGCUACACCCGAACGGGUGGAGGGUUCUAUCGGCUAUGUUUGUGUUGUGGGAGAGGUGCGGGUUGGAGGAGCCUUCCCUUGUUGAAGUGAAGCAUUUGUAUCAGCUGCGGAGCAGCCCAAGGGAGGCGGGCUGGUACUACUUCAUGUCCAGUUCUGCAAAGAGAAAGCCAAUCACCGGUUUCCCCUCCUCGUGCAAGAAUUGGAAGAACAAAUUCUUCUUUGCUGGGGGAAAAUGGUGUUCAGCACUUCGUUCGUUGGGUGGUGAUCUUUACCUACCAACGCAGUUUGUCACCCCAGGUCGUUCAUUUUUUGCCUGUAUUCUUUUUCGAACUGCCACUUAUUGGGUUCUUUAACCUUGUUUGUUAUUUCAGAGUCAUGGGGUUUGAUCGGGGGGCUUGAAGAUCGACCCUUGCUUCAGGUGGAAACUGCUCUGGUGAACGCUUCUACUUGCCAAGACCUCCUGUCUCCAACAAACUUGGUCGGUUCGGGCCUAGUGGAUAUAGCCGCUGGAAUGGAUAACAAGAUCCUCAGCGCGAUGAGCAGGAAGCGUGGUCGGGCCCCGAGCAGCUCCAGCAACCCUCCUCCUCCUCCGAAGAAACCUACCGUCGGUCCUUCCAAGGCGCCUGUUCCUGCUCUGCCUCCUCCUCCACCUCGUAAGAGUGGUGGGGAGAAAACCUCGGACAAGAGUCCUGAGGUCAGCUUGCAAUCUGGGGACCGAUCUUCUCCUCUCCCAUCUCGGGAUCAAGGUGAUUACCUGAGUCCAUAUCAGAAGGAUUAUAAAAAAUCGGUUGGGCCUAAGAUGGUGAAGGACAUCGAGAGCAUGAGCCUCUCCGAGUUGGCUGCUUCUGUUCAGAGAGUCUCCUUUAGGCUGGCCACAAUGGUCUCGUGCUACAAGACCGGGUCCGCGCGUCAUGAGAAGAAGCUUCAAGCUAACAAUCAGGAGUUGAAAAGGAAAGCUGAAUCUGCUGACCGCUCCAGGGAGAAACUAGCCGAGCUGAACAAGCAUAUUAUGGAGCUGGAGGAGAAAGUUGCGGUUGCUGAGUCCACUUCCUACAAGCUUGAGGGCGAGUUGAAUGAUCUGAAGUCCGAUCUUCAGGCUACUCAAAGUGAGAGAGAUACUCUGAGGACCGCCCUUGAGGGAGAGAUCAAAUCCCUGAGUGACCAGCUGGCUGAAGAGAAAGGCAAAUCUGCUGAUGUAGAUGAUCGGCUGGAUGCUGAGUAUGACUCCGGGGUUGCUUUCAGCUAUAAGUGCAUCAUGUCUGUGCUCACGGAAGAAUACCCCGAGCUCGAUAUGAGCAAGCUGGAGACUGGGGUGGAGAGAUAUAUGGCUGGGGCCGGCCAGGGAGAUAAGGAGCAGGGUGAGCAGGAUCGGGUGGAGGUUCCUUCGGGUGGGGUGGAAGAGGGGGAUGCUGGGGGACGCACUUUCGAAAUGGGUCAAGGGUCCAUGCCUCCUCCUCCCGGUAUUGCUGAUCUCCCACCUCCUGAUGUUGCUGAUCCCUCACUUCCCGGGCUCGCUGAUCCUUCAGCCGCUGGAGCCGUUGACUCUGCUAAGCUUUGAGCCUAUUUUUGUAUAGACUCUAGAUUUGCAUUUGUUUUGUAAACAAUUGAACAUUUAUAAAAAGAUUUUUAAAUGCUCUUUAUUUGCUUUCUUGUCCGGUUUUUGCUCAUAGAUUGUAUCUUAGUUUUGCCUUUCGUAGGAUUAACUGCUGGUCCUUCGUUGACCGAGCCGAAGUAGGCAUUUGCUUUAGUAGAUUUCUUGUAGAGUUAGCUGCUGGUCUUGCGUUGACCGAGCAGAAGUAGGCACUUACUUGCCUUGGUAGAAUCUUCGUAACUUUAGCUGCUGGUCAUUCGUUGACCGAGCCGAAGUAGGCACUUGCCUUAGUAGAGUUUUCGUAGCUUUAGCUGCUGGUCUUUCGUUGACCGAGCAGAAGUAGGCACUUGCCUUAGUAGAGUUUUCGUAGCUUUAGCUGCUGGUCUUUUGUUGACCGAGCAGAAGCAGGCACUUUGUUGCCUUAGUAGAUAUUUUGAAGCUUUAGCUGCUGGUCUUCGUUGACCGAGCAGAAGUAGGCACUUGCCCUAGGAGAGUGUUCGUAGCUUUAGCUGCUGGUCAUUCGUUGACCGAGCAGAAACAGGCACUUUGUUGCCUUAGUAGAAAUUUUGAAGCUUUAGCUGCUGGUCUUCGUUGACCGAGCAGAAGUAGCACUUGUCUUAGUGAAAUUUUUAUUGAUCUUGCUAGCAGGGGGAUUUCAUGCUGAAUUCAUCUUUAUUGAAAUUUGAAUGUAUUACAAAAACAUAGAAUAUAUGCAUGUGCGACAGGCCAUCAGGCAUUGUAACAGAAAUAACUUGCCAGAGUGAGGAUUUAAUAGAGCAUUUUGCUUACUGGAAGUACUUCUUCAGGUGUUCGGCGUUCCAUGAUCUCUUCACGUCUCGUCCGUCUUGGCACGCUAAUUUAUAUGCUCCUGGUCCAGUGGCUCGUAUCACUCGGUAUGGGCCUUCCCACUUUGGGCCAAGAGCGCCAUGGUUAGGAUUCCUGGUGUUCUGGUUCACCUUCCUAAGUACCCAAUCUCCUGCUCGGAACUGCCUCACGCGUACAUUCUUGUUGUAAUAACGCAUGACCCUUUGCUGACAUUGGGCCACUUUCUGCGAGGCCCCUUCCCUUUUCUCCUCCAGCAGGUCUAGGCUUAAGCAGAUCUGCUCGUCAUUUUGCUCCUCAACGAAAUGUUCCGUUCUAUGUGUCCCCACUCCAAUCUCUGUUGGGAUUACCGCCUCAUGACCAAAAGCUAAAGCGAACGGUGUUUCUCCUGUGGCGGUUUUGUGAGUUGUCCUGUAGGCCCACAGUACCCCUGGUAGCUCGUCAACCCAAGCUCCCUUCUUCUCCCCCAAUCUAGUCUUUAGGAGCUUCUUUAUCACCUUGUUGGCUACUUCCACUUGCCCAUUUGCCUGGGGGUGUGCGGGGGUGCAGAACUUCAGGUCCACCCCCAGGUUUUGGCAAAAUUCCCUGAAGUUGCCGUUGUCAAAUUGCCUCCCAUUGUCUGUGAUGAUGGCGUAGGGGAUCCCAUAUCUGCAGAUGAUGUUUUUCCAAAUAAAAUCUGUUGUCUUCCUCUCUGUGAUCUGGCUGAGGACUCCUACUUCCACCCACUUGGUGAAGUAGUCUAUUGCCACGAUUGCAUGUGUCGCCGCUCCUCGUCCCUUUGGUAAUGGACCAAUCAAGUCGAUUCCCCAUUGAGCGAAAGGCCAUGGGGAUGUCAUAGCCGUCAGUUUCUCCGGUGGUUGUGCAGGAACCUCGGAGAAGCUUUGGCAUGUUUUACAAUUCUUGGCCAUUCUUUUGGCAUCCUGGUGCAUGGUUGGCCAGAAGUAUCCUUGCCGAAGUGCCUUGAAAGCUAAAGUUCUUGCUCCCGAGUGAUUGCCGCAUAUUCCCUCAUGAAUCUCUCUCAGCACAUAAUCCGCCUCCUCAUCAUCCAAACAUCUCAAAAGGGGUAAGGUGAACCCUCGGCGGUAUUGCACUCCAUCUAGUAGCGUGUACCUCGCUGCUCGGCAUUUUAACUUUCUUGCUUGCCUUUUGUCUUCCGGUAAAACUCCAUCGCGGACAUAUGCGCGAAUCGGGUCCAUCCAGGAUUCUCCAAUAUUUACACUCAUCACCUCUGCUUCUUCCUCAAUACUUGGUGAGGUCCUUACCUCUAGUGGAACUGACUUCGGUAAUUUUGGAUCUGCGAUGGCUGCCAUCCUAGCCAGCAUAUCGGCUCGGAAAUUCUCAUUCCGGGAUAUCUGCUUUACCUCCACUACUUGGAAAAGCCCAACCAUCUGCUUCGCCUUCUUCAAAUAAAGACCCAUCUUCUCUCCCCUCGCUUGAAACUGACCAUUGAGCUGAUUACACACCAAUUGGGAAUCUGCUCGAAUUUCUACUCUCUCUGCUCUGAGAGCGUGUGCAAGUCCGAGCCCGGUGAUAAAGGCUUCGUACUCAGCUUGGUUGUUUGUGAGCUGAAAUUCGAACUUCACCGCGUAUGUUACCUCAGUUCCCUCUGGGCUCCUUAUUACAACUCCUGCUCCGGAUCCUUGCUCACUACAUGAUCCGUCAACCAUUACCAGCCAUAUCUCCUUUGAAUCCUCGUGCUCUACCGGUUGUUCCUCUUGGACCUCUUCCCCCGGUUCAACACGGUCCACCAUAAAAUCUACCAGGGCUUGGGCCUUGAUUGCUCCUCGGGGCCUGUAGGAUAGGUCAAAUUCGCUCAGCUCCACGGACCAUUUUACUAACCGACCAGACGCAUCUGGUUUUUGAAGUACUUGCCGAAGUGGCUGGUCAGUCAUCACAAUGAUCUGGUGGGCUUGGAAGUAUGGUCGGAGUUUGCGUGCUGCCAUUAUCAAAGCCAGCGCCCACUUCUCCAUUAGUGGAUAUCUGGUUUCUGCGUCCACCAGGGCCUUGCUUGUGUAGUAUACCGGGUGUUGCUUCCCUUCUACUUCCCUGACUAAGACCGAGCUGGUAGCCUGCUUAGAGAUUGCCAAGUAUAAGAGCAGCUGGUCACCCUCUCUCGGAGUUGAUAGUAACGGGGCGUGGGCUAGAUAUUCCUUCAGCUGUCCAAAUGCCUCCUCGCAUUCCGGUGUCCAUUCCAUCUUCUUCCCUUUCUUUAUGACUUGGAAGAAAGGGUGACAUUUAUCAGUGGCUCGCGAAAUGAAUCGGUUCAAUGCUGCCAACUUCCCCGUAAGGCUCUGCACCUCCUUAGCUGUUCGUGGGGACUUCAUUUCUAUCACCGCCCGUAUAUUUUCUGGGUUGGCUUCAAUACCUCGAUGGCUCACCAGGUAUCCCAAAAAUUUGCCCGAGCUGACCCCAAAUGCACAUUUCUCCGGGUUCAGCUUCAUUUUGUACCUCCUCAGCAAUUCGAAAGUCUCUUUUAAGUGCUUCACAUGGUCUUUCGGUUCUCUUGACUUGGUGAUCAUAUCGUCCACAUAUACUUCCAUAGUGCGACCGAUCAAUGGUUUGAAGACCUUGUUCACUAACCUUUGAUAGGUAGCUCCUACAUUUUUCAGGCCAAAGGGCAUCACCCUGUAACAAAACAAACCCAUGUUAGUUAUAAAUGUGGUGCUCUCCUCAUCCUGCUCGUUCAUGGGUAUCUGGUUGUAUCCGGAGAAGGCAUCCAUGAAACUGAGUAGACUAUGACCCGCGGUUGAGUCCACCAGCUGAUCUAUUUUUGGUAGGGGAAAGCUGUCCUUCGGGCAUGCCUUAUUGAGGUCCGUGAAGUCUACACACAUUCUCCACUUCCCAUUGGCCUUCUUUACCAAUACCACAUUGGAAAUCCACUCCGGGUACUUAGCUUCCCUUAUAAAUCCUGCUUUCAGCAGCUUUUCCACCUCGGCAUUUAUGGCUUCGUACCUUUCAUGGUUGAAGCACCUCAUUUUCUGCCUCACCGGCUUUGCCCCUCUCUUGACCGCCAGCUUGUGACAAGCUAUCCCGCGGUCAAUACCUGGCAUAUCCUCAUGAGACCAAGCAAAUAUGUCUGCAUGGGACUGUAGACACUUCACCAGCUCUGUCUUUAUUUCUCUACCCAAUUCUGAUCCGACCUUUACAACUCUGCUAGGGUCGCUCCUGCUUACAACAACUUCCUCCAGCUUCUCAACCAGUUCCUGACUACCAUUUUUUGAAUCCCUUCGGUUAUCUAGCGAGGUAACUUGCAGCGUUUCCUUGGCCGCUGUAGCAUAGCAGCUCCUGGCCAUUCUCUGGUCGCCCUUUACUACACCCACAACUCCAUUUAUUCUGUACUUCAGCGCCAGAUAAUGCGUUGACAUUACACAUUGGCUUAUCCUCAUGAACGGUCUCCCCAAUAUCAUCUGGUAAGGACUUCUUUCCUCUACCACUACAAAGUCCAGCAUCAUCGUUCUUUCAAGUGGCUUUGUCCCUACAGUAAUCGGGAGUUCAAUGACCCCCAUGGGAGUUAACCGUCCCCCUCCAAAUCCCUUCAAGGAUGUAUUCGUUCGCUCCAGCUUUAAAUCUAAAAUCCCCAUAUCAUCUAAGGCCGACUUAAACAGAAUGUCUACUGAGCUGCCCGUAUCUACCAGUAUUCACCGUAAUUCUGUACUGGCCACAAAUGCUUUAAUCACCAGCGCAUCCUCGUGAGGGUAUAAAAUGCCUUCUUCGUCGUCCUCUGUCCACAUAAUAGGAACUUGCCGCACUUUUUCCCUCUUGGCUGCUGGCAAAUUGAAAAGCACUUCUUUGCUAGUCAGGGCGUAUCUCCCAUAGUUCUUCCGUGCCCUGUUUGAAUCCCCGGCCAAUGUUGGCCCUCCUGCUAUAACUUGGAUAGUCGGCUGUUCUUGUUCCAAACCCCUUUCAACUCCUUCAUCCUGUGCAUAUUGCGACUCACUGACGGGGAACACUCCAUCUACGUACUCAUCCAAGUAUUGGUUCCUCACCAAAUCCUCCACCUGAAUCCUUAGGUCACGGCAUUGGCUGAUAGUAUGACCGUGAGUGUUGUGGAAUUUGCAGAACCUGCUCUUAUCACGCCGGUGAGCGGGUUUCGUUAUAGGGGUCGGAGUAUACAGCAGUCCUCGUCCCUCGAUCCUUUCGUAUAGUUCCUCCAUGGAGAUUUUUAAAGGAGUAUAUCGUCGAUAUGCCGCGCUCUGGUCAACCAACUGAACUGCUCGGCUAUCAUGGACAUCACUUCGGGCUGGUAUAGCCGGUAACUGCUCUGGUCGGCCAGACCUGUGAUUGGUCGCGUUUACCUCUCUGGGAGUGCGGUGGUAAGGGUGGGCAGUCACCUGCCUGAAUUCUCGCUGCCGCUCUGGGAUCGGGGGGCGCAGAGGUUGAGCCCGGCUGUGUUGGAACUGUUGUGCUCUCUGAGCUAUGGGGUAAGGGCGAGACCGAGCUGAUAUUCCGCCCAUCCCCGAAGAUUCUCCAGUUCGCUUUCCCGACCCGCUCCCUUUCGGGGCUCUCCGUUCUCUUCGCCUCAGCUCUUCCAGCUGUUCACUUUUAAUUCUUGCUGAUUUUUCCUCUUCGAUUUCUAUGUCUCGUUUCGCUUGCUCAUACCCCGACGAGUAAUUCUGUACGAGGGGGCUUCUUAAGUUAUACCACAAUCGGCCGAUUCUUACACCUUCUUUUAAUCCCCUCAACGCCUGCGGGUGAUUAAAAGCUCCCAAAUCCAGCACGGCUCGGUGAUAUCGUUUUACGAAAUCGUGAAGGGAUUCAUGCUCCUCCUGCUUCAUCCCCAUCAGCUCCAUCAUGUCAUCCUCUGGGGCCACCGCCCCUCGGAACUGCUCGGCCAACUCCUGGCACAUCUGCUCAUACCCCUUUAUUCCUCCUCGGGGCAGCUUGCGGUACCAUUCUCGGGCUCGUCCCUCUAGUGUCAACGGGAACACCCUGCAUCUCUGAGCUGGUGUCAGCCCCUGCACACCCGUCAUGUCGUUGAAACGCUCAAUGUGCACCAACGGGUCACUUCGCCCGGAGUAUUUAAGGUCAGGGAAGCGGAAAUCUCUUGGGAUUAUGGUGCUCAUGAUCUCAAUUGAUAACGGAGAUUCUUCAUCUAGCAUUAUCCUCCAGCUCGGGGGCUUUCUCUUGCCCUGCAUCUCCUCUAUCACCUGCGCCAAUCUGCGCACCUCCCCCUCCAAUUCUAUAGCGCGAUCAGGGUCACGUGCAGCUAUCUGGUCUCUCUCCUGCUCGACGUUCUGCAACCGUUGUCUGAGCUCUCCUUCAUCAACACUGGCCCCUCGGCCAUUUAUUUCCAGUACCCGUCCGGGGCGAGGUUCGUCUCUCCCUUCAUCCACGUGUUCCCCUGGGACCCGGCCAGUACUUCGGUGGGGAUGCACUCCAUUAGGUUGGUCUGCGGGUGGAGGGAUUUCCCCGACCCUACGCCCCCGGAGACUGGGUUCUGCUCCAACUCCAUCUCUUCCCACGGGGGUUUCAUAAUCCCUUCUCCGCUCGUCCCUCAGCUCAAACAAUACGGCCGCGAGAGUCUCCAUUUGUUUCUCCAUCCGCUCCAGUCUAUCUUGCAUCAUCCUCUCUCGGGCUUCAUUUGCUAUCUCCCGUAGAGUGAUUGUCUCCACCGUUUCAUUAUCCUCCCUUACAGUAUCCUUUCUUGACGCAUCCAUAUCUAAUCGUUCGCUACUUCUCAGGUAAUUACUAACUUGGUGGUAGCUUUUUAUUCAGCUCCCCACAGACGGCGCCAAAAUGUUGAUGCUGAAAUCUGCUCGCCCUUGGACCGACCAGAUUCUGUCACCAACGUUUGUGUUAUCAACUGUCACUCGAACCACUGGGGUUGGAAUCGCCCUUCCCUCUCUCACUAGACCUGCGUUCAGCAAAAACGGAUCAGAGACGCCGGUGGUUUUGCCGGCGUAAACCCUCCGAUGCCUAAGUUAGCACAAGGUGUUUACGGGAAAACAGUGUAAUAUGGAUUUAAGAAAUUUGUAAGGAAAUGGCCUGGUUGCAAUUUGGCAGCGUUUCCCCUCUCUCAGUUUUUCUGUCCUGUCUUCUUCGAUGUCUUUCUCUUUUAUAGCCGCCCUUUGUCCCACGUUUUUCGUUUGCCCCUUAUCCCUCCUUUUUCGGGUGGUGGUAGCCCCUCAUGGGACUCUAACUGCCAGAUUGUGGGCAAACGUGGAUCUCGCGUGUCCUUCAACCGCUCUGGGAGAAGCGCAACUACCGCGAUUUUGUGAGAUCGUGUUCCUGCUUUCCUGGGGAUGAGUAACAUUCUUGAUUCCUUGCAACUUAUCCAAACAUAAGUAUUCAACGUUAUUGAUGCGCUGCAACUUCUCGGAGCAAAUGGCCAUAGAAUCAAGCUUGAGCUUCAAUGUUCUUAAACUCUCAUGAUUACUGAUCAUAAAGUGCUGCCGACUUUCAAACCAAUCAUUCUCAAUAACCAGGGUAGAGUCGAAUGAUGCAUCUCCUAUUGAUAUAUCAAACCUUUCCAGCUUUUUGGAAAAAAAGCCAUCCGGUAAAAUGCUAUCAUUUUUAACAUCUAUCUAAGGUGGUCAAUCGCCUCAUAUGCAUCAAUUCGUCGAGGGUGGCAUUACUUCUUUCACUAUUGGCCUUUUCAACUUCCCAUUCAAUAGGGGAAUUACCCAUAUACAGUUCUUCCAAUCGAGUGAAGCUUGAUAAGACGUUGGGCACAAUAAAUUUUAGUUGCAAACAAUCUGUUAAAUCUAACAGCCUUAACUUAGUCAGUUGACCUAGUUCGCCAGGCAACCGUACAAUAUCAGAAUUUAAAAAGCUAAGGAUUUCUAGAUUCUUCAACUUUCCAAUUAUGGCUAUGUCUCCCAACAUGCUUUGAUCUAGACAGAGUGUUUGAAGAUUUGCUAGAAGACCGAUUGAAGAUGGCAAUGAAAAUAAUCGCAUUCGUGUCAAAUCUACAACUCGAAGCUUUUUCAGCCCUUUGAAAAUGUUGUCAGGAAUAUUGACCUCAACAAAAGUGUUUUGGGAAAUAUGUAAAAAUUCAAGUUGCAGACAUUCAAAUUCCUCAGAAACUUCAUGAAUGCUACUAUUUAGUAAAGAGAUUGCAUAGCAUUUUUUAAGUGCAUCCUCAUCUGGCCACUCCCACACAGCCUCAUUUCUCACCAAUAAAGCAUGUUGGUCUCGAUUUAAACUUUAACUCAAUUUGAAAAACUGAGCAAGUAUGCGUUACAGGAAAUCAAAAAAGCUCCACAUACCCAGAUCAUGAUCUCACGUUGAAUCCAGGUGGGAGAUAUAUUUAUGAUCAAGCCCAACAUCGAAGGGGGCAAAAAAAAAAAAAAAAAAAUCUACCAGACAUAUGAUCAUAUUGACCACGAGCUUCAUACGCCGUGGAUUUAUUAACAAAAGUGGGAAUUAAUUAAUCAUGAGCAUGUGUUCUAGUUAAGUCAAAAGAGAGACUUAAUUAAGAACGCAUAUAUAAUUCAUAAUCAGCACAUAAAAAGAUCACUAGUGCUUGCCCCUCCUGCCCUUGCCGUGCUUGCCGUGCUUGCCCCUGCCCUUGCCCUUUCCAUGCUGGUAGUAGCCGCCGUGCUUGCCGUGUGUGUAUGCACCGUGAGCUCCAGGAUAUGCGUUAUUAUCUGCAACAAAAUAAGAAAUUAAAUCAUAAGCUUAUAAUUAGCUCGCUCGCUAAGAGUGAUUAAAAUAAUACCGUGCGGAACGGAUGGGCCAGGAUAUCCCGUUGGUGUGUAACCACUGGCGAGUGCUGCUCCUGUAGGCGGGUAGCCGGCACCGGCUGGGGCAGCAUGAUCAGCACCUUCCAUGAUUUUGAUGAUCACCUAAUAAAUAAUAACUUGGUCCAAAAUAAACAACAAUAAAUAAUUGUGAUUAAUAAAAAGUAAUAUAUUCUCUAAUUAAAACAUUAAUGAUCAUUGGAGAGCAAGCGAGAAAUACUUACUGAAUGCGAUGGGACAGACAACAUCAUGCAUAGAGAAUUGUUCAUCUUCAACGAAUUUGGCUGCCCGGUCAAUGAUGCCGUUAGCACUAACCAGCCACUUCUCAACCUUCUCUUCAAUCUCUUCCCCUUUUUCUUUUGCCUCUGAAACUCUGCGCCGAAUGCUCGUACGUUCAACCUUCAACUUCUCCAUUUCCGUCUUGAGAUUCUCAAGGUUGGCAUUGUAGUUCCGCUUGCGCAAAUAAACAAGUUGGCGUUCUGUUGGAGGAGCCAAGCAUUUUACAAGUUCCAAAACGAGAGUAACAAUGAUUUCCAGCAUCUUGAAUCCUGACAACAAUGUAGAAGUGAAGAAGGCCAAAGGACAGUCAAAACAGAGAGACAGCGUUACGACAAGCAGUUAUGGAGCUAAAAAUAAAUAACAAACAAACAGAAGCAAAGUGUUUUUCGAAUGAGAAGAAGGAAGCAAGAAAAACUUAAAACUAGUAUAAUAAAUUUAUACUAAAACUAGUAUAGUAAAACAAGAAGUCAAGAACCAGCAACUUUUACACACAAAAUAAAACCUUAAAACUAGUAUAAUAAAUUUAUCAUCAAGUUGCAGCCUUCUUAUUCAACAAUUACAGCAUUAUCUUGAGCUCUGUGUUUCUUUUUUUAAAAUUAUUCAAAAAAAUCUGCAUUUGUUUUUCAAGGAUAAAAAUUAUAUUUUUGUCUCAUAUAAUAUAAAAUUAAAAAAAAACAAACAUAUAUUAAAGGUCUGUUUGGGAUUAUUUUUAGAGGCUCAAAAGUAAUUUUAAAAAGUUAAAUGCUAAUUUUGGUAUUUAAUAAAAUUUUUAGAAGUCACCUUUGGUAAAAUCAUCAAUCCUACAACAAAUUUUGAAAGCAAAUAGUUUUUCAAAUUUUUAUUUUGAUAAUUAAUUUUAUACUUAAUAUAAUUCCAUAUACAUCCCUACAUAUAUUAAUUAUCCUUAUUAAUUAGAAAAUAAAAUUAUUAACUUUAAAGAUAUUAUCAACAAUUACAUUGAGAUAACAAACUAAAAAUAAAAUUAAUAAUAUAAAAUAUUUAUUUUAGUAAUCAAUUAUUAUACUUACAAGAUAAAAAAUAUUUUAUUUAAAUGUUUAUAAAUGUACAAAUAAAUUUUAUUUAAUAUUAUAUUCAAUUUAGUCAUUUACAUUGUCAAUAGGACUUCUAAAAAUAAAUUUUCCUAAAUGUUUAACUAAUUCUCUUCAUAGUGAUUAUUUCCAAACAUAACUACCAAAAAUUACUAUAAUAGAUACAACAUUACCAAAAAAAUAUUGAGAUAGAUUUUAAUUAGGUAAUUGACUUAAUUAUGAAUCAAUUUAUUAUUUCCAUAUGUGUUAUCCAUAUGUGUUAUCAAAACCAGCUCAAUAAUGAGAUCACUCUUUUUCUUAAAUAAAAAUAUUUGUGCCAAACAAUUGUUGCAAAAUUUCAAAUAUAAAUUACAAACAACAAAAUUUUCUAAAAUCAUAACAAUAAUUUAUGUUGUGAAUACAUGUAACGAAACCACAUUGAAAUUUUAUUGUUAGUAAAAUUGUUUUUCACGCAAAUGCAGUGACGGAUUCGGUUUCAUGUCUCACCCUCAAUAACUUAAUUUUCAUAUCUAACAAAUCAUCCAUAUUAUUAACAAUAUCAUCACCAACCAUAAUCUACCUAAACAUAAACUAAACAUAACACAUACAUAUAACUAUAUACAUACCGAAUCAGGAAAACAAUGAAAGCUACACGUAUCCGGCUCUACAAUUCCUUCUUGAUACCCUUGUGCUUCUAAAAUAAUCAACCAAUUAUAAAAAUUAGCUUAGGUGCAACUUUACCCCUUUUUUUGGGAAACUUAACUAUAAAUAAAGUAUACAAAUCUCUAAAUUAACUUCGUCCCCAUGAAAUUCGGCAUAAAUAGAAAUAGAAUUAUAGAAACCUUACUACCUUUUAUGAGAAAUCCAACUUAUAUAUUUGAGACCUCUCUCUCUAAGCACGCGCUUCCUCUCUCUGCACACUUUCCACCUUUAAAUUCUCCUUCACUAAGUUUACCUAAAAGAAUUUAGCGUUCUCCCAGUUUCUUUCGCAUUUUUCUCCGUGAAAAUUGGUGAAAAAGAGAAAGUGAUUUGAUUAUUUUAAUGUGCGACAGAUCUGGUUUCCAUCUCUGUAAUAUAAGUGUAUCAAAACGAGGUGAACAACUCUUUGUCGAGUCAGUCAAAUAUAAAAGACAAAUUACGAAACCAAGCAGAGCCAAAAAAAAAAAAAAAAUUUCCAAUUAAAUAAUCAUCAAGUCUUUUUCAAUUAAAAUCGGAGGUGCAGAACAACUGUCAGGAGAUAAUCAUUGUUUAUGGAGCCAUAUUAUAUUUUCGAUUAAAAUAGUUGCGCGUGAACAAUUGGCAGAAUUCGUAUAAAUUGUUUUAAGGUCUAUUAUAAUUAACAUUUAACAAGUGGAAUGGCCAAUGGAUGAAGAACCACUAUAAUUAGGGGGGUUUUGUGUCCCUUAUUCAAACGUUGGGGGUCUCUGUGUCUUUUUCCCAUGAAUUUAAAAUGCUAAAGAAACUGGGAAAAUUUACAAAAAUAACCAUAAAAUUUUUGUUAUUUUUACAAUUAACCCUCUCAACUUUUUUCUAUCAACAUUAGCCAAACACGUGCUUUUCUCCCCAAAUUACCCUUCUUUACAAACCAAAAGCAACAUUCUUUCUCCCCUUUCGUCAAACAAAGGCAGCUUCCACUCUUGAAUCAUCAACCAACGACAACGGCAAAAGGCAACGAUAAAAAGUGAAAUCCGAUCAUAAUUUAUUCGGAUCCAACACUAAUCGGCAUCACAUAGUGGUAUGAGUUAUUUUCUUGCUCGUGAGUUUGCCUGUCGCACCAAAAGCCAGAUUCAUUAUAAUUAACUAUUAAUUUGAUAGGGCUGAAAUAAUUUAUUUUUUUAUAAUUUCAGGCUUAAUGGAUUCAGUUGUACUUGAAUUGUGUUACGAUGGUUGUUGGGAGACAUUAGAGGAUGGGCGUAUGGAGUAUGUCAAUGGUAAAAAUAGAGCUUUUUUGGUUGGAAAAAAUUGUCUUUUUGAUCAGUUAUUGGCAAGAGUAUACGAUGUGUUACAAAUUAAUCCUAAUGAAUAUAGUAUCACAAUGAAGACAACUUUGAGGUCUAGUAACACAUUAUAUCAUGUAUGUGCACUGCCCAUGGAUAUAUUUGAUGAUGAAAUGGUGAGGGUUGUGUUACAUAUGGCAUCCGACGUAGCUAAUUUUGGAUGCAUUCCUAUAUUUGUUACCACAUCACCUCGAGUUCCGAGUGGAGGUAUUGAGCCACAUGUCGAUACAGAAACUUCGUUUAGAGCAAAUAUGUCUAGCCUCGAUAAUGAAGAAGAGGUGUUGCCAAGGACAAUAUCACUGCAUCAAUAUUACUCUCCAAUCCACGACAAUUAUGACAACAUUGAUGAUGACGGCGUUACGUUACAGGAUGUUAGAGCAACGGUAUUUCCAAUAACGACGUCGUUGGAGCAACGGUAUUCUCCGUAUCACAAUAAUGAUUUUCGGGACAAUGAUGAUUUUCAUGAUGAGACAGAGGGGGAUAAUGUUUGUGCAGAACCUUCUAAUAAUAUGAGGGGCACUCAUUUCAAUAAUGAUGGUGAUGAUGGAGGAGCCGGUCCUUCGAAUGUUCCGUCGUUUCAGCAUGAGGAUGAGUGUGAAGACAAUACUCCUGCGAAUAAUAGAGGCAAUAGACCUAUUCUAGCAAUGGUUCGAUCGAGAAGGAGAAUUGACCCUCUCACAAGUCUUGCUCCAACUUUGCCUUCGAACAUGGUUGCUCCAAGUUUUGUUAGCAGUUGUGACUCAGAUGAUAUCAGUGUCGGUAAGCUAUUUGCUGAGAAGAAUGAGUUUAUAUUACAACUACGCAAGGUUGCCUUUCAGGAUAAGUUUGAUUUCAAGAUUGCACGGUCUACUACGACACGUUUCGAGGCUCACUGUAGUUCAGAAUCAUGUAAAUGGCGUAUUCGAGCAACUAGAUGUUCGAACGAGGAAAAUGUUCCUUGGGUGGUGCGGAGAAUUGAUAAUGUACACACUUGUCAUAAUGAGGUGUUGGUUGCUGGAUGUCAUCAAGUCAGGAGCCGGGUUGUCGGUCAUAUUAUCGCAGAUAAAUAUAUUCAAGUCAAGAGAAUUUAUACUCCGAAUGACAUAAGAGCAUAUAUGCAACAAGAAUACGGUGUUCAGUUAACAUACCAGCAGGCAUAUCGGGCGAGAGAAGUUGGUCUUGAAAUAGUUCGAGGCAACCCUGCAGAGUCAUACAACUUGCUCCUUAAAUAUUCUCGCGUACUAACUGCAGCGAAUGAGGGUACAGUCACUCACAUCGAGCUGGUGCGACAGCCACGCCUGUCGCACCAAAAAAUUGGUGCGACAGGCGCGCGCUGUCGCACUUGAUCUGGUGCGACAGCGCCUCUCGCACCAGAUUUGGUGCGAGAGGCUUGCUGUCGCACCAGAUUUGGUGCGACAGUGGGGCACGCAUGGGCGCGCGCGCGCGCCCUGCCCCCCUCCCUCUCCACCCCCAAAAUUAAGCCACAACACUUUAAAAUCGAAAAACAAUACUCCCAAACACCACCACUACCACCAUUAUUCUCAAGCUAUAAUUAUUAUUAUUCUAAAAUCUCAUUUUAAAUUAAUGAAAAUAAGAAAAAUGACUAACCUAGGUUUUGUUGAAGGUUGUAGAUCGUAGAUCGGAUGCCGGUGAGAGAUGGAGCCACCGCCGACGAGGGUUGAUGUUGCCGCCGAUGAUGGGAGUUGGAUCGGUUUGGGAGAGAUGAGUGAAAGGGAGUGUUGGGGAAGAGAUGAGGGAGGGGUAUUUUGGUCUCAAAAGUUGUUUAAUGGCUAAUGUUGAUAGAAAUAUUUUUGGGGGGUUAAGAUGAAAAAAAUCAAAACUUUUAUGGUUAUAUUUGUAAAUUUCCCAAGAAACUGACAUCAACGCUAAACGUGAAUCUGCAGCCCUUGCCUCAGUGUCUUUCAGGCGUUACUCGGGGUAGUUGAUAUACUGACGACCCCUUUAUCAAUUAAUAAUCGAAAUAGAUUAAAAUAUGAAUGGAUUAGAAUAGAAUGAGUUGGAAUUAAAAUACGAAAUGACAAUCAGAUUAAUUUAUUUUUUUUAAUUGAGGAAUUAGAAUUGGAAUAAAUUAUAUAGUUAUUGAUGUGUUUAUUUUAUUUUAAAAUUACAAGAGUUGUUGUAAAUUACUAAUAUGCCCUUAAUUUUUUAUUAUAAUUAUAAUUAUUUAUUACUACAUUUGUCAUAUUAUUAAUAUUAUAAUAAUAAUGAUUGUAACAAUUAAUAUUGAAAAAAAUUUAUUGUUAAUAAUAGUAAAUAAAAUAAGAAUAAAUAGGCAAUUAUUCACUGACCACGUGAUCUUUCGGACUCUUUCAAAAAUACACAAAUACUUUUUUCUUUGCAGAAAUCCUCUUGAAGUUUACAAAGUGUUUCAAUUGUUCACUGUCAUCUUAACUCUAUUAGAAUCUUGUUGAUGUCGUCAGGAUAAAAUUGUCAUUUUACCUAAACAUCCAAAAGGAAGUAUAAGAUGAAGCUCAACUUGGAGAAGUGUGCUUUCGGGGUUGGAUUCGGCAAAUUCCUUGGGUUCAUGGUGAGUGAUAACUCUAUGAAAUGAGAGUUAUCAUGAAAUUUUUAAGUUUAAAUCAAGACUACUCAGAGAGUAAUUGAUAUGUUUUAGUGCACUUUAAUGAUAGUUUGCAUUACAUUCAUUUUAAUUUAAGUUUAAUAAAGUUUAUGUGAUUUCUGAAUAAUUGUAUGCUUAGAACAUAUGUUUAAUUGUAGGUCAAUGGAAACUUGAAUUUCAUGGAAAAGAUGCUUUUGCAAUGGACUUAUAAAGAGGACAAACGAGCAUGGCUAUAGUAGAAUUGGAGCAAGUUUGGAACAGUGGAGUUGCUGUAGCCAUUACUGUAGCAACCAUUGAUGUAGCAAUCCUCGAGCAUUGCGAUCUGCAGUUUCCUAAUCUGAAGAAAAAGUGGCAUAAGAGAGAGAGCCAUCAAUUAAGAUCAAAAACAGAAAAGAACCAAGGAAGUAACAGAAUUCCUGAGCAGAAUUCAAGGCUGAGCCAGUUGAAGAAAUUUGCAGAGUCAAUUGGAAUUCACUCUUUCUCAUUCUUUUCUUAUUUACUUGUUAUUUAUUGAUUAUGAAGAUGUACUCGAUGGCUAGAAUUUGGUUGUUUAAUCUCCUUUCACAAAUUAUGAACUAAAUUCAUUUGUGGUUGAGUAUUAAACUAUCUUGAUGGUUAAUUGACUAAAUAUAGGUGUUGCUAUAUGUUUGCUACAACAUUUUGCUUUAAUAACAUUUAUUUACAUUCAUUAUUUCGGUUGACCACCCAUUUAAUGAUACAAGUUAAGAAAGAGCUAUAAAAGGGUCUAUCUUAUUGAAACAUAUUAGAGUAAUACUUGGUCUUAAAUUGGGUUUCCUAGAUUGAGUUUAACUUGAGACCAAAAAGGAUUGUACUUAAUUUAAGAUUAGUAAUGAACUAGAUAUAGGGAUUUGCCUUGUAGGGUAAAAAGAACAUAAAUGUGUAAUACUAUAUCUUACGUUGACAUAGUAACUGGUCACUGUUAGGUUGUAUAAAGAUAUAAAACAUUCGAACAUGCUACCGUUGAGGAUAAAGAUGGUUUCUGCCCAGUGCUGUAGCAGAUGCUGCAGCAACUGAGCUUGACAUGAAUAACACAGUCAACACCAUCAAGAGAGUUUAAUCACUCAACUACUCUAUUCUAAUUAAAUUUAAUUUCAUGUUUAAUGUACAAAUUUUAUUUAUUACAUUUUUAAUUAUUGUGAUUUUAUUUUACCUAGUCAUUUAGUUGUAUUAGUUGCAUUGAUUUAAUUGAUAACAUAGGUUGCUCUGUGAAAUUACUGUAGCAAGUCUAAUAGCAUCAAUCCCUAUGGAGACGAUCUUGGAUACUUAUCCUUAUAUUACUUAUUGUGUACACUUGUGCAUUGACACUAAUAGCAAUGGAGUUAAAAUUAGCAACAAAUUUUUUGUGCUAUUGCUGGGGAUUGAUUGUUUACUUUUCAGUUGUGAAAUCAAUUUUGACGGUGCUAAUCUUUGAUUUUAUUUUGAAUUGUUUACUUUGUUAACAGAUCACUCUUGCAUGUGAAAAUACAAACUUGUUGAAUUUCAAUUUGAUCCAGAGAUUGAAAGAACUACAAGGAGAUUGAGAAGAGAGCAAAGAAAUUCAAAAGCUGCUGUAGCAAUAGAUGACUUGCAAAACUUAGGAAACUUAGACCCUCACGGACCAAUAUAACCUGUUAAUGCUCAAGAAAGUCAGAAUGGGAAAAUUAAUCAGAGACCAUCAGGGAAUAACAAUAUUAGCUACAUGGAAAAUGAUAGAGACAGGGCCAUUAGAGAUUAUGCUUUGUUAGCCCCUUAAGUUAUACAUCCUGACAUUGUCAGACCUGAGGUAAAAGGUGCCAAUUUUGAACUCAAACCAGUGAUAUUUCAAUUAUUACAAACAGUGAGGUAAUUUAAUGGAUUACCAUCAAGAGGUGAGUGAUGCUUUUAAAAUUAUUGGAGCAUCACAAGAUGCAUUGAGACUCAGAUUCUUUCCUUACUCCCUAAGAGACCGAGCAAGAGUAUGGUUGAACUCUUUACCACCAGACUCAUUACAACAUGGAAUGACUUAGCUGAUAAGUUUAUGAUGAAGUACUUCACACCAACCAAAAAUACAAAAUUAUGGAAUGAGAUUACUUCUUUUCGUCAACUAGAAGAUGAAAACUUAUAUGAGGCUUGGGAAAGAUUCAAUGAGUUAUUCAGGAGAUGUCUUCAUCAUGGCAUUCCUUACUGCAUACAAUUUGAAACCUUCUAUAAUGGGUUGAACCCAAGCACUAGAUUGAUGGUCGAUACUUCAACAAAUGGGGCUUUGUUAUCUAAAUCUUACAAUGAAGCCUAUGAAAUUUUAGAGAGAAUUGCUAAUAACAAUUAUCAGUGGCCAUCACCUAGACAAAUUGUAUCAAGAGGAGCAGCAGGUAUACAUAAUGUGGAUGCAUUUACAGUAUUAUCAGCCCAAGUAACAUCAUUGACCAAUAUGGUGAAAGCUAUGACUACUGCUCUAUCGAAUGACAAUCAAGUUGCCGAUGUUUCUUGUCUGUAUUGUAGAGAGGGGCAUUUAUUUGAUAAUUGCCUAAGGAAGUCAACGUCAGUCAAUUAUGUGGGCAACUCCAAUAGAUAGAACCAGAACAAUCCAUAUUCCAGUACCUACAAUCCUAGAUAGAGGCAGCACCCAGUGGACAGAACAGACCUACUCAGCCAGUUGAUUUUCAUCAGCAAAAUCAAGGGUAAAAAAACACCAGCAAUGAUCAAUUCAGUUCUUUGGAGACCCUAAUUAAGGAGUACAUUGUGAAUAAUGAAGUAAUUGUCCAAAGUCAAGCUGUACCAUUGAGAAAUUUAGAAAAUUAAAUUGGACAGCUUGCCACAUUAUUAAGUAACAGACCUUAGGGGAGUUUACCCAGCAACACAGAAGAUCCAAGGAGAGAAGGUAAGGAAUAUUGCAAGGUGAUCAAAUAUUGCACAAACUAGAAGCCUCAGGUCGGCUGGUGAAAUGGGCAAUAGAGUUGAGUAAAUUCUAUAUAAGCUACAAACCCCGAGCAACAAUCAAAGCCCAUGCAAUGGUGAACUUCGUGGAAGAAUUUACAGAAUCACAUGUGGAACCUAGCCACAUUCAUAUUGCUAUAGGCAACAACAAAGGUCAAAUCUGGCAGAUGAUAGUGGAUGGAUCUUCAGGUGAGCAAAGUACUAGAGCGGGGUGGUCCUGGAGAGUCCAGAUGGAGAGGAAAUCUCCUACGCUGUUAGACUGGAGUUCAAGGCCACAAACAAUCAGGCUGAAUAUGAGGCUCUAAUUGCAGGGCUAGAGUUAGCUAAGGCGGUGCAGGCAAAUAAGGUGAAAAUUCGGACAGAUUCACAGCUAGUCGCCAACCAUAUUAGUGAAAUGUUCUAACCUAAAGACGAAAAGAUGGGGCAAUACCUGAGGAGGGUCAGACAAAUGAUCAAAAAGUUCGAGUCGAUGGAUAUUGUGCAAAUUCCAAGGAGUGAAAACUAUCGAGCUAAUAUCCUAGUUGGAAUGGCUGCUACAGCGGACUAAAAAAUGCCAAAAUCAGUCCCUAUGGAAGUCAAGUCCUCCCCCCAGCAUUGUGUAAAGUCUGGAGAUGAUGCAGAUAGAGCAAAAAGGCUCAUGGAUAGACCCAAUAAUCUCAUAUAUACUGGAUAGAGUGUUACCAGCAGAUAAAACGCAAGCAUGAAAAAUCAAGGGCCAGCGUCUAGGUGUACACUAAUUGAUGGGGUGUUAUACCGACGAGGGUACACCUUGUCGCUCUGCGAUGUCUGGACAAAGACGACGCGAACUACGUUCUAAUGGAAGUACAUGAAGGGGUUUGUGAAAAUAAAUCUAGAGUUAGAUCUCUUGCCUACAAAGCCUUAAGACAAGGUACUUAUGGCCGACGAUGUACUAAGAUGCUCAAGAGAAAACCAGGAGUUACAGAAGUUGCCAGAACUUUGCUAGUUUCCCUACACAGCAAUAAAAAAUACUUACUACUAUGACUUCACCAUGGUCGUUUACUCAAUAGGGAAUCAACCUAAUCGAGUCUUUGCCAAAAUGAUGAAGAGCAGUUACACAUGCUGUCGUGGCAAUAGAUUAUUUCACAAAAUAGGUCAAGGUAAAAGCACUCAGAAGAAUCACAGAGAAUGAUAUAACUGAUUUCAUGUGGAGAAACCUUGUCAGCCGGUAUGGAAUCCCAUACGCCUUGAUAGCGGACAACAACUAACAAUUUGACAAUCACAACUUUAGGGAGUUUUGUCAGAACUUUGACAUAGAGCUAAGUUCUGCUCCCCUGCCCACCCUUAGUCCAAUGGGCAGGUGAAAGUGGCCAACAAGGUUAACAAAAAAACUCCUGAAGACCAAACUAUGAGAGAAGAAGUGUGCAUGGGUUGAUGAGCUUCUAGGAGUGUUGUAGGUAUAUAGGACUUCUCAUAAAACCGCCACCGAUGAGACACCCUUUGCUGUAGCCUUUGGGCAUAAAGCAGUCUUGCAUGCAGAGAUAGGGGUAACCACGCACCAAACUGAGCACUUUGAUGAGAGUGAGAAAGGUGAAUCAGAGUACCAAAGAUUCGACCCAUGGUGUGUAUCCGGAUCAGGAGCCUACAAGCUUGCUCUCGCGAAUGGACAUGAGCUGAAACAACCAUGGAACGUAACACAUCUAAAAAAAUACUUCCAAUAAGGCCCAUUGGUAGCGAGUUAGAGUUAUUUCUGUUCAUUUCUGUUGUUGUUUAAACUUUAUGAUCAGUCAAUUUCAUGUAUGUCGUAUGCCAUGAUUAAUAAAGUUUGGAGGAAGUUCAUUCAAUUAAUUUAAAGAAAAAAAAGUUCGUAAGGUAAAUAAAUGCCUCAAAGUCUCAAAGCCUGCUCGAUGGUGAGACCAGAAGCCAGAUUUUCCAGACUCUGCUCUACCAAACGAUGACGAGCAGACAAUCAAAUAUUUCAAAAAGUUUCUAAGGCAGACAAAAGCUUCAAAGUCUCAAAUUCUACUCGAUGGCGAGACUAGAGGCCAAGUUUGCCAAACUCUGCUCGACCGAAUGAUGGCGAGCAGACGAUCAAAUAUUCCAAAAAAUUUCCUAAGGGAAAUAAAGGCUUCAAAGUCUCAAAUCCUGCUCGAUAGCAAGAUUAGAAACCAAGUCUGCGAGACUUUGCUCGAGCAGGCUACAAGAAAAACCAAGUUAUUCGUUAAUAAUCUAGUGACAAUGGCAACUAGCCUCAAAACUUGGCAUACAACGUUUACAAAAGAAAAUUAUGGUACAUUCACGAGGAUGAAGGAUCUAUAAGUAGAGCAGCUUUUGUUGGAUUUUCAAGCAGUAGAGAAUGAGGGGUCUGGCCAAUUCUGCCCGAGGGAGUGCUUGCUUCGAUCGGGGUUUUGCCUUUCAAGACCGGCCAUGAUGCAUCGACAGAAGUGCCUGAGCCCUUCGUUAAAUUGUCAUCAACUUCCUUUUCCAAGUUCUCAAUCUGAGUCUGGUGUGAAGCACAAAGUGAUUCCAAUUAAGACUCGUAGGAAGCUUUUUAUGUCUCCAAAUUCUUAUUGACCUUGCUCAGCUACUCCUCAAGGGUGAUCACAUUGGCCUGUGCAAGAGAUGUCUGCUCCACUAAUUUCAAGUUCUCGAGGGUGAGGUCUCUUGCUUUCUUCUCAAUAGCAUCAGCUUCGUUUUUAGUUGAUUGAAUAUUAUACUUCAUCUUGUGGUCAUAACGGCCAACUUUCACCUUGUAGUAGGUAGUCAUGCAACAUAGGUGGAAAACACUGAAUUGCAUAGCCCUAACUAGCUCACGAGGGUAAUGCCGUCAAAGUCCUCUAAAUCGUUUUUGUUCACGAGCUUAGAAAACUCACUUAUGUAAGGGCCAUAUGCUCUGGUCGAUCCUCAGGCAAUUGCGGUUCGGAUCUUGCUGGAGGAGGAGUGGUAACAAGACCAGUGCCGCUCGCAGCUCCACCAACUUCACCUGCCUUAGGACGGGGAGGAGGAUGUGGCAGCAUCUUCAGAGGGGAAGCUUUCCCUACAGUAUUGACCCACUUCUCAAGGGAGCAUAGUUGCUGCAACCCCCCUUUACACCACGAAAGCGAGGGCGUUUUCUGUUCAAAGCCCUAAUCACAGCAUCCUCUAUAGCAAUUCACCUUCGAUGCGGUAUUAGACACUCCAGGAACUUGCAACAUAGGCAGAGACUCUGUUAGAAAUUACUCAAUCACUUGAUCAGCUGGUGGUGUAAAACAACUUAAAUAAGCAGGCAACCUGGAACUAAGAAACGGAUGGGGACAUGGACAUUCUCAUCAUCAGUCGGCCACUUGACCCUAAGGACCCCCAGCAAAAAAGAAACUGCUUUUCUAAUUCUCACCACCUGUUAGGAGGCCAGUUAUAGGUUUCCUAGUCUUGGUACUUGACAUAAAAUAGUACCAACUAGCAUCUUUAAGGCUACUCUUUAAUUGGUAUAAGUGUUUAACCUCAUCAAUUAUAGGCUCACUCUGACCACAUCUGUCCCAAAGUACGAGUACACCAGAAAGUACCCUCUAUCCAUUAGGGUUAAGCUGACCAUGAGCUAAGUGUAAUCUACCAAGCAUCUGGACGAAGUAAAGCAGCAAAGGAAGCCUCAUCCCUUGUUUAAAACUCUCUAAAAAUAUAGCAACAUACCCCCUGGAAGGUCGAUUAGGGGUAUCCUUUUUCUUAAAAACCCUAAGGUUUAUGUCAUCAGAAAUCUUGUAAGUAUUUUGGAGGGGUUUAAAGUCAUCUACUGUGGUCGUACAAGUCAUGAGGUCAAUAGGGUAGUUUUCAGCCGGAGUCCUACCACCUAAUUUCCUCCUCUUUGUUGGUCUUACUACCUUUAGUGAGGAUGCUUUACCAAACUCUUCAUCUGGGUACCCGCUUAAGGUCUCCUCUGAGCUAGAAGAUUCGUCAUUGUUACUUUUGCUAGAUGAGGUAGAAACCUCAGGAGACAUCCUCCUAGCACUACUUCUAACACUAGAAUGGCCUACAAGCUCUAAGGGGAUCCUAGGGUCGAAAAUGGGCUCUGUGAGCAAACCAGGUAGGAAAUCCAGUUCGUCAUCAUCAAUCUUAAUUUCUUUUUCCUUGCCUUUUGACAUUUUCUAAGCGAUAUCCAAGAAGAUACAACUAAAUCCCUCUUAACCCUAGAAAAAAAUGAAAAAUAUCUAAGACAAGAGAGAAGAAGACCGUACCUAAAGCAGCGGCACCUCAAAAUCAAAAUGGAGGAAGUGACUUGAUAUUCGAUGGAGGAAAUAGUUGAGUCACCAAAGGGCGAAAGAAAAGCCGGAAAAAAACUUUCUUGUGAAGAUUAGGGUUCCCCAAGAGACACGGAGACCCCUAAUUUAUUACCAUUUAACGACACGCACUGCGAGGGUUCUUAACAGGCAGUUAAAAAUUUAAAUGAACGAGUGGAUUCCUGCCACAUCACCUGCUUUUAAUUAUGACGUGACUCUUUGGAUAAACAGCUAAUAGUAGCUUAAAGGAUCAAGUGGAUAAGGUGACCAGUCCUCAUUUCAAUGCCAAGAAGCCAAAGUGUGUUUUGAGCAAGAUAAGACUACCAAGUUUCUAGUGUUGAUCCAUUGCAUUAUCAGCACCAGAAACUGAGGGACUAGUAUUUGAGGCGUAUAACGACGCGACCAGCUACACUCGAGCGAGGAUUUCCUUUUUGUGGGCGAUGGGCUAUAUAGUGUCCGUGAGCAGAAGUGCUCUAUUCGACACCGAGGAGUUUUCUGCUAAACACCGAGGAUAUCUCCUGAUGGGGCCAAGGUCGGAAGACCCAGUCUAUGGCAGUUGUUAGAACAUGUGUCGCUCUCCGAGAAUCCAGGCACGAGGCCUAUUCAGCCACGAUCACAACGCCCGAGCAUCCAUGACCGGGAACUAAGGUAGAGUGGCAAACGUGGGUCAUGGUGACUAAAUUCUCAGGAGGGCUAUAAAAGGGGCUUGCAAAGAAGGUAAAGGGUUUAGACAUUUUUAAACUAAAAAUUAACCUAAGAGAAUUGGGGGGUGCAUCUUUAUUGGCGAGAAUUGGGAAAAUUUUUGAGAUUUUUCCAGUGUUUGAGAAAUUAUUACAGAGCCACGAGAUUGGUGGCAGGGUUUUUUCACAAUAAGCCCAGAUUGCUGACUUGAACGUCGGAGGGUUUACGUCGGGAAAACCCUCAGCGUUCUUUGACCAAUUUCUGUGUGUACAGGAAUUCACAGAGGAGGAACAGUGAGCCUCAUAGUUCUGCUUAUCAAACAGGAGCAGAGUAAAGUUAUCCCCUACCACUACAAAUUUAAGUGUUGAAGAGAGAUCUUGGUCUCGAACGAGCAGAUGCAAAAUCCCGUAUCAAUAAUAACAACAACAACAACAACAACAUCAUCAAUAAUAAUAAUAAUAAUAAUAAUAAUAAUAAUAAUAUAUUAACUUUGUAGGAUGGAGCUCUCGCAAAUCUUCAAGACACAAAAUGUGUUUGACCCCAUUGUUGUUAUUAUAAUUUCAAAAUCAUUUGUAUAUAUAAUAUUAGGGAAUAUGACAUAGAAAAAUUGAUGGUACAUAUGUUGCAAUAUUCUUGUUCAUGUGGCGGCACACUGAAGUAAAGCAUAAGCAGAGCAACAACAAAUGUAAUGAGAGAGCUCUCAUUAUGUAGAUUUUCAAUAGAAGUAAUGCAUAUUUCACAAAGGCAAUGGCCUUAUUUUGAAUGCUGCACCUGAGGGUUGACUUGAAUCUUCUAUAGAACUCAGGCAUUCUGUAAUCAUAGAGUAUAGCAUUUCAACAAAAAUAUUAUACAGGUCGUUCCUUUAUAUAUUUUCUGGGUACACAUACAGAAAUAUUAUUUUGGGUACAUUUCUUGCAGUAAAACCUGCCCAGUCUAGCGUUCUCGUAAGUUGGGUUUCUCAUUUGCAUGUUUUUUUCCAUUGGUUAAUUAUCACAAACCUCCACUAACAUUUAGCAUAUUCUUAGUUUAAUAGAUUAUAUUGGCGUAUUCUCAAAUAUAAAUUAAGCUGGUGAGGAUAAAAUCGUAAAAGCACCAUUAAUGAUAAAAAGAAACCAAGUAAACUUGAAAUUUUCAAGUUGUGUUUUGAAAUUGGUCUCGACUUUGUAAAUGUCCAUUGGGUAAAGAAGCAAAGAACAGAAGCAAGCUGUUCCCAGCACACAUAAGCAAGCUUUACGCAGCACAAAUUAACACCCACAAAAAAUGAAAAGAAAAAAUGGUCAUCUCUUUCCUCCAUUCGAAUUGAAGCCAUGAAACACAACAUCCCUUUCAUCUUCUCUCUAAUGCUUUGAUUAGAAAACUUGCUUACAAACGGGAGACCAUGACACUGAAUCCUGAGACGGCAAUACCAGAGACGACUGAUUUACGCCAACGGCGUGGAAGAAUACCAACCAGUGACUUUCGCUGUCGACCCACAAACAAUCCCAGUGUUUUCUAGCUGCGAAUGAGGUAUGAAUCAGAUUAUUUCCGUGCAUUUCAAUUUUGUCAGCUGACAUUAGGAGAUUUGGUUAAAAAAAAAAGAAUAAUGGGUCUCGAAAAUUUUUUGAGAGUGUUUUUGUUGCUUACAUUAUUUUCCAUCGAUUAAUGUUAGUUGUAGGUGAAUGAUUGUUGCAAAUGCAUGUUCGCUUGUGAUUGAUUGAAAAUGGCUUGUGAUUUGUUAUGCUGCCGUGUGACUGAUUAAAAAUGGCUCUGAAAAUUUUUCAUUUGUUUAAGGUACUGCUGUUGAUUAUUGAACCAGGAUUCAUGCUAGUUUUUGUUAAAUUGAAGAUGAGAUUACUUUUUAAGAGAUCUGCAAAACCUUCUCUACUAUAGAUUUGGCUUCUGGCAUACCUGGUUGGCUGGAGAUAAUUGUUUAUAUAGUCAUUGCUGCCCAUAUUAAUCAGGAAUAUUGAUUAGCAAUGUACUGGAUUAGUGAUUGGUAUAAUUUUGAAAAAUCAGUCGUAGAUGCAACCUGGUUAUGGUCUCAAAUAGUGUGAUCUGUCAAUUCCGUUUGCUCUGGCCUAACAACCUUGAAUCUGAGCUAUGCCACUAUACAAUGUCCUGACCCAAUCAAGCUUGUUAGCCAACAUCCAAAAUUGCAAUGUCUUUAGAUAAGUCCCGUCUUAUUUGUUUGAGUUAUAAUGAAAAUUGCAGUGUCUUUGGAUAAUCACGCUGAUGUUCACGUUAUUGACGAGAGGAACCUCCAGAUUCAAGGCCGGAGCUCCUUGUUGAGAAACUUUGCAUAUAUAGGAUUGUUGCCGAGUGGAGGAUCGAUAUGACUGGUCUUGUUUAGAAUAGGGAUGGAGAUUUUGCAUUAAGGCUUUCUUAACAGAUCAUUCUGCAAAUCAAGGUCCAUGUACAUCUCUUUAAACUCUUUGAUAUGUAUAAAGCAGGUGCAUGCUCUAUAUGUUACUUAUUGUAUCACAAUUAUUUUUCUAUUGCUUAAUAUAAUUGCAGUCCUUGAUGAAGUUGAAGACAACUUAUGGAGGGUAUACAAAGGCUCAAGAGCUUGAUCGCCAUUCAUUUUACACUUGGCUGAGCUACAGCAUACCAACUAGUGAUUAAUAAAGAGAAGGUAUGAAGGUCCUGUUGCUGGUGGUAUUAUCAAUCAGAAUUGUUAUUUUACUUAGUCAUAGUUACCAUGUAUAAGAUUCGUAGACUUUUUGCAUGUUUAUGCAUUCGCAUCAUCUUUUUGUUAAGCUAGAAAUGGUUGAUUUGUGUACUCAUUUGUAUCACUUGUAGCCCUUCAGGAAUAAAAUUUAAAAUUCUGUUGCAUCUCAUGUACUAAAUACUAAUUUUGUUGGCUUUAUGUAUGGGAAAUGGUUCAUUAUCUUAUUUCUUUGAUGCGUAUAGUGUGACAAUGUCUAAAGGUGAAAAGUAUUUAUAUCACUUGUGUAACACUGUCUAAAGUCAAAAAGUGUUUCUAUCACUUGUGUGAAAAACAACCUACUUUUUUUUCACUCUUCUUAUAUUGAAUAAAAGACAGACGCCAAGAUUGAACGAAAUUUGAUGCAGAAAGCAUAGCAAUUAGGCCAGUGCAAAACAACUUCCUUCUGAUUCUCUGAUAUUUGACUUAAAUCUUUUGUCUGUUUCAUUCAUCAAAGUCAUUUUGGAAAGUAGCAGGGGUGAUGUGAUAUUUUCAUUGUAUUCACAUCCCUUGGCACCAAAAACAAACAUGCUGGUACUAACCAACAAUUUUUUAUUUUCAGUAUACAAAUUUUUUUUUUCUAAAUUAGGGGUAUUAAGAAAAGGUAUACUAGCACCAGAGGAGGUAUUUGAGAAUACACAAAUACAAUCUAUCAAAUUGAGAAUACGCCAAAUCUCAGGAGUGGUUUUUGAUAAAUCCUUUUUUUCUUUUUCCUCCAUUCACUAUAGGUUCAAUUUAGGGUGGUUGUUAAGUUAUAUCAUUGUGUAAUAUAGAUCAAUUCAACAGUUGUUAUCAGUAACACAAAAGUAUAACGAACAAAAACUAAUUGUGUGUUACUGAUAGUAACUAUUAAAUUGAUGUAUGUUACAUAAUUAUGUAACUUAACAAGUUCUUCAAUUUAGACACGGUUGACCAAACUGAAGGUUUAGGUUGGUAAACGCACUAGUUUUAAUGUCAACAACCCAAGGGGCUUCAUGGUCCUCUGGGUCGAAAUCGCGUAAUUAUUAAUUCUCCUCCACUGAAAGUCUUUAUCAUCUUGGGACAAAUAAUUACAAAUUGACAUUAUAGCCGUGGAAAUUUGGAGGUGUAAUAACCGGAAAAAUAAAAAUCUCAAGAGACUUUUUAAAUAAAAAAGAUAACACCUUCAAUUUGCUAAAAGUAAUGGUAUCAUUUCUUGUAUGGAUAAUGGAUGAUUAGAUUUUGUUUUUGGUUAUCUGACGAAGGAUAUUCAGUUGUUCUUUAUGUGUUCAUAGGCAAGAGCAUGAGCAUAUGCAUGAUUUGAUAUAUGGUUCUUGCAUUUUCUAAUUAAGUGCUCUUUUUCCUUGCCUUCUUAGUUUUGAAAGAAAGAUGUGAAGCAAAGCAAACCCAGUGAAAUGUACAGAGAAACAGAACCAUCAGAGGAAAAACUAAAUAACAGAACUACAAUUGAACCAAACAAAAUCAAAUAAACGGACGCAACAGAUGCCCUGAACCUAGUAAUUACUCAAGAGUUGAGGAGUUGGAAUGAUUUGGUAUUCAUAUCUUCACAAAUCAUAUGCUUUAAUGCAGAAUCGACAGCUUUAUAUUAUUUUAUUCAAAAAACGAUAAAGCAGGAAAACCACAAUAAUCCACCAACUUUUGAUACUUGUAGGAAUUUUUUUUAGUCAAAUUAAGUUUCAUGAUGAAACAAGUGGCUCGUCCACACACUUGCACUUGCUUGAAUAUUUGUGCCGACAUUUUCAUAUGUGAUGGUACUUCUUAGCCAGUAGAUAUGUUGAAGUACUACAAAACAGAGUAUUUGAUGAAGUUUUGCUACAUUCGUAUCCCCUUUUUUUGUUGCAUAACUAAAUUCUUUAUAAACACAAAUUAGAAAGAUACAAAUAAUACAGUAGCUUGAAUUUAUAUGCUUUUAUGGUUAUUUGAUAAUCUAGUGCUGAUCAUAUGUGAUGAUAAACUUAGCUAGUAGUUUUAUAUUUGUUUUCGCAGUUUCCUUAGCGUUCACAUUUUGAUGAGUAAAUUAAGGAUUUCCAGAUGAAGUACAUAAUUAGAUGAAUGCUAAGGAACUGAAGUUUGAUUAAUUGAAAACAAAAAUAAUAAUGAACGUAAUUACGAAAAUGAACAAUGCAGAAGUAGUCCCUAUAGUAUUUCUAAAUUUUCUCUUGGGAUUUCUUAGUAUUCCUCAAUAUUUUAAAAAAAUGACAUGACGAUCUUUGAGUUGACAAAUCUUGGCCUGCUGCUUAGUACCCUUCCAACAUAUAAAGUACUAGAUGUUUUACUGAGAAAAUGACAAGAUCAUUUAUCAAAUUUCUUGCGCAUAUAUACGUAUGUAUAAGAGAAAUGAGAAUCAGUGAUUAUAAGACCUUGCAAUGAGACAAUAAUACAUCAUCAAAUCUAAAAAUACACAAGAAAUUCGGGACAUAUAUAUAACAAAAGACCUCUCAUUGAGUCAUACAUAUUGAGAAUGAAAUGUCAAAAUGCAGACAAAGAGCUUAUACAGAAAAUGAAUAAACUGUCUUUGAACUUCUGAUGGUCAAACAAAGGAAACAGGCAGGAUAUAACACACACUAUCAUAGAUGUAGCGACACGAUGAAGUAAAUCACAUGAAGAUGGAAAGGGGAACCCCUCACAGCAUAAAAUUUGAAUAGAGAGGGGAAAAAGGCUUCAUUUCAAAUGUUGCACAGAAGCAGAGUGACUUGAAUCUCCAUCAGUAUCCAGACAUUCUGCAAACACAGUGCUGAGAAUUUUAACAAGAAUAACAGACAAAAUAUUGUGCUUCUAUACUUGUCACAAAACUAGACCAAAUUAGUCCCCUUUUUGGUUUGUGAAAACUUGAUAUUUUUGAAAAUUCUAUCCAAUGCUUUCAAACAAUAUUUCCAUAAUAUAGUUGUUCAUAGCUAACCUUUGAUGGUGUAAGGAUUUGUUGUAGGCAUAAUGGGCUAAUUAUAUAUAUAUAUAUAUAUUUUACCCCCUGAAUGAUAUUCAGCUUCUUAAUUAUGUGUUCAUAGGCAAGAGCAUUUUCUUAAGUACUUUCGUUGCCUUCCAAGUUUCCAAUGAACAAACAGAGCACAAACAAAUUUAACGGAACAGUAACGAUGACAAUAAAUAAUUGGCAAGGAAAGAAAGAAAAAAGUUUGCAUGAUUUCAAGGAAUUAUAAAAUCUGAACUCUUUCAACAUGCAAGUGUUGCCCCUUUUGAUGAAAUUUCAUCAUAAAAUGCUUGCAAAGAAUUAUAAAAUUUUAGAGAACAAGCGAACUCUCAAACAAAAUACUCAAAUUAAAUUAAAUUAGACCAAAAGACACUCAAUGACGCAAAAUCUGCCAUUCUAAAUAAUUGAGAUGAAAUUGUGAAACAACCCACGAGAUCAAAUAAAUAAAAUAAGAAUUAAUUACCAGCUUUGACUUUCUUCUCCAAAUUCGCAACUCGAAGACAUAAGAAGCCAAUGAAAUUAGUCGUAACCCAUAAAGUACGACGACGACCCCGCCAAUAGCUGAAAAUAAAAUACUUAUUCAUCAAUUUAAACUAACUUUAUAACAAAUAUCUUAUCGAUAUUUUAUUUAAAAAAAGCAAAUUUGUAGAAUUUUUCCAUGGGAGAUAGAGAGUAAUAUGUAUAUCCGGACCUUUUUAGUAUGUAAUUGUUGUAUGGUUGUGUUAAGAUCAUUAUUUGCCCAACGCCGUUGAUCCUCUGACUCUCCAUACGAGACGUUUACUCUCGGAGGCGUGUUUGAUUCUCCUGAAGUGAAAGUCUUCAUCUUGGGACAACCAAUCACUUCCAGAUAUUCCAGAGAUGGGAAUUUGAAGGUGUAAUUGGCAGAGCAGAAACUUGUGAGACUGUCUAAAUCACACAGAAUCAACGCCUUCAAUUUGCUGAAAACAAUCUCUUCUAUGUCAACUCCUUCUUUGUCAUUUAUUACCACCUCUGUCAUUGCUCUGCAUCCAUAUACUUGCACUGUUACGAGUCGCACCAGAGUUUUUGCUGUGGAGGAUGUUACUAAGUGUAUCAAUUCCUUGCAACCGACAGCUACCAGUUUUGCUAGGUUCCGAAAAGAUACCGAUGAUGAUGGCAAUAGACUUAACAGAUUUUGACAAUGAUAUACUUUUAGAAUUUCAAGAUAUUGAAAAAUGGAGUCAAGUUUGGAGUCUUGUUUACAUAGCUGCUUCAGAUGAUUAAGGUGGCCCAGCUCUAUACAUUUUAUCAUUGCCAACUUCCUCAAACGGUUCUCUAAGCAUCCUUCCGUUGAAAAUACCUCUUCGUAUGAACAAUGAUACAGUAAGAGUAAUUCGAGAUUGUGAAAUCUCUCAAGUACAUUCCUGAUUGGAAAACAAGCCGAGUCAUCAUAAGUUAUGUCUAGUUUUUUAAGACUGCCAAAAAGGUGUUGUGGGAAAUCGGCGUCCAAAAUCAUCUUCACAUCUUUUCCGCUUAACGCCAGUGACUCCAAGUUGGGUAAGAUCUGAUCAUCGUCAAUCACGUAGUAACUAAUCAGGUCAGUUGAUGUUCUCUCCAAUAAUUUUACCUUAGAGUACUUGUUGUAGAUUAUAUAUAUUUUACCAAAAAAAAAAAAGAAAAGAAAGGAAAAAUUGAAUUAGUGAUAAAAUUCAUUCUAGGAUUUUUGUAUGUUAAUUUGAGAGAUAAGAGAGAAAUUAGAAAAAAAAAGGAUGAUUUAUACUGGCAUAAAAAUAUUUUAUUGCACAAUAAUAAAUUAUUAAUUUAUAUUGUAAGUGAUUAUAUAUGAGAAAACUGAGGAUUCUUUUUUAAUGCUAUACCUAAAAUAAUUCAUCUAACUAUUAAUUUAGUACAUUGAUCCCUUAGGCCAGACUAGCAAAAAUAUUAAUUUUGUAAUAAAAGUUUUCAAUUUAUUGAGUAUUAAUUUAUUGAUGUUUAGUUAUAUUUUACAAAGUCAAAAGUCGCUAAUGAUCUAAUUGAUAAGAAAUCUAGAAAGCGGCUUCAUACCUUUUUGAACAAGAAUAGGGGCCGUUGUGCAGGAAUACCAAGUUGAUCAUCCUCAUUAUUUUGUGAUGAAUCUGCAGCGAAUGUCUUCAAUUUGUCACAACCAGACACCACUAAAAUUUUUAGUGCAGGCCAUUCCGAAGUAUGCAUUCCAUGGUAUAAACAUUUAAGUUCCGGUAGCUCUUGGAGUAUAAGAGUGGUCACCCGUUGAAAGACAAAAUGAGGGGUCACAUGAUCUACUCUGUCUUCCGAAAUGAUCUCUUGCAAACCCCUACAAUUCACUAUCUCUACUUGUUGGAGAUGCUCAAAGCUUUGAAUCAUAGAAACUAAAAAUAUGUAUUUUAAUUUGUUACAGUGGCACACAAUCAAUCGUGUUAAACUUUGAAAGCGAGGAAGCAUGACCGGACGAUGAUUGUAAUGCCAAAUCUUGUCGACAUUAAUUUCAGAUAUCUCCAAAGCCUCCAAAUUAGGCAACCCUACCUAAAAAAAUAUUAAUUUCUUGUUAGAUCCAACACCCAUAUGAGAAGGACUUAUUGAAAUUUUCUUCUUUGAUUACAGAUUAAUAAUUCAAGUCAAAAUCAAUUUCCAACUGACAGCUGAGUAUGCAUUCUAAUUCGUAUUACUUGUUAAGAGCUCAAUUAGUGAGUGCGUGAGAUUCUUUUUAUCCUUUUUUUUUCACUUUCUUUCAAUUCUUUAAAUGAUUUAAUUAUUUUCCACGUAUGACAUCAAAAGAGAAUGCACAAUAGCAUAAAGAAAGUGUUAGCCUACGCACCUUGCCGUUGAAAAGCAGUGUUUCCAAAUUGAUUUCGUUGGAGCAAGAACUUGUCAAUUCCUCUUGCAGCCCUUGUCUGUUUGGUGAUGCUGAAGGAGUCUUCAAAUUACGGAAAAAAGUUGUAACCUCUGGAAGAUUUCCCAAACUCAAAGAUCUUAAUUGAGCCAACUCUAUCUUCUCAGCAGCAUUAUUGUUGUCAACAUCAGCAUCUCCCCCAGUAGCAAAAAUCUCUUUCAUCUUGCUGCAAUUAAUAACUGCAAUUCUCUCAAGUCUUGGAAGGCAUUUUGCAGUGGAGAGCCAGAAGAUAUUACUCAACUCAUUACAAUUUUCUACUUUUAUUGUUUUGAGUUUAUUGAAAGACUCUACUUUGAGUCGAUCAAUGCAUAUCCUCUCCAUGUUGAUCAAAUUGUGAAGAGUCAGUGACUCCAAAAGAGGAAAGGCAUCACAAGCUACCAUCUCCAUUGAGUCGACAAUACAAAAGAAGUCAGGAUUAUUUUGAACCCAGAGAAGCUUCAAUUGUGGAAAGCCCUUUGUGUCCAAAUCGAAAAGAACAUUUUUGACACCUUGUAGCUUGUCCAACCAUACGUAUUCAACGUUAUUGAUGGCCUGCAAUUUCAUGGAGCAAAUGUCCGUAAAAUCAGGCUUGAGCUUCAAUUCUCUUAAACGCUCAUGAUUAUGGUUGAUCAAAAAGUGCGACCGACUGCGAAACCAAUCUUUUGUAACAGGCAAGGAAGCCAUGAAUGACUCAUUUCCAAUAGAUAUUUUGAACCUUUCGAGCUUUCUGGCCAAAAAGCCUUCCUGUAAAAUACUGUCAUUUUUAACAUCAAUUUCUAGAGUGGUUAGCCAAGGUAAAAGCAUCAAUUCAUCAAGGCUUGCAUUACUUCUUUCAGUGUUGGCUCUUUCAACCUCCCAUUCAACGGAGCAAUUACCCAUACACAAUUCUUCUAAUCGGAUUAAGCUCGAUAUGACAUUUGGGGCAAUAACUUUUAGAUGGAAACAGUCUCUUAAAUCUAACAGCCUUAGCUUAGUCACUUGCCCUAGUGCUUUUGGUAACUCUACAAUAUCAGACCACACAAAGCUAAGGAUUUCUAGAUUUUCCAACUUUCCAAUAAUGGCUAUGUCCAUGUCUCCCAAAAUGCUUUGAUCAAGACAAAGCGUCGGAAGAUUUACUAGAAGAUCAAUUGAAGAUGGCAAUGACAAUAACCGCAUUCUAGUCAAAUCCAAAACCCGAAGCUUUUUUGUCCUUUCGAAGAAGUUCUCAGGAACAUUAGGCGCAACAAAAGAGUUCUUGGGAGACAUGAAUAAAAAUUCCAAGUUGUGGAGAUUCCAACACUUCGGGAAUGUCAUUAAUAAUACUAUCUUUAAAAAAAUUGCAGGAUAUUUUUUUAAUGCAUCUGCAUCUGGCCAUUUCCACACAUCCUCAUUUCUCACCGCAAAUGCAAUUUUGUCACGACGUGCAAUUGAAAUGGCAACAUCGCGAACAACAUCAUGCAUGGAAAAGAAUUUACUGCCACCAUCCUCAAGCAACAAACAAGAGUCUCUUAGUUGAUGGACCCAUGCAUGUAAUUUGUUAUGUGCAUCUUCUAGCUUAUAGACACUUUCAAAUGCACCCAAGCCCACGCUAUAUUUGAACAAGUCCAUAAUUGAAGUUGGUGUAAUUAGACUACACAGUAAAAAAGUUUUCUUGAGUUGCUCACCUCUUAAAUACUUGUAACUUAGCUCAAUUGUUGAGUAUGCCUCUACUGGUACUCCUUCAUCGAAGCUUGCCUCUGAAGGCGUUUGGAGUUCUUGUAAGACGUUCUUCCACACAGGCAGCUCUUUGUUUCUCAGUGCCUUUGCUACUGUGGUUAGGGCAAUAGGCAAACCUCCACAUGCCUUGGCUACAUUUGUUGCUGUAGAUUUUAACUCACGAUUUUCAACAUAAUUACCAGCCAUUAUCUUGAACAACCUCCAAGCUUCUUGCUCAUUUAGAAUGCCAAUCAAGAAGUUUUUUUCAGAUCCCAUACUUAACAAAACAUUACGAUCCCUUGAUGUUAAUAAUAACUUGCAUCCUCUAUGAUCAACGCCAAAAGGAAUUCCGACAGUCUCUAAAUCAAGAUAUUUCCAGAUGUUAUCCAGAAUCACAAGGAUCAUCUUCUCUUUCUUCAAUCGUUCAUAAAGUCUACUAGCUCUUCUAGAUUCAGCCUCCUCGGACAACUCCAGACCUAGUUUCUCUGCAAUUUCCCCUUGAAUCUUUUUUAUGUCUGGAGUUUGGGAAACCUCUGAAAAAACCACCUGAUCAAAGAGUUUCUCUUCACUGGCUUGCCUUGCAAACUCCUUCACCAGUGUUGUCUUUCCAAUGCCGCCCUUUCCGUAUACCCCAACGAUGCUGACAUUGACAUCAGUCAAUGCAUCUUGUAUAGACUUCAGAGUAGAAAGUCUUAAUUUAAAGGCCUCGUAACCUUUGUUAGACUUUAGCCAUACCUCCUCCGCAAUGGUACGGUAGAAAAUUCUAUCAUCAAAUCUCCUAGCUUCUUCUUUGAGUUCAACAAGGGCCUUCACCUCUGUUUCUGCUUUCUUGCUAAGCUGAUAGCGGGUCUUCAAAUUAGGACACAAGCCCUUGAAACAUCGCUUACUUGUUGUCUCCCCAUCUUCAAUGAAUUUGGCUGCCUGCUCAAUGGUGUUGUUCGCACUAACCAGCCAGUUCUCAACCUUCUCUUCAAUCUUUUCUCCUUUUCUUUCAGCCUCAGAAACUCUGUGCUGAAUGCUCUUACUUUCAUCCUUGAGCUUGUCUAUUUCUGCCUUGAGAUUCUCAAAGUUGGCUUUAUAGUUUCGCAAAUAACCAAGUUGGCGUUCUGUUGGAGGAGCGAAGCAUUUCACAACUUCUAACAGAACAGUAACAAUGCUUUCCACCAUCUUCGAUCCUCUUUUUUUCAAAGUUCCGAAAUGAAAAUAAACGACGAGCGAAAAACAGAGAGAAAGAGGGGCAAAAAAAAAAAAAAAAAAAAAAAAAAAAAAAAAGAAAAUGAAACAACAAAGAUGACAAGUGUAUCUGUUUGUGGAAGCGGAGAAAUCAAAGAAAGCUUAAAAACUGUUGUGAAUCUGGUGAGAAGAUGGAAACAAGGAAAAGGUUUCUAGUUCAAAACUGAUUGAAUUGAUAUAAGGAAUGAUUUAGAUAAUAGAGGAAAAUUGAAUCAGUCAAAAUAACUUAAGUAUUGACCAGAAGAAAGAUGCAAACAAUAUUAGAGACAACAACCGCGCUAUUGACUGGUAAUAGAGAUGGAGAAAAAGAAAAUAUCUUCACACGGUGGAAGUACAAAGGGUAGAUAUGGAACCAAACAGAGACAACAACAGGCCACAACUAGAUUGGGAAUGGAGAGAAACAAAUUAACAAAGACUGGAGAUUACAACAGAACAGAUGCCAAGAGAAAAGGGUUUCUUCAUCCAGUGAAAUUCAAGAGAGUUGACAGCAAAAGGGAGCACAUGUGUUUCUUGAUUGAGAACGAGUGCAAAGGAUGACUUUUUAAUGAGGUUCUGAAGCUGACGAAUAACGAUUUGCUAAAAUUUUGAGAAAGUUAUAUAUUCCGUAACUUCAACAAGUGAAGAAUAAAAGAAUAAUAGUUCGUCAUCUUCACAAUGAAGAUCAUGGACGAGAUUAAAAGCUAAAACUAGUCCAUUUGAAAAGCCAAAGUUCAAGUUCCUUGGCUAAGUUCAGAAGUGAAGCAAAGAAUAAAUAAAUAAAGAUCAAGGGAUGGGAAUAAAGUCACCCCCAGACAGUUGCAGAAAGAUUAUUAUUUGGUAAGCGUAGUUGAUUAUUAGUACAAAACAGAGUAGGUGAAACACAUCCUUUCUAUUUAGACUGAUCAGCAUCUAAAAUUUUAUGAAUUAUGAGUUGCAUUUUAUUUUGUACAUUCUGUUAACACAUUUUAAUUUAGCCAAUUUUGCAAUAAAUGUUAUUGAUGUAUUAAAUUGCAACAACAAAACACAAUUAUUGGUUUUAAAGAAUGAAAAAAAAAAUACAAAAAUAGAAAAUGAAUUGAAUUCCACUCAUCGUCAUCUUGGCAAAUCAAGUCAAAAAAUAAAAAUCCAUAUGCUUUUGUUAAAGUUAAAAGCUACAUAAAUAAUAUCACAGAAGCUUCUGCUAAGGUUCAUGUGAAGUCACAGCUUUGAUACUUGUAAUACAAGGAGCACGGAGAAACCAUAAACUUCAGUUUAGGUAUAUACAUUGCUUGUCUUUCAAACUUGAAUUGAUAAGGGGGAAAAAAAUAAUACUAAAGCAAACAGAAGGAUCAUUUAGUUGACAAAAUUAUUAUUAUUUUGAAAUUCGGGUCAUUCAGUUACUUUCAUUUCAGUUUCACUUCUGAUUCAAUUUAACCAGUUAACGUUGACAAAAAUAAAAUGCAAAUAUAAGGCUAAGGCUGCUAAUUUGAUGAACUAAUUGUCUCAGGAACCAAAGCAUCUAUAAGCAUGCAUGGGUGGCAACACCAUAAUUACUCAAGACUGGAGGAGUAAAAAGAUUGGUGAUGAUAAACAUUAAAUUUUAGGAAAAUCAUUCACAAAUAUGCUUUUAUAAAAGUUUUGUUGGUAAAGUUCGAGAAAUGCAUACAUGUCAAAUUUCCAUUUCUUGUGAGCAUUUCACCAAAUAGCUGAUAUGCAUUAAUAACUCCUAUCCUAUACUAUUGGCCAGUAGGUUGUUGCUGCUUCCCCAUUUUUAAUGAUGCGAACGUCUCAUACUUAGAAAUAAGGGCGGAGCCUGGAGAUUGAUUUAUAAGAUAAUCUUUUGAAUAAAAAUAAAAACAAUUACAGAUUUCAAAUGUGAGAAAAAUAAAAUUGCGUUAUAAAAUUAAUCCCACUAAGAAAGUCGUCUACGAAAUUGCCACAUUAAAAGAAAAUUUUUCCAUAAAUUAAAAUAAAAUUAAAUGAAAACUAUUUUUCAGUAAAGUCAAUUGCCCACGCUAGGCUAAGGCGUUUGUUUAUUUGUUUGUUUGUUUUUAUAAUCUGAAUAGGUAUAAAUUUUUUGUAAGCAUGAAUGAGCUGAGUACAAAUAUAUGAAUGAUAUAUUUAUUUUUCUUUUUCUUAAUACCCAAAUAUAAGUGACAUCUUAUUUAUCUUAAAUAUGGUUAUUUGAUAUUUAUAUUUUUACAAAUAAAAACAAAAAAAAGUAGUUAGAUUUUAUAGUUUAAGAAAUAAAUAUAUUUUAUAAAAAUAUUUUUAGAAUAUAUAUUUAAUUCUUAUUUAGACUUUUUCCUAUUCAAUAAAAGUCACAAAAGUUACUUUUUCUAUUCAAAUGUAAAUGCUUAAAAAUCAGAUAUAAGUCACAAAAAAAAUAAAUUUUAGAAAAAGUCAUAAAUUAAUAAAAUUUCAUAUAUUUAACUCCCAAUGCAGAUCCGCCCCUAUCAGUGUUAGGAAAUUGACUGGUGAAGUAGGUUCACAGCUAAAAUGAAAUUGGAAGAAAAUGAAGAACAAGCACAUAGAGGACACCAAAAAUUACAUGGUUCGACUUUUAGCCUACGUCUACGGGUAAAGACAAAAGGAUGAAACUUUACUGGUGAAAUGAGGAUUACUAGUAUUAUAAUAUUUUGUUUCACUUCCCAGAACCCCAAUCCACUCAAUCUCUUAAAACACUAAUCACUCAAGAGCAUUAAAACUCUUAGUCUCUCACUCUAGAAUUGAAGAAGAAAAGAAUGAAAUGCAGGGGUGAACCCCUCAUUUAUAGUUAAAAAUUUGGGCACUAUUUAUAUUUUUAUACAUUUUUUUUAAAUUAAAAGUUUGAACUUGACAUUCAAACUUUGAAUAUCAAAAGGUAUUGGUCACUCUUCUAGAAAAGUGACAUUGACUUUGACAUUCUCCCACUUAGAAAUUUGAUUGAGAAUCAAUCAAUCUCCACACCAUCCUUUCUGCUUCGUCGCUAUCAUGUUGCUUAUGUCUCUACUAGGCCAUAAAAUGAUAUACUCCAAACAAAUUUAUCAGCAUUGAUAGGCUUGGGCAAAACAUUUGUUAAGUUCUCCUUGGUAUCCACUCUUGUAUCUUUCACUACUUCACGAAGAAGUGAUAUUGUACUCCUAUAUUCUUUGUCCUGAAAUAAAAGGUUGGAUUCCUUGCAUUCUAACUAUCACAAACCAUAAAAAAAUUUAUGCCCAAGCUCCUUCAGUAACCUUUGUAUCCAAAUAGCCCUUCCAAGCUUGUGUAGCUGCUAUGUAAUCUGCUUCUGUUGUUGAUAAAGCCACAAUGGUUUGCAAUUUUGAAAUCCAACUAACAAUUUCGCCUUCUGGUGUAAAUACUUAGCCAGUAGUGGGUUUCCUUUUAUUAAGAUUUUCUGCAAAAUCUGAAUGCACAAAGCCCUUGACAGUAAAUUCUAAUCCUUCGCAGCAUAAUGCAACAUCUGAUGUUCCUCUGAUAUUUCUCAGAAUCCUCUUAAUAGUCUUCCAAUGUUCUUUGCAAGGAUUCGCUAUGUAUCGACUAACUGCUCCCACUACUUGUACAAAUCAUAGCAAACCUUAAAUUUUCCACUGCUGAUGCAUACAGUACUCAAGACAUCUCUUCUUCUCUACUUCAUUACUAGAUGAAUACUUAAGAAUAACUUGAAAUUAAUAGGAAGCGGGGUAGAAAGCCAAAUCUUCUUGCUAUUACUAUCUCGGUGAAUUUGCAUCCCUAAAAUCUUGUUUGCUGGUUCUAAGUCUUUUAUUUCAAACUCCCUAGUUAACUGUGCCUUCAGUUCUUGGACUCGAUCUUUGUUGGGGCUUGCUACCAAUAUGUCAUCCACAUACCACAGUAGAAUGAUGAAAUCAUUAUUAUCAAACUUGUUGUAAUAUGUACAACAGUAUGAAAUGAUUCUAUUGUAUCCAAGGUUUAUGAUGAAAGGAUCAAUUCUUUUAUAUCAACAUCUCGGUGCAUGUUUGAGAUCGUAUAGAGAUUUGUUCAACUUGCAAACCAAGUGUCCCUUUUUAGUAAAACCUUCUAGUUAGAGCAUAUAAAUCUUUCCUUCAAGUUCUCCAUGAAGAAAUGAAAAUUUCACAUCUAACUGCUCCAAAUAUAGGUCAAAUGUAGCACACAUCGACAAGACCACUCUGACUGUCCUGGGUCAAAUCAUUGGAGAAAAUAUCUCAUUGACGUUAAUACAUUCUUUCACCACCAAUCUUUCACGAUAUCGCUCCACUAGGUUAUUACCAUCACGUUUGAUCUUGUGAACCCAUUUGCAACCAAUGGUUUUUUUUUAUAUGGUAGUAGUACGAGUUCCUAUGUCAUAAUCUUGUGUAGAGCCUUAAUUUCUUCCUGCAUUGCUAUCAUUCACAAAGUAACAUCUGAGCUGUUUAAAAUUUCAUAGAAAGUUGAUGGCUUUCCAUUCUCUAUUAAAAGACAGUAUGCAAAAUUGAUAUAUGUGACAUAAUCCAAAUGCCACACAUACAUUUAUCUAUCACGAGUUGACCAACAAACUUUUGGGGCCUCAGACUUGAUUGGUUCUUGUUCUCAUACUUUGGAUGAUGCUUCAAAAAAAUCUGAAUCUUCAUUUUCCAGAUUAUUUUCAACAUAUAUUAGCACAAUCUCUAAAUUUUAAUAGUGCUAUCAUCCAUAUCUCUCUUUUGCAUUUGAUCUUCUACAAAGACAAUAUCUCUGCUAAUAACGAUCUUGUGGGCAUUGAGGUCCCACAGAUAAUACCCUUUCACUCCAUCAAUAGAUUCUAAGAAGAUACAUCUCUUGGAUUUUGGAUCCAUCUUUAAUCUCACUUGGGUAUCGUAUAUCACGUAAAAGGACAUCAAAAUGCCUGAGAUGAGAGUAAUCAGUUGGCUUUCCUGUCCAUUUUUCCAUUGGAAUCUUCAACCCGAUUGCCUUGAAUGAUGACCCACUUACCACAUAAUAAGUAGUUUUUGCUACUUCCGCCUAGAAUGAGUUGGUAGACCAGCAGUUCUCAACAUAACUCUUAUUUUUUCUAUAAGAGUCAUGUUCUUUCACUCUACUACUCUAUUUUAUUGAGGAGUGUAUGCCACUGUGAACUAUCUCUAGAUACUUUCUUACUUACAUAUGCAAGAAACAUGCUAUAUGUAUACUCUCCACCAUUGUCUGUCCUCAGGCACUUGAUCCCUUGCCCUGAUUUAAGUUCAAUCUAUUCUUUGAAUUCUUUGAACAAUGGAAAUACAUUUGACCUUUUCUUGAUUGGAUACACUAAAUAUCUCCUAGAAUAAUCAUCAAUAAAAGUCACCAAAUACUUUGCACCUCCCAUAGAUAUAUCAAUUGAUUCCCAAACAUUAGAAUGAAUCAAGUCUAAAAUACAUUUACUUUUGAAAGUGGAUUUGCUAAACUUUCAUCUAUGUUGCUUCCUUGUUUCGACAUGUGGCCAAGUUUAAGAUGCCACAUCAUCGCUGAAUUUUCUCUAUUUGAUGUGACACACACAAAAGCUUUCUGUAGUGUUUCCAUUUAAGCAUGAAUAGAUUAGCACCGAUCUUUUCCACCUUCAUUAAUGCAAGUGUGCCUUUGACUAUCUUUAUGAUCCCAUUUUCUACAUGAGUUUUGUGCACAAGGCUAUCUAUUUGUCCUAAAGACAAGAGAUAUUUUUCAAGUCUUUGACAUGUCUUACCUUCUCAAUUGUGCGAACCAUACCAUUAAACAUAUUUAUUUUGACAGUACCAAUAUCAAUGAUCUCAAAGGCAUGAUUAUCACCUAUGUAUACAGAUUCUCUUGAAAUAGGUUCAUAUUUGUGAAAUCAUUCUCUUGGAGAGAUCAUGUGCCAAACAACUAUUAAGUCUAUAAGCCAGACGUCGUAUAGUGGUUUUCUGCCUUCUGAAGCAGUUGUUGCCUUACUGUAGAGAAUUUUGCUAUCAUACGAGGUACUUACUACAUACCCUUGAGCAUUUGAUGACUCGGGAUCUUUACCCUCUCUUCUCUUCUAGUUGUUCCAAUACUCUUCCUUGACAUGCUCUUUCUUGCCACAGUUGUUGCAUUUAACAUUCUUCUUACUUCUUGAUUUCGAUCUACUGUGAUUGUGGCUCUCACUAGGGCCACGUUCCAUGGAUCUUCCUUUCAUCAUCAAUAGCGCUUCUACUUGCUGCGAACUUGUCUGUCUAUCUUUUUUAUUUUUUGCUACUCUCCUCAUUUAAUACGGAGGCUGCCAUAUUGUCAAAGACUAACUUGUUUGCUCGAUUGUUAUUAGUUAGAUUAAUGACGAAUUAAUCAUACGAAUCUGGUAAACCUUGAAGUAAAAGCUCUACAUGAUCAUUUUCCUCUAUUUUAUGACCCAACGUUGUAAGUUAUGAAAAUAAAGUCUUUAAAGUGUUGAUAUGGUCGAUCACUGAUGUAGAUUCCGUCAUUCGAAGAGUAUAAAGCCUCCUCUUUAAAAAGAUUUUAUUUUGUAGUGAUUUGACCUCGUAUAGUCUUGUGAGAGUAAACCAUAUUUCCUUUGCUCUCUUUUACUCUACCACAUUGAAUAAUACCUUAUUUGAAAGUGGUAUGUGUAGAUUUGCAAUGGCAUUAUUGUCUAUCUCAUUCCACUUGUCAUCAUCAGUUAUCUUUGUGAGCCUCUCUUCAAUUGUUGCCAAGCAAUUACUCUUCCUCAAUACAACCUUCAUCUUCAUUUUUCAUGACGAAAAAUUAUUUUUGUUGAACUUCUCAAUUUUGUAUUUUUCCGCCAUCACUGUUCACCACGAGCUACCUUUGCUAAGAUCGAUUCCUACCAUUUCACAUGAGCAGUAACUGUAUAUAUGAAUAAAGUGUUGUAUACAGAAACAAUAUCAUAUACAUGAACAGUACAAUAUAUGUAAACAGUAUCUUGACCCCAAAAAAUACAACCCGAAAAUUAAUUUGUGAAGUAGGGCCGCGACUAAAAUGAAAUUGGAAGAAAAUGAAGAGCAAGCACACUGAGGACACCAGCAAGCACACUGAGGACACCAUAAAUUAUUUGGUUCGACUUUUAACUUAUGCCCAUAGGUAAGGACAAAAGGAUAAAACUUUACUAGUGAAAUGAGGAUUAUAAGUAUUUUAGUAUUUUGUUUCACUUCUCAAAACCUUAAUACACCCAAUCUCUCCAAACACUAGUCACUCAAGAGUAUAAAACUCUUACUCUCUCAUUAUAGAACUAAAGAAGAAAAGAAUGGAAUGAGUGAAAUGAGGGGGUGAACCCCUCUAUUUAUAGCUAAAAAUUUGGGCACUUUUUAUAUUUAUUAUUAUUAUUAUUUCAAAAUUUAAAGUUUGAACUUGAUAUUCAAACUUUGAAUAUCAAAAGAUACGAGUUGUUCUUCUAGAAGAACGGCACCAACCUUGACUCUUAGGCAGACCUUUAGAGCUUUAAAUAAAGAAAAAGCUUUUAAAAAUGCCAUGUGUACUUGAUUAUACAAUAAUCUCCACCACAUAGAAUGAUUUGAUAAAAGAAAUUUUUUAUUUUUAAUUUUACUUUUAUCAGGCACGGUGCAUUUCCCCUUGGGCUCAUAUGUAAGGAUGUCAAUAAGAUGGGAAGGAGAGAGGAUUGAUUUCCCCAUACUCAUCUUUAAUACUCUGUCUAUCUCUUUGUACUCUAGACAUUUCCUUCAAAAUUACUUGAAACGAGGGGAUGGAUGUUUCUAAAUAAUACAAAGGGAUCUCUUAUGGCAUCCGAUCUCUGAUUAUUUAAUUUCUUUUUUUUCUUAAUUUAAUCAUCUUAAAGUAAAAAUAUAAAAUCAUAUUAACACAAAAAAUAUCAAAUUAACUAAAGUGAUUAAAAUCAUUUCCAUCAAAUUAAGUCAAUGCCAUCAAAUUAGAAGAUAAUCUUUGAACUAAUUAAGCAAAAGUAAAUCUUCAAAGUUAAACUCAUCCAUAAAUGUCAUAUAGUAUAAACCAUCAAUUAAAUUAUCUUUGUCAAUUUUAAAGUGUUUAUAUUUACUUUAUAUUGGCUGUUAUUUAUAUUAUUUUUAUAAAUGUAUUAUGAUAUUUUUUAUUUACAUCACACUAUUGCAAUUGAAAUUUUAAAUGUAUUUACUAUAAAUUUGAAAAAAAAAUGAAUUAAAAAUAAAAACUAAAGAUAAAAAUAGAAAAAUGUGGAGCCAAAUAAAAUAUUAGGGCAAACACUAAGUUAUAUUUCAUGUAACUUACACCCACACAUAUUAAUUUAUCACAGUCUUGUCUCCACAUAGAAAAAUUAGAUCUAAGAUUAUCAAACUCCCGAAUGAGGAAGAUCCCUCGGGGCCAUCGUCCCUGUGGAAAUUUCUGCAUCCCUGCAGUCUACAACGCCUAAUAAUGAAUUGAACGGUUGAAAUCCCUCUAAAUUUUUGAUAAUUUCUAAUCGCCCCUCCAUAUUUGAUUGAACAUCAAAACUAUUGAGUCCAAAUUUAUAACUUUGAUUUAUCUUCCAUUCCAUAGUUUUCAAGUUCUCUCUCUCUCUCUCUUUUAAUCCUUUUUACUGCAACCACCAUCAAAGCCUAGUAGUUAAUAUGUAUGCUGCUUUGCUUUCAAAAUCGGACACUACUGGUAUUUAUGGUUUUUAUUCUUUAUUUGACACAAAAUUUGGCGAUAUCUCCGCGGAAAAACACUACUGGUGUAUUCAAUUUUAUCCGGUAAUGAUUAAAUUGAUUAUUACAUGAACCGUAACUUCGCCAAGCCCAAAAUACAUAUUAAGUUAUAAAGCGUGGCACUCAUUAUUUUUCGCAAAAAGUUUCGCCCAAAAUACAUAUAUUUUUUUAAUUUUUUCUGUGAAAAAAACUACUGUUAUAUUCAAUUUUAUCAUUAAAGUUGUUAGUUACAUGAACCUUAAAUUAACACAAACCGUAACUUAGCCAAGCCCAUAAUACAUAUUUCAUAUUUGUAUGAAAUUUAAAGUUUUUCCACUUAUUAUUUUUCGCUAAAAGUUUCUAAAUUGUAUUGUAGUUUGAACUUGCCCAUCAUUCAAUUUUUUAACUCCACAAUUAUUUGACCUUACCAAGCUUGAAAAUAUCCUUCCAUACAUUUUUAAUUUUCUCCAAGUAUGAUGAAGAUUUAAUCAAGAGCCUCCGGGAUCUUAAAGUGCAAGAAAGGUCCGGAAAAUUUUUAAAACCCCACUGUUUAAAGUUUUUUUGGACUUUCUUGCACUUUAAAAUCUUGAAUUGAUAUAUAUAUAUAUAAUCAUUAUUAGGUGCUAGUGUUCUCUUUUUUUUUUUAAUGCAAACACCCUUUUAAGCCGUAGGGUUUAAUAACAUUAAAAACUAACUUUCAACUAGCUCUCUUAAAUUGUACGGCUUAAAAGCAUGUUAGUAUGAAAAAAUGAACACGUCUGUACCAAAAAAGGACUAUAUAUACUAUUUAUUUUAUAUAUACAUACGUGCGCGCGCUCGCAUAUAUAUAUAUAUAUAUAUAUCAUUUUAAUAUAUUCCAUUACUUUAAUAAUCAAUUUAAAAUAGUUUGUGAUAUUUUCAGCUAUUUAUUUAUCUACUUUUAGUUAGUUAUUUACACCGAAUGAAGUGAUAGGGUCCAAAUUUUAGUAUCCUUCUCAAUUGUUUGGGGUUAGUAAAUACUAAUUAGCUUAUUCGUCCCGCACAGCCGCGUAAAUGCUGUUAGAUUUCGGAGAGAUGCUGAGGAUGGUACAAGAUUUAUCAAAUUGUGGCGACAUUUUUAUACCUUUAGAAUUUCAAGAUUUUGAAGAAAUAAAUGGAAUCUGUUUUCCAUAAGUGCUCCACUAUCCACCAGGAGGAAUUCUAAAAUACAUUACAGAUUAGUAAUUUUUCAGAAUAAAUAAACACAUGUUAUAACAUUAUCUACUUAUCGUAUGAUUGAUAUGAUACUUCUGAUAUAUUUUAAAAUUUUUAAUGCACCAAAGUUCAUUUUUAGCUUUUAAGGUUUUUAUGUGUGAGCCUCUCAGCACGUUACCCAACCUCCGCACGUGAAAAUAUUUCUAUGUACGGUUACAAGCUUUUCCAGAUUGUGAGUAUUCCGAAGCAAUCCAACUUGAAAAACAGCUGGUUCGUAGAAAAUGACAGUUUACGAAGCUGGCCCUGCUGCCAUACAUAUGAUGAAGAAGACCAUUUUGCUUUAUGUCAAUUCCUCCAAGUUGAAAUCUUUCUCGGUCUGGGACACUUCCAACACAUAAAGUACUACUAGGCUAGAUGAUUUUAAAAAAUGUCAAGGUCCUUUAUCAAAUUUCAUUUGCAUUCAAGACCAAUCCCCUUUGAUGAAAAUCAAUAAUUAAAGGCUUUCCAAUGAGAAAUUAUUACGUCUUCAAAUCUCAAAAAACGCCAGAAUAUUAAUUCGCUACAUAUAAUCAAGAUAUCUCAUUGAGACGCAUUAAUAAAAAAUGUCAAAAUGCAUAGAAAGAGCAGACACACGGAUGAUGAAUUUACUCAUCUUUAGUAGUAUUUGAACUUGAGAGACAGAAUGAAGUACAUGUCAAGAAUAUCAUAAAGAUGGAAACCGGAAGUCCUCCGCACAUAAACUUUGAAGAAACUGGAAAACGACUUUAUUCCAGAUAAUGCACACCAGAGUGACCAAAAUUCUCUUCAGUAACUAUAGAGAAAAUAUUAUUUUGCAUGCAUUUCACGUAACUGGAUCAAACUACUCCCCUGUUGGUUUAUCAGACCACAUUUUUAUGGUGCAAUAUAAACCAUCUUUUCAAAACACUUCUACAAUGUGAGAAACAAAUGAUUUUUAUAUAGUUGUUCAUAGCUAACUUUUGAUGGUUUAAUGAUCUGUAGAUUUUGUUUUAUGUUAUUCAAGGAAAGAUAUUGGAUUGUUCCUAAGAGUUCAUAGGCAGGGGCAUAUAUGCAUGAUUUGAUAUAAUUCUUGCAAUUUCUAAGUACUUGCUCUUUCCAUCCCUUCUAAGUUUUGAAAGAAAGGUCGAAAUAAACAGAGAAACAGGACAAACAGAAGAAGACUGAAUUAACAGAUUAGCAAAGAUGGCAACUAACAAAUGGAAAAGUUCUCUUGUCAUCAAACUAUAGCAAACAGAUGACACCAUUACCAUAUAUCUUAAUGAGUAGAUUGAUUCUAAACAUAAAUGUUAGGAUACAUUUGGUUGUUUAAUAGUUUGAAAUAAGGAGGAUGAGAUGGUUUCCACAUAAAAGUGCUGGCCCUUUCAAUGACAUUUUCAAGGAAUUAUAAAAUUCAAAAUUAAAAAAAAAAUAGCACAUUAUAAAGCCACACCGUCAAAAAAAUAAAUAAAUAAAUAAGUGAAGAUCAAACUAAGUCACUAAGACCUUUAAUGAUAUAAAAUAAGCAUAUAAAUCUCAGAACAAAACAUUAAAACUCAUUCUAAAAGUAAAAAUAAACUAGUGGUGUAUUCCAAACAAUUUAGAUGAAGCGAUAAAACAAGCCAAGAAAUCAAAUAAAAUGAAAUGAAAUUGAAUUACCUGGGACUUUGUUUUUCAAAUUCACAACUCGCUUGUAAUUAAAGUAAAAUGCCAAUGCCAUUAGGACAUAUACAUCAUUGAAUAAGAUGAGGACCCCUCCAACAGCUGAAAGUAAAAUUUUCAUUCAUUAGUUUCAAUUAAAAGUAAAGCACACAGAUUUGCAGGGAAGCAAGAGAUUUAAUAAAUUUAACACCAGCAAUUUAAUUUGACAGGACUUCCAUACAGUAAUGAAGUCAAAAACUAAUGAUUAAUGAAUUUUUGUAAUUGAAUGAAUAAGAUUCUCUGAUUUUGGAUAAUUGAAUGAAUAGGAUUCUCUAACUCUUGUGAAAAUAUCAAUUUUAAAUAGGGUAGAGUUUCAAGAAUUAAGCACAUAUGUAUCCCAAGGCUGUUGAUCAUCUCUCUCUCCAUAGUAGAAGUUUACUCUCAGAGGCGCGUUUAAUUCUCCUUUAGUGAAAAUCUUCGUCUUGGGACAACCAAUUAUAGAUAAAUCUUCCAAAGAUGGGAAUUUGAAGGUGUAAUUGGCAGAGCAGAAACUUCUGAGACUAUCAGCAGAAACUUGUGAGACUAUCCAAAUCAUACAGAUACAAAAUCUUCAAUUUGGUGAAAGCAAUCUCUUCUUCAAAAUUUUCUGCUCCAUCUUCGUCAUUUAUCACCACCUCUCUCAUUGCUCUACAUCCAUAUACCAACAUUGAUAAGAGUCUCUGUAGAGUUUGGAGUGACAGAUUCGAUAAUGAUCAACUCCAAAUACUCGCCAAGAUCGCAAAUCAAACAACCAAGAUGCAAAAAGAAUCAAUCCAGAAAAAAUCACAGAGAAACUUAAGAACCUAAAAGAAUUAAAGAAUUAGCGGCAAAGACAAAAGAAUUAACGUGGUUCAGCUAGCUUUCACUAGCUUACAUCCACAGGAAAAACCCGGAUCAAGUUUAUUGAUUUUCAGAAGAUGAUUACAGAGAGUUUUAAGAGCUAAUAACAGAGUAUUUCUUGAAGCCUUCUCACGAAUCUUCUAAUCACUCAAUAGCUCUCACGCACACGCCUCCUGUUGCACCAGAAUCAGCUGUUUAUAACAGCUUCUUCAACAAACCAAAAUGAACCCAGAAACUCACGUGAUUGGCAUGCGUUAUAACAGAUUCAUAACGACCCUGAGCGGCUUCUUCGAGCACGUGUUUCUCUCGUGCUUUACUUAAACACAAAACGACGCUCAACUAAGUCGUUCCAGAGACAAAACAAAUUGCUCUUCAAAACGCAAUCAGCAAUUGUCGUAUUGUAGUUUACUUAAGCUGCAAAACGCAAGUCCAACUUGUCGUUUCAAAUAUCUUGAUUUGCUUCACAACACAACAGUCGCUCUAGACUUUUUGCUGUGGAGGAGGUUGCUAAGUUCCUUGCAACGAAGAACUAGAAGUUCUUUUAGGUUCCCAAAAGAUACCGAUUGAACAAAGGACUCCAAUUUGGAGUCUUGUUUCCACAAUUGCUUCAGACGAUUAAGUUUGUGCAGAUCUAAAUGUUUUAUCAUUGUAAACUUCCUCACAUGUUUCUUCAAGUAUCCUCCAUUCGAAAAUACCUCUUCGCAUGAACAACGACGCCGUAUGAGAGUUUCCAGAUUAUGAAAUCUCUCAAGUAAAUCAAGUGGAAAACAAGUUGAGUCAUCAUCCACUGUUUGUAGUAGUUUAAGACUGCCAAAAAGGUGUUGUGGGAAAUCGCUCUGCAAAGUCAUCCUCGAGUCUUUUCCACUUAAUGCCCGUUCCUCCUAAGUUGGGUAAGCUCUGAUCAUCAUCAAUCACGUAAUAACUUAUUAAGUCAAUUCAUAUUCUCUCAAAUAACUUUUAAUAAUCCAAUCAUACACAGUGACUUUAAUAUAAAUGCAUAAUAUUUUACAAAAAAGAAGAAAAAAUCGAAUUAGAGGUAAAAGUUAUUCUACGAUUUUAUUUUUUAUAUAUAUCUUGCAUGCUAUUCCCAAGAGCAAUCCCAAACGGCCCUUAAAGCAAUUUUACAAAAGCGGCCGUUACAUAUAUUGCCAACUUUGUUGGGAAUGGCAAUGGGGAGAGGAGGGGAAGAGACCGAACUCCCCGUACCCAUUCAUGAUAUUCUGCAUAUAUCCUCGUCCUCUCCUCAUUUCUCACAAAAUUGCUUUAGGAAAUCCCCCUCCCCUCCCCAAAUAAUAAUAGGGGAUCCUUGAAGGCCCUCGAUCCUCGAAUAACUGAUACGUUUUUUGUUUUAAAUUUUAAUUUAAUCAUAUUAAAAUAAAAAAUAAAAAUAAAAAUAAAGUUUGACGAUAUAUCUUAUAUUAACAUUAAUCUAUUACAAAAGUCACAUUACAAAGUAUAAAUCACCAUAAUAAUUAUCUUCGGCAAUCUUCAAAAUCAUAUAAUAAAAAAAAGAAAUUACUUUUAUAUCAACAAUGAGAUAAAUGAAAUGAAUAUAGAUACUUAAUCAAUAUUUCUAAUAAAAGUAUUUACCUCUGCGUCUCCUACUCUUCUUGUUCUUCCUCGAGGAAUGUGACAAAUUGAGAGAUAGCCUCAGAUUUCAAAUUUAAAACAAUAAAAAUGAUAUAAGUAAUGUAAAUUCUAAUUAAAAUAAACUCAUACUGCCAUUGUAAGCUUGUGGUCAACUUUGACAACAUAUUAAAGCCUCCAAUGUGCUUGAAUAAAGCGUGUUACGGUACUCUACCACUGGUGCUAAAAGCUAAUUCAGAAGCAACAUUUGUAAUUAGAAUUGCCAAAAUAUCUCUAGGUGCCAAUAUAGGAUAUCUAUAGACAUUUAUUUUACACCAACUCAAAUUAUUAAAAUCUUUCAUCCGUGGCAUAACUUUCUCAUCCAAAUAUUAAUGUAGUCAAUUAAGCCUAAAGUUUAAUAAUAUAAUUAUUUUAAUUUUAAUUUAUUUAUUUAUUUAUUUAUAUUAAUAUUUUAUUAUUUAUUUACAAAUAAUUUUAAAAAAAUUAAAAUUAAAUUAAAAAAUUAGAAGAGAAUAGGGAUUCCGCCGUAUCCCCGUCCUUUCUCUUAAUAAGAAAUUGGGUAAAAAAAACUAUUUCCGUCCCUUUUUCAAAUAAAAAAUUAAGUAAAAAAUUAUGUACCCUCCUGAAUUGGGAAAAUCUCGAGGGUCAUGUCCCCGCGGGAAUAUCUGCCAUUCCUAAACUUUGUAACAGCCAGUUGCUUUUGUGACCGUUUAUGUGACGGCUAGACUGCUCUCACUUAUGUUACUAACCACGUGACGGUAGAGAGCCAAUUGGCAUUCCAUUAUUUUGAUUGUAGAGUUAUAAAUUUGUUUCUAAAUAGAAAACUAUUUGCUGAAGUCAAUAUAUUGAAAACCAAAGUCCCAAAUUCUCUCUCGUGCGUACCUGGCCAUCCUAAACCUUACUGGUAGCCGGAGAAUGGCGUAAAACGGCAGCGAUCUUCUUCUUCAUCUUAUUCUCUCUCUCAUCGUUUCAGGUAAGCUUGUGAUUAUGAGUUUCUUCUCUUUCUUAGCUUGUAAUUAUAGGUUUUGAUUUCUUUACUUCGUAUUGUAACCAUUAAUGUCAAUUUUUGUCCCGCCGGCAAUAUUUCUUGUUCCUAGAAGUUGAAGCCCUUCUGUUCUUGUUCCAUUGGUGACUUUGCUCACUCAAAUUAAUUUUGUUCUGCGGAAUUUACAAAGUUCAAAUGGAUUCAUUUGAAUUACUAUUGAAUUUAGCUUUAAUUUCAACAUCCAUUCUAAUGUUUUACAAUCAUGUAUUUAGAUUUACUUUAAUUUUAUGUUUAAAGCUUCUACAAUGAAUAGCGUAGCUUGGGCUUUAGUUUCAUUUUCUAAUUAACUUGUUUUAGUUUAUCUUAUAUGCUCGCCAAGUGCUUGUUAUAUUGUCUGAUAAGUUAUAUAACAUUGCUGAUUCUAUAUUAGUAAUGUCAUGUUCCAUUUUCGGAAAUUAUAACACAAAAGUUUUUACAAUGGCUUGCAUCUACAAACUGAAUUGACUUGUAGAGUAAGAGCUUGGAUUAGUGUUAUGUUCUUGAAUAAAUGAAAGUUCAUAUUGUGUAAGAGCAUGUAGAUAUAAAGCAUCACUACCAUUUCUACAAACUGCUUUCAUUCUGUUCAGAUGCUCCUCUUGAACUUUGAAAGGUGCCUCAUUCAAGUCCUAGCUAUAACUACUAGCUCUGAUUGCUUAAGUUCCUGUGCUAGCUGAAACAGAUUUAUUUAAUUAAUUAAUUGUGUAUGUACUAAUUAUAUUGAAAGUAUAUGAAGAAAUUGUUUAACAUGAAUGACUUCUAAAUGACUUAAAAGCCUAAAGGAUAUGUCAAAUAAUGCUCAUUUCACUUGAACGAGCCUAAUACUUUUAUGUCUAUGAUUGUCAAUCUUGCUUAAGUGUUUCAGUUAAGUGGUUUACCUAACAGGGGAAAAAAUUUAAUGGAAAACUUUAGAGUUCGAACAGAAAUAUAGUUGACUGCAGAUAUAGUUAUUUUACGGUACAUAAAUCAUAUUGUCCUAUACUCAAUGUCCUACGACCUAUUUUAUUUUAUAUGGUCAUUCAUUUUUGCGAUGGUUUUUUGUGCUUAUGAGUAUGGAAAUAGUGGGAUUUGGUGUGGCAAACAAAAAUAUACAUAUAAUCAAGUUUCUUAAUCAUGUAUAUUGGUUUUGGGUAUGAAUGUUUUCCUAUUCUAGUUCUAGGCAAAGUUUCUUCAUUUUGGUCUUCAGAUUUCUAGUAGGUUAAGUUAAGCAACUAUCAUAACUAGCUAGCUAGUUAUUGCCUGCCUUGUCGCCAUUACCGACGCCAUUACAUUGCAUGGCAUAAGGAAUAGUAACUAGGUGAUUAUUGGUGAUUCGUUGAGUUUAUUAUUGGCCAAACAAACAUAUUGGCCUUUACCCACAACUUAGUUUGAUUAGUUAUUAGAUAAUAAAGAGCCUUAAUCUAUGCAUUGCUUUAUUAUUUUUAUUUGGUUUUUCUUUCAACAAUAUUGUUGAUUUCUUAUAAAAAAUAUUCAUUGGUUUUUAAACACCUAAUCAUUGGCUACGAUGAAGCUAAUUAAAACUAAGGCUUUGGAUCAAUUUCUGUUAACAACAUACAAAUGUACUUACUGAGUAUAAGAUUGAAGACUUGAAAAGAGGAGAAAAGAGGAGAAUGAAUAAAAUGAAAGAAAUGAUAAGAUUACUUGGAAGAAGAAAAGCAUUUUUAAUGAACUAACGUAUUGGGAGUUCAAUUUGAUUCAUCAUAAUCUCGAUGUCAUGCACCGUUUUGAUUUUUGUUAUGAACUCAGAUCAAAAGUUUAAUGUGAUCAAAAUUUCUUAAAAAUAGUGAAAACGACUCCUCCUAAUAAUAUGGAAGAUGGCUAUAAAAGAUAAUUUCUUAAAAGUUUAAUGUGAUCAAAUUUGCUUGUGAACGCAAGGGUUUUAGUUACACUGUCAACGCUGUCAAUGUAGUGAUACAAUGAAGAUGAAGUAAAGCAUUAGUAGAAUAAUGAAGUUGACCAGUAACACAGUAAAGCAAAUUUUAUUCCAGAGCAUGAAAACUUUUAAACAGUAACACAGCUCUUAUUCCAGAGGCUGCACACGAGUGACCUCAAUCUUCUUCAGAACUUUCAAAUUUUAUCAAGCAAAGCUUUCAAAAUCCUUGCCUUCCUAAGUUAGGAAAGAUAGAUGUGGAGCAAACUAUUUUUUAUAGAUAUUUUCACUUUGGGCUGUCAGCCCGAGGAAGUACGGGGUUCUGAGUUAUUCAACUGAAAAUGUCGGCCAAGUUCUUGUGUUAGUUUUAGUAUAUUGUGUAAAAAUGAUACACUAACUUGAAUUUAUAUGCUUUUAUGACUAUUUGAUAAUCAAAUGGGUACAUGACACGAAGAACUUUGAGUUUAAAAAUCUGGCCCUGAUGCCUGGUAGCCCUCCAACCUAUGAAGCACUAGACGUUUUAAUGAGAAAACGACAAGACCAUUUAUCAAAUUUCUUGUGGAUAUAAAUACAUACACAUAGACGAGACCAACCUCCUCAAAGGAGAAUCAGAGUGAUUACAAGACCUUGUGAUGGUUGUCGAAACCAGUAAAAAUAAAUAUCUACUCUAAAUAAAUUGUGUAUAGUGAUUGAGCAGGAUCGUGUCCAUAAAGAUCGGUAAUUAUUUAAAUCCUUUUUAAAAUGUAAAUUGCAAAAUGGGGAGAUUGUUGACAAUAAAAAAAAAUCAAAUUAAAAUAACAAGAAUGCAAAUUAAAAUUGUAAUUCAAAUUGGAAAAAGUUCUGGUUGAAGGAAUUAACUCAGCUUGAUUCGACUACUGAUCAUUGAUUCAAAUAUAAAUUAUUACUACUUAUGAAUAAAUCGGUUAUAGCUACUGAGACCCUCUAAUAGCCAAUCUCUCUUUAACUAAUCGAUAACCAAGGUACGACCGUUGGUUAUUUCCCUAAUCAAUAGACAACCCUAGAUACGAUCAAAGGAUUUAAUCAAUUGACAGCCUAAAAAACCAGAGAGACCCAAAUCCUAAUCAACAAACGCAUACGAUGGUUCAUUUAAAUUAGAUUGUUUAUUCUCAUAACACAACUCACUGCUAUGUUAUUUGUCACAAAUAUUAAAAUCUUCAUACGAUGAAUCCUUUAAUUGACAAUAGAUUAAGUUGAUAAUUAAAUAGUGGCCAAUUAUCUAAUUAACAAACAUAAUCAUGACAAUAAUUCAGAGAAUAAACAAAUACCCAAAAAGUAAUAAAAUAAUUAAAGCAUAAGAAAGAUCUCACAGUAGUUAUGAAUCAAAGCUUCAUUAACUUUCAACCAGAAUAAUAGGUUUAGUUCUUCAUAGAGAGAAGAGAAAAGUUUAGAUCUAGGGUUUCUUUCUUUUAAAAAAUCUCCUUUUUUCACAAUAGAUUCCUCCCUUAAAUACUCUCUCUCUUCUCCUUUAGAGUUCUAUUUAAAAUAAAAUACUAAUAUAUGAAAUAUUAAAUUUGUAAUUACAAAAAUAAACAAAAAUACAAAACACGUUAAACUAAAAACUGUAGGUCCGUAGUUGACAGCACGCACCCACGCCUUAUCAACAAAGUUCUUCUGACACUCAUAAUUUCUCUAAGAGAACAAUCAUCCUUAAACAUCAUAUUGUAGCUCAAUUUUAUCACCAAUCAAUAGAAUUGCACCUACAAAAGUAAAACACAAGUAAAUCACUAUUAUUAAGUGCAAAACAUCGAUAUUAAGGGAAGUAAACAAUGCAAAACUAGUGCAUAAAUUGCACUCUAACAUAUACUCACUGUGACGAGUUGCACCAGAGUUUUUGCUGUGGAGGAUGUUACCAUGUGUAACAAUUUCUUGCAACCGAAAGCUACAAGUUUUGUUAGGUUCCGAAAAGAUACCGAUGAUGAUGGCAAUAGAAUUAACAGACUUUGACAAUGAUAUACUUUUAGAAUUUCAAGAUACUGAAAAAUGGGGCCAAGUUUGGAGUCUUGUUUGCACAGCUGCUUCAGAUGAUAGUGCCGGUUCAGCUCUAAUGUUUUUAUCAUUGCCAACUUCCCCACAUGUUUCUCUAAGCAUCCUUCCUCCGAAAAUACCUCUUCGUUGAAUGAAAAACAAACCAGUAAGAGUUUUUCAAGAUUGUGAAAUCUCUCCAGUACGUUCCAGAUUGGAAAACAAGCUGAGUCAUCUGCAGCAAUCUCUAGUUCUCUAAGACUGCCAAAAAGGUGUUGUGGGAAAUCGGCCUGCAAAAUCAUCUUCACAUCUUUUCCACUUAGUGCUAGUUCCUUCAAGUUGGGUACGAUCUGAUCAUCAUUAAUCAUAAUAACUAAUGAGGUCAAUUGAUGAUCUACGGUCACACGCAGUAACUUUAUAGUAUUUAUUUUAUAUUAUAUUUUAAAAAAAAAUGAAUUAUUGAUAAAAUUUAUUUUGUAUGUUAAUUUUACAGGUAAAAAAAGAAAUUAGGGAAAAAUAGUUGAUUUAUAUUGGCUCAAAAUUAUUUUAUUGCACAAUAAUAAAUUACUAAUUUAUUUUGCAAGUUCUUCUAUAUGGAAAGACUGAGGAUUCUUUUAUAAAUGCUAUACCUAAAAAAGUUCAUAUAAUUAUGAAUCUACCAUAUUGAUCCCUUAGUCUAGACUAGCAAAGAUUAUUGUAUAAUAAAAGUUUUUAAUUUAUUGAGUAUUAAAUGAUUUUUUAUAUGUUAAUUUUAGAGGUAAAAAAGAAAUUAGGGAAAAAAGGUUGAUUUCUACUGACUCGAAAUUAUUUUAUUGCACAAUAAUAAAUUACUAAUUUAUUUUGUAAAUUCUUCUAUAUGGAAAGGCUCAAGAUUCUUUUACAAAUGCUAUACCUAAAAAAGUUUAUAUAAUUAUUAAUCUACCACAUUGAUCCCUUAGUCUAGACUAGCAAAGAUUAUUGUCUAAUAAAAGUUUUCAAUUUAUUGAGCAUUAAUUUAUCGAUACUUUGUCAUAUUUUUCAAAGUUAAAAAUAAGCUAUAGAUAAAAAAUCUAGAAAAUGGCUUCAUACCUUUUCCAAUGGCAAUAGGGGCUGUUGUGCAGGAAUACCAAGUUGAUCAUUCCCAUUAUUCUGCGAUAAAUCUGCAGCGAAUAUCUUUAAUUUGUCACAACCAUGCACUAAAAGAAUUUCUAGUGCGGGCCAUUCCGAAGUAUGCAUUCCAGGGUACAAACAUCUAAGUUUUGGUAGAUCUUGGAGCUUCAGAGUGGUGAGCUGUGGAAAGACAAAAUAAGGGAUCAUUUGAUCUGCUCUGUUUUCAGAAAUGAUCUCCUGUAAAUUCUCACAGAAGUAUAUAUCCAGGUGUUGGAGCUGCUUAAGGCUUUCGAUCAUAGACGCUGAAAAUAUGUAUUUUAAUUUAUGACAACGCUGCACAAUCAAUCGUGUUAAAUUUUGAAAGCGAGGAAACAUGACCGGAAGAUGAUUGUAGUGCCAAAUCUUGUCGACAUUAAUUUCAGAUAUCUCCAAAGCCUCCAAGUUAGGCAACGCAACCUAAAAAAAGAAGAAUUUCUCGUUAGAUCCAAUAUCCAUAUGGGAAGUACUUGUUGAAAUUUUCUUCUUUGAUUACAAAUUAAUGCAAGUCAGAAUCAAUUUCAUACUACUUGUUAAGAGCUCAAUUAGUGAGCGCGUGAGAUUCUUUUUAUCCUUUUUUCCAUUUUCUUUCAAUUCUUUAAAUGAUUUAAUUAUUUUCCACGUAUAACAUCAAAACAGAACGCAUGAUAGAAUAAAAUGUGUUAUACAUUAAAGAAAAUGUUAGCCUACGCACCUUCUCGUUGAAAAGCAGAGUUGAAAUAUCCAAAGUGAUUUCGCUGGAGCUAUACAUAGUCGUCGAUUCCUCUUGCGACACUUGUCUGUUCGGUGAUGCUGAAGGAGUCUUCACCUCAUUGCGGCAAAAACUUGUAACCUCUGGAAGAUUCCCCAGACUCAAAGAUCUUAAUUGAGCAAACUCUAUCUUCUCAAUUGCAUUAUCAACUUCUUCCCCAAUUGCAAAAAUCUCUUUCAUCUUGCUGCAAUUAAUAACUGCAAUUCUCUCAAGUCUUGGAAGGCAUUUUGUAGUGGAGAGCCAAAAGAUAUUGCUCAACUUAUUACAACUAUAAGCUUCUAUGGUUUUGAGUUUGUUGAAAGACUCUACUUUGAGCCGAUCAAUACAUAUCCUCUCCAUGUUGAUCAAAUUGCGAAUGGUAAGUGACUCCAAAAGAGGAAAGGCAUCACAAGCGACCAUCUCCCUUGAAUCGACGAUACAAAAGAUGUCAGGAUUAUUUUGAACCAAGAGAAGCUUCAAUUGUGAAAAGCCAUCCGUGUCCAAAUUGAAAAGAACAUUCUCGAUGCCUUGCAGCUUGUCCAACCAUAAGUAUUCAACGUUAUUGAUGCCCUGCAAUUUCAUGGAGAAAAUGUCCAUAAAAUCAAGCUUGAGCUUCAAUGCUCUUAAACUCUUGCGAUCACGGUUGAUUGAAAAGUGCGGCCGACUUUGGAACCAUUUAUGUCUAGCAUACUUGUUGGGAGGCAUGAAUGACCCAUUUCCAAUAGAUAUUUUGAACCUUUCGAGCUUUCUGGCCAAAAAGCGUUCUGGUAAAAUACUAUCAUUUUUAACGUCAAUUUCUAGAGUGGUUAGCCUAGGUAAAUGCAUCAAUUCGUCGAGGCUAGCAUUACUUCUUUUGCUGUUGGCUCUUUCAACCUCCCAUUCAAUGAAGCAAUUACCCAUAUACAGCUCUUCUAAUCGACUUAAGCUUGAUAUGAGAUUGGGCGCAAUAACUUUUAGAUCGAAACAAUUGGUUAAAUCUAACAAUCUCAACUUAUUCAAUUGACCUAGUUCUUCUGGCAACUUCAUAAUAUCAGACAUCAAAAAGCUAAGGACUUCUAGAUUCUUCAACUUCCCAAUGAUUGCUAUGUCGCCCAACGCACUUUGAUCCAGACAUAGUGUGUGAAGAUAUGCUAGAAGAUCAAUUGAAGAUGGAAAAGAAGAAAACUGCAUUCGAGUAAAAUCUAGAACUCUAAGCUUUUUCAUCCCUACCAAAAAGUUCUCAGGAAUAUUGAUUUCAAGAGAAAAAUCUUUGAGAGAGAUAUAUAAAAAUUCAAGGUUUGGGCAUUCUAAUCGUCAGGAAAUCACGAUUACUAUUAUUUAUAAAGAAGAUAGCAUGCAGUUUCGAAGUGGCAUCUCAUCUGGCCAGUCCCACACAUCUCAUUUCUCACCGAAAACACAUGUUGGUGGCGGCAUGCAAUUGAUAUUGCGACAUCGCGAACAACAUCAUGCAUUGAAAAUUCUUCAUUGCUGUCACCCUCAAGCAACAAACAAGAGUCUCUAAGUUCAUGGACCGAUGCAUAUAAUUUGUCUCGUGCAUCUUCCAUCUUAUUGACUCCUUGAAAUAUACCCAAACCCAUGGAGUACUUAAACAAGUCCAAAGUAAGGAUACUGUUACCCAUUAGACUGCAGAGCUGAAAAAUGUUCUUGAGUUGCUCACCUUUUAAAUGGUUGAAACUCAGCUCAAUACUUGAAUAAGUCUCUGCAGACACUCCUUCGAAGUUUACCAUUGAAGGCGUUAGGAGUUCUCGCAAGGAAUUCUUCCAUUCAUGCAGACUCUUGCUUCUCAGUGCCUUUGCCACUGUAAUCAAGGCAAUGGGCAAACCUCCACAUGCCCUGGCGACGUCUAUUGCUGUAGAUUUCAACUCACGAUUUUCAACAUCAUCACCGGCCAUCAUCUUAAACAAUCUCCAGGCUUCUUCUUCAUUUAAAUUGUUAAUCAAGAAGUUGUCUUUAGAUCCCAUUUUUAAGAGGACACUACGAUCUCUUGCUGUCAGCAGUAGUUUGCAUCCUUUAUGAUCUUCUCCAAAAGGAAUUCCCACUGUCUCCAAAUCAAGGUGUUUCCAGAUGUUAUCUAAAACCACAAGGAUCUUCUUCUGAUUUCUCAAUCGCUCAAAUAGUCUACUUGCUCUUCUAGAUUCAACUUCCUCGUGCAACUCCAGGCCCAACUUCUCGGCAAUUUCCUGUUGAAUCUUUUUUAUGUCUGGAGUUUGCGAAACCUCUGAAAAGACCACCAUAUCAAAGAGCUUGUCUUCCAUAGCUUGCCUGGCGACCUUCUUCACCAGUGUCGUCUUUCCAAUGCCGCCCAUGCCGUACACCCCAACGACACUAACAUUAACAUCGAUCAAUGCUUUUUUUAUAGCCUCCAAAGAAGAAAGUCUUGACUCGAAGGCCUCGUAGCCUUUGUGAGACUUGAGCCAUAUCUCCUCCGGAAUGGUACGGUAGGAAAUUCUAUCAUCAAAUCUUGCAGCUUCUUCUCGGAUUUUGACGAGUGCCUUCACCUCUGCCUCUGCUUUCUUGCUAAGCUGAUAGCGAGUAAUCCAAUUAGGAAACAGCCCCAUGAGACAUCGUUCAUUUGCUUUCUCUUCGUCUUGAAUGAAUUUGGCUGCCUGCUCAAUGCUCUUGUUCGCAUUAACCAGCCAUUUCUCAACCUUCUCUUCAAUCUUUUCACUUUUUCUUUCAGCCUCAGAAACUCUGCGCUGAAUGCUUUCUCUUUCAUCCUUGAGCCUAUCGAGUUCUGCCUUGAGAUUCUCAAAGUUGGCAUCGGAGUUAUACCAGUAACUAAAUUCGCGUUGUGCGUGAGGAGACAAGCAGUUUACAACUGGAACAAUGCUUUUCAAAAUGUCCAUUUGUUUUUUUUUUUUGGGGGGGUGGGGGGUGAGUGAACGAAAUAGAAAUAGAACAGGGUCAACGACCGCGCAAUUAAUAAUCAAGUAGAAGCAAAACAAGGCAAAAUGGAGAAAAGAAAUUAUAUUUGUACAAAACAAGGGGAAAAUCAGUGUAACAGAAGAGAAUCAAAGUGUUUUUGAGAUCAGAAAAUUGAAUCAAGAAAAGGGUUGCUUGAUCCAAUGAAAAUGCAAAGAGGGAACAAACAUAAAUAAGAAAACGGCUAGCAGGAGCAGUGACCACGAUAAACAGAAGCAAAGUGUGUAUGAGAUCAAAAGAAGAAAAUCAGGAGAGGUUUUCUUGACUGAGAAUUGAAGGCAAAGAGUAGGAGCUGACGAAUACGGGGAUCAAGAGGGAAAAACUGCU
rnacentral:lncRNA from 1 species